CACAUUCUUGUUCACUGAUUAAGUCCACCACAAAAGAUCGAUAAAACUAUUCGUCAUGAUUUACUCAAGUUCAGUAAAUAUGGUUAUACUUACAAGUUUAAGUAUAAUUCUGAAACAUUGGAAAAAUUUCAACGUAAGGCAGAGCGAAUAAGAAGAAUCAACUUAGGCAGAAAGAUAAAAGUUUCUCAAAUCUGAAAAUAUGGGAGAGUGCUUUAGUAUCAGGUUUUGUGAUCAUCUUAAUGAUUAAGAAACCAUAUCACAAUUAGUUCUCUAAGGAAGAGGAAUCUUGAAUUGUUGAAAUGGUUAAAUCAAGAAGAUGACUCAUACUUCGUUCCAAUACAAGUCUUAGAGUCAUACUCCAAGAUUGUAACUUGAGAGACAUGUCUCAAAGAAGGUUUAAAACACUUGUCAAAUGUAAAAGUAAAAGUUUUCUACUCUUGUACAUUUGAAAUUGGUAAGUUGUGAUGUUUUGGAUAAAACAAAGACCAACUUAGGCCAAUUGUGUGAAGUGUUUGUCUUGGUUAGAAUCCACACUAUCUCUUGGAUGUUUGACAAGGGAGUCUUAUAGGUCAAGAGGACAGUGGGAGUCUUAAAGGUCUUGAAAGUCUCAAGAACUAAUCAAGAAUAAAACCUAAAGUUCCUCACUAGCACACGACAUGAGGUUCUUAACCUAUCGUAUCGACAUAUUCUGUGCCUAUUCCAAUUAAAGUUGACUUUGCAUAUGAGUUCUUAGAGUUCUCAAUUUGUUGCACAACAACUUGGAAGCAAUGGCAGGCCCUUGAGCUGCCAGGUGGCAAGAAAUUAAGAUUGAGUUCAGUCCAUAUGAGUUUGGAUUUGUCAUUAUCCUUGUCUUGUGACUAUGGUUUUGACAAUUCACAUGGAUAAGAACACAUACACCAUUAAAUCUAAGGGUCAUAAGGUUUCUCUCCGAUUCAUGAAAAUGAUGGUGAGGAAACACUUCCACCAAGUAGAUUUGAAGUAGAUAGCAAUUGAGAUAUUUGCAUUCUCAAAGUCGUUAUUGGAGCUGUGUGGUUAACCGGCACACUAACAUGGACUUGUGAGAAGUGGCAAAAGUCUAAACAAUUGAGACUAUGAUUACGACAUCCCUUUUCAUAGUUCUAAAAUUGUUUAGACACACCUGUGAGCUAUCUAAAAGAAGUGUAUGAUUUUGAUAAAGUUUUAUCAAAACAAUCUAGUAUCAGAAAUCUGAACUUUGGUAAGAAAGUCAAUGAAGUAUUGAUUUCUAGAAGUCCAGCUGAUUUCUGAGUACAUGUCAAAGCUAGUGGGAGCAUAAGUGUUAUGCUAAUAAUCAUCAUGUUAGUGGGAGCAUGAUAAUUAUGAUAAGUAUUGCAAGUUAGCAAUGUUAAUUAUAGAAAACAAAAGUUUCAAUUGGGAAAAAGUUGUUUUGCUAUAAUUAAGGGAGAGGAAAUUAUGCUUCAUCUCAAAUCUAUAAGCUUAGAUCGUGAGGUUUUAAUCAUUUAGUCAAGGAUAUAUAUGAAUUUCAUGUUGGAAUGGCUCAACAUAAGGAAAUUCUAUAUAUGGGUCUAUUAUUUGCGUUCUAAAAUUCGAUUAUGAUUACGGUAUCCCUUCUCAUAAUUUGAAUUAUGAGAACUUGGCAAAUUGAAAUGGAAAUAUUAUAUCAAAAGAUUGGUUUAGUCUUUAUGUGAGACAUCAUGAAUCGUGUCCCAUAUGCUUCGGAUAUAGGAUCGAUUCCAUGUGCAAUAUUCAUCUUUUCUAAAAUUUUCCAAAUGUCUGGGGCAUUAAGAAGGGAAAAGGUCUAGAACUGGAUAUGACUAAAAUGAUUAAGCAAUUGUCAAGGACAAUCUAAGGUUCACCAAAGAUUAGUUGCUCAAGGACAGUUGAAAGUAUAGUGAUAAUUCUGGAAGGACCAUAUUGACAUAAUCUGUAAGGAGGCAACUCUUGUUCAGAAGUGAUAGUCAAAAUGGAAUCUGGAAAUGUUUCAAAGUUAGAAUUUUCAAUCUGUUUAAGAUUAGGAAACUUAAUGCAAGAAGGAUGUUUCCAAGGAGCUGAUCUCCUUUGGAAUACUCUGUAAUGAUUGUUGUCAAGUCUUUCUGACUUUGUGCAUAAUCAUUACAAGAGGAUCAAUGCAUAUAAGUUUAGAAUCUAACAGAUUUCAGUAAAUGGCAUGAAUUUGGAAUUCUUGCAUUUGCAGUAAGGAUUUGGGAGUGUGAAAAGAGAAUCAUUGAAGUUAUGUUCAAUUGAUCUAGUUCACAAAGUAAAGAUCAUAGACAAACAUAGUAUGCAUACUUGGUGUAUGGCAUGACUAGUGUUUAGAAAACAUAGUGUACAUGCUUGGAGCAUGGGACAACUAUUGUUUUAAAUUCAAGAAUAAAGUUGAUAGCUGAAACAGUAUACAAUGAAUAAUGUGUAAUCAUAUGGUGAUAAAUAAAAGGUGUUUUAUUUAUGUUCAUAGGUUUUGAUACCAUAUUGGAUUCAAUUAUUAUUGUGUUUCAUUUUGCAUGUUUUGACUUCCCGAAUAAACUAGGUUAUUCUUCCGGAAUGACUAAGUUAUUCAAACCAUCCACAGUCGGUCAUAUGUUGGAAGUAGAUAUGAAUUAAGACUGUCAUGGGUUGGCUUGUAGAGGUCUAAGGUGUUGGACAAAGGGCUACAACACUCAUGAGUGCUCAUAAGUUCUGAGUAUUGGAUUCAACCCGCGCUCAUUGGAAUCACUUCAUGGAUUUUAUCACGAGUGAUCAUGAGACGAUAAUAUCUUAUAUUCUUCAAACCUAGAGAUAUGAGUUGUUACUAUGAGUUGGUUGUACAUUGAUUGCACGAAAACGCAUUUGGUAACUCGGUGUUAUAAAACGUGCCUUUGUGUAUGAUUCAACAAGUAGUAGAACAAGCCAUAUGAGUCGAAGUUUAUCCAUUCCUUUUACCUUCGGGAUAAAAGCGAUAUCUGUGGGCCCCUCGAUGAUUUGAUGAUGACAAAUGGAAGUGCUCGGCCGGGCCAGGACUGAUUUGAUUUGUUCAAUUAGUCAGUCGUCAUAAAUUGGAAAGCGGUAAACAACAAAUAUACAUAGAGUAUGAUUAUAAUCCAUGUCUCAGUCCAUAUGAUAUCUAGAAUGGAGGAAUAUAUGAUCUCUUAUCUAAUGGACAAGUCAUUGACAAAGGUUAGAGUUCAACUACAAGGUCAUAAUUCGACAAAAGCUUUUGAGAGCUACGAUUGCCAGUCAGUUCUUGAAGUCAUACGCAAUAAUAGUUUUAGACUUAUCCAAGUGGGAGACUGUUGGAUUAAUGUCUAAGUCCAUAACUAUAAUCGGUAAGACUUGACCCGACCUGGCAUGGUCCAUUUGGGUUGCAUGGCAUCAUGCACUUGGAUAGACUAAAUGAGAGAAAUAAGACACUUAUGGUUAUUAAUAUAUUAUAAGUUGUAGUAUAUUGAUAAUAAGAAUAAUAAUAUUUAAUUAGUAUUGAUCAAGAAUUAAUUUAGAAUUAAUUAUGUGAUCAAAAGAAGACUAAUUAAAUAUAUGGGUUGAUUGUGCAAAUCAUCCAUAAAUUAUAUAGUGGGCCAAAGCUCCAUGGAUAAUCAAGUUGGGUUAAACCCAUAGGAUGCUCCAUGGAGGUUACAUAACCCAUGGGUCAUGGAAAUGAAAGGUCAUGACAAUUAGGGUUUACAUGGUGUAAUCCUAAUUGUAAUACACUAUAUAAGCAUCAUAUUAUUCACCAAAAUCGGCACUAGUGUGUGAAAAAGUAGGGCUAGCUGAUUUCAUGAGUUGUGGAUUUCUAUCAAGUCAUUCCAAGUGUAUUUGGUGUUGUGUGAACCAUUUGAGGUGUCACACUUGAGGCACUAGGCACUCAAGCUAAAUGAAGAUAUUCUACAUCAAAGAGGUAUGUAUUCUAUCUUGUUAUAUUCAUUGUUUUGUAUGCUAGAUUAGGAUAAUACCUUGGAUGUUCAUAUUUGUAUGUGUAAUAGAGAAAACAUAGAUCCAAGGUAUUUAGGGUUGGAUGGACACUUAAGAGUGUUAGAAUGCUCAAAAGACAACAACUGUACAUAUAAAGAAAUUUGAAAUCCGAGUUAUAACGAAGAAGUUAUGACCUGUCGAAGUUUCGUGACAGAACCUAUACGAAACUGCGUGACGUAAAUAGUGAAUGUACUAUAGAGCGAUAUUUAGCCUUAGUGAUCUAAACAAAAGUCGUAAAAUAUGUUAAACUGAGAGCGUGCAUAAAAAACGUCAAAAUCUGACUUUGUAUGAGGAAGUUAUGAUUUUUUGAUGUUUCGACUUAGCGGUAUGCAACCCAAAGUUCGAAUAUGAGAUCAAGUGGUUUUUAGCCAAAACAAUCUAAACGAGAAUCGAAGAUCUUGUCGAUAGUAGUCCAACGGUAAAAAGAUAGAAGAAUACGGACGUCAUAUGAAGGAGUUGUGAAUUCCUAGCGGAGUUUUCCUGUCCCGGCCUACUAAAAAUAAUAUAAUAAAAUUUAAAUUCAAUAUUAGCCGAUGGAGUCUAAACGAGAGUUAUAGAACAUAAUCUCACCUUCGCGUGGAUAUAAAGAACGUCGAAAACGGAGCUCGUAUGCGAAAGACAUGAAUUUAUGAAGUUUGAGGAAUGCACACCGAGAGGGGAACGCCUCGUGUUCGGAGCCCAGAGCCUGUCCCGUCGCAUGUCAAGUCUGAAGUUCGUAAGCCAUGAUGCACGGUGGAAUGCGUUGCGUUCGUCCAAGGAACACGUUGCGUUCGGAGGCCAGCCUCACCCAAUAAAUAGAAUGUGAGGCCAGCCGAAGUUGUUUACUAAUUUCUUUUCCUUUCACCCUCUUAAACUUUCUUUUACUUGGCAAGUUAUACCCCGAAGCCCCGGUAUCGUCCCAACCCCCGAAGCAUGUCCCGAUGCUCCGAAGAUCCCGAGAAAAAGAGUUUUCGAGCCGAAACUCUGUCCGCGAGAAGCCCGAUUUUGGAGAUAACAUCCCGGUUUCAUCGAAAACGAUUGUUUUAGGAGACGAGGUGUUGUCCGGUAAUCGACUUAUCAAGUGAGUGUGUAGUUACUUUCUUUUAACACAUAGAUAUGAAGUGUUUGCUAUGAAAUACAUGUUAUGUGUUUAUAUUGUAACGUCCCGAUUCUCAGUUAUUGCUUAAAUAAGAUUUAUUGGGUUAAGCUCUACUCGGCGAGUUGGUUGACCUACUCGUCGCGGGGUGGGAUUGCGUGUUAAGUGACCUAAUCGACGAGUCCAUGCUAGACUCAGCGAGUAGGAGCUGGCAGUGGAAACCCAAAAUCUCGGGGUUUGCACCUCUAUUUAAAGGAGCCUUAGCUUCCUUUGGCCUCUUUACAGUCUUUGAGAGCCCCUUAAAACCCUGAUUCGUGCGUGUGUGCCUUGGUGUGGUGUUUGAAACCUUGAAAAGAGGAUUUUGGAGGAAGAAAGCUAAGAGUGCAAAGGAAACUGAAGCAAGGAAGGAGUGGGAAGUGGGAUUUACCUCAGAUAUCAUCCUUUGGAGGUACCAAAGUGCCAUUCUUAAUUCCCCUUUUCCCUUUUGAUGAGUUUCUAGGGUUUUUAUGGAUUUUAAGUUGGUAUGAUGAGCUAUGGGAUAGAUCUGAAGUUGUAACUUCAUAUCUGGACCCUCCUUGGAUUCUAGAAGCAUAAAGUCACAGUCUUGGUUGUGAUUAAGGUCCCUCUUGAGCAUGAAGUUCCAUUAAAAACGUAGAAUAGACACUUAGAGCCUUUAUAGUCAUGCAUGCACGUGAAGUUUGCAAAUUUACGUGAUAAGCAUGCCCUAGAAGCUUAGAUCUAUGAGUUGGAGCCGUUGCAUGGCUCAAAAUAUGUCUGUAUGGAGGAAAAGGACUGAUUGGACUCGACGAGUCGCAAAGUGACUCGGCGAGUCACAUGAAGAUGGCCGUGAACUCGACGAGUUGGAUGAACAAUUCAGCGAGUCGAUGAAGAUCGCCAUAAGAGUCGACAAUUUGAAGAACAACUCGGCGAGUCGGAUGAGUUUCCUCUGGGAUAUGUAUGAGUGUGUAUCCGUCGAGUUGCAAGGAGGGAACUCGACGGGUGACCUUAAGUUUGAUCGAGAAUCAAAGGAACUCGACGAGUCACUUUGAUGACUCGACGAGUUAGAAUGUACUUCAGGGAACUCGACGAGUAGCCAAGGGUACUCGGCAAGUUAAGGUCAACAUGGACUGUUUACCUUGACCGAGGACUUUGAUUUUGAACAGGGGUUGACUAGUGGGUUAUGGAGUACCUUAUAUGGUUAAGGACUUUUGAAUAUGAUGUACUAUGAUGAUAAGUGGUAGAACCUGUGCCAAGUGAUCCGGGAGUUGGAGUUUACAUUUCGCGUCGACAUCUGCGAGGUGAGUUAUCCUCACUAUAUCGAUAGGGUCUACGGAACCAAGGCCGACCCUUUAGUUGUUAUUGUUAUGUUAUGCUACAUGUGGUUAUGAUCUGUUAGAUCGGAAUCGGGUAGACAGUAUGUUAUGCUCUUAUAAUCUGUAGGGAUUGGUAUGUUAGUGACCUACUAGGUCGGUACUCUAGUUACAGGAGAAUUCUAUGAUUGAUGAUCAGUGUGACAUAUAUGUUUGAUGUUUGUAUAUGUUUGUAUGUGGUAGUAUGUGCACAUGGUUAUUUGUUGGUGGUUGGGUUAAGGCAGUCCUGCUUUGUGCUGAAGGCCAAUAUACCCUAUGAGCGGUUCGGGGAGACUGUAGGCCCACGUGGCGGACCAGUCAUGCCGAAGGCUCAAGAAAGAUUCAGAUAGACUGUAGGCCCGGUAGGCGGGCCCGUCNGUAGGCCCGGUAGGGCGGUCCAGUCAGGCCGAUGGCCUAGUAUGCAUGUUGAUUGAUUGAUUAUUACUGAUAUGGUAUUGUCAGUGUGGUAUUGGUGUUUUGGGGGUAGCUCACUAAGCCCUCGAGCUUACAGUUUUCAGUUUAUUGUUUCAGGUACUUCAGGAGAUAAUGGAAAGGCGAAGGUGUGACCGUACCGCUCCUCAUCCUUAUGUUAUGAUUUGUAGGACACUCUGAUGGAAAAUGAUUUGAAAACAUUUUGUAAACAAUACUAUUUGGUUUUUAUUUACGAUUGAAAAAGUUUAAAUUUGGCGUAAAACUUAUGGAUGUUACAAGUUGGUAUCAGGGCCUUGGUUUGAGUGAAUUGGAGGAACACUCGUGUGAAUCCAGUCUCAAAUCAAGGAGAAUUUCGGAACAUAAGUUUUAAAAUGGUUUUCAAAAUAAGGACGGAGGAUGCAGAGGGUACGAUCAGCCGGAGCCUGUAAGUGAACCCCAAAAUACCAUACAGUUAUUUGAUAUUCUGAUAUGUUUGAACAACAUGCUAGUGCUAAGCUAGGGAUCUUCAGGAAUUGCAUGAUAGACUUGCCUGAUUAUAUGAUGCCUAUUAGCCUAGGGUUUUCUUGUAUAUGGAAGUGACAUCAUAACUGUAGAUGUUUGGUGUAUGCAUCACGGCUAUGUAUAAUCAACAUUUUAUAGCCUGAGACUGUCUAAUUUGACCUUAGUGUAGGAUUAGAUAUUCGAAAGUGUAUGGGCUCCAGCAUUACGUGCAACUAGCAUGGACCGUCGCUAUAGGGGAUGAUGGAAGUUUCAUGGAUGUGUGAGUUGUGAUAAGUGGUGAGACUAGAUGCGAGAUAUUUGGUAUUCCCCCUAGAAGUGAGGGUUGGGCGCAUUUCUAUGUUGAUGAUAAUGUUAGGGCGUUGUGGUGAUACUUGAGACAAAUAUGGGUAGGUGUGGAAGGUAGUAUGGGCCCCUACUACUGAAAGCACAGGACCCAUACGCGUAGCAAGGAAAUCACAACCCCUGGGGUUUUUAGGGUUUUGAUCUCCCGACAUUAUGUUAUUUAUCUGAUGACUUGUAUAUAUAUUCCAGUAUGGUGGUGACGAGACGUGUUGCUUCGGGAUCCGGAUCAGGAUCAGGAUCGGGGUAGGGAGAAGGAGGGUUGGAGGUGCCGGUAGCACCUGAGCCCGUGGUUCAGAUAGGGACCGAGGAGUUGGAUGCCAGGAUUAGGGAGAUCAUGCACGAAGAGAUUGCUGCUGUGUUUCGAGCACAUCUGCCAGAGGUGUUUGGGUCGAUUACGACCGCGAUGGUUGAGCAUUUUGAUGAGCGAUAUGCAGCUCUAGCAGAGACAGCUGCCGCUGCAGCCACUUCGGCUGUAACUGCGGCAGGGGUUGGAGGAGGAGCCGGCAGGGCUUUCCAGUACUAGGACUUUGAUAACACGAAGACCCUGACGUUUGAUGGUGCACAGGAUGCGAUUAGGGCUAUGAGGUGGUUAUCUGAUGUGGAGGGCUAUUUCUUCACGUGUUCAUGUCCUGCUGACCAAAAGGUCAGGUGUGCCCUGAACCUGCUGAGGCUUGGGGCAAAGGACUGGUGGAGGCUGACGAGUGGUUUGUAUACUAAUGAUCAGCGGGCUGUUGUUACUUGGGAACAAUUCAAAGAUAUGUUCCGCACCCGCUACAUUCCACGCGUUGAGCAGGAGCGGCUUGCGCAUGAGUUUUUGACAUUGACACAUGAUGGGGAGUCUGUGAUGGAGAUUACCCGUAUGUUCACAGAGAGGGCUAUGUUUUGCCUAGAGUUUGCUUCAGAGGAGUAUCAGAUGACUCGUUAUCUGAGUAUGCUCAAGACUGAUUUUCGACAGUUUGUGUCUACACAACGAUGUGAUACCCUCCUGGACCUUCAGGAAGUCGCGCGGCGGCAUGAGUUGGAGAUAGAGUUGUAGCUGAAGGAGCAGCGUCAAGCACCGGCACAGUCUCAGCCGACGCCUAAGCGGUCUAAGACCGUUUAUACACAGUCCAGGGGUCAUCAGAGCCGCACUUGUGGAAAGUGUGGCAAGGCUCAUUCGGGGGUUUGUCGAGCAAGAGGUGGGUGCCACAAAUGUGGCAAGGAGGGGCACUAUGCCAAGGACUGCCGUCAGUCCGCCCCUCCAGCAGAUAUGAGGAUUUGUUACCAUUGUCAUCAGGUUGGUCAUGUGAAGACCAACUGUCCGCAGCUUGCUGCCAAUCCGACUCAGGGUUCCGCGCUGGCUACUGUGAGGAUUGGAGAUGGGAGGCCAGUCAAGGUGGAGCCUCCGAAGGCUCAGGGUCGCGCCUUCCAGCUCACGGCCGAGGAGGCCAACUCAGCACCGGAUAUGGUUGCUGGUACGUUUUCUAUUAUCCGUCUCAGUUAUUGUAUGCGUGUUAUGCUUAUUGAUUGUACCUGUGUUUAGGUACGUUUUUAGUGAAUUCUUUGCCCACUUUGGUAUUAUUUGACUCGGGGGCGAGUCGAUCGUUUGUAUAUCGGACCUUCUCUGGAGGGUUCAGUGUGACGAUAGAUGAUCUUGAGUGUCCGUUGUGAGUUUCGAUCGCCAACGAGCACGGGGUCUCUACUUCUUCGGUCUUCCGGGGAUGCGAGUUGGAGAUUUUCGGGGUGUCCUUCCCGAUAGAUUUGAUUCCUAUUCCCAUGAGGGAUGUAUGCGUGAUUAUAGGGAUCGAUUGGCUUAGCCGUUUUGGCGUCAUGAUCGACUAUGAGGGGCAGCAGGUGGUGGUUCGAACCCCAAGUGGGGGAGAACUUGUAUAUAGUGAGGGCACCAGGUUAGGAUCAGGGUUUUGUUCGACAACCAGGGCUCGACAGUAUAUUCAGCAUAGGUGUGCCGGUUAUUUGGCGUAUGUUGUAGAUACACGGGUUAGAGAGCAACUUUCAGUUUCUGAGGUCCCAGUGGUGAGGGAGUUUGUUGAUGUGUUUCCGGAGGAGUUACCCGGAGUGCCUCCGGAGAGGCAAGUUGAGUUCAGGAUUGACCUAGUUCCAGGUGCGGCCCCUAUCGCCAAGGCACCAUACCGAAUGGCAUCGCCAGAGAUGCAGGAGUUGUCAUCUCAGUUGCAGGAACUGCUAGGUAAGCAGUUUAUUCGUCCGAAUAGUUCACCCUGGGGAGCACCGUUCCUUUUCGUCAGGAAGAAGGACAGUUCGCACAAGAUGUGCAUUGACUAUAGGGAGCUGAACAAGUUAACGGUGAAGAACCGUUAUCCACUUCCUAGGAUAGACGAUCUUUUCGAUCAACUGAAGGGUGCAUCUUGGUUUUCCAAGAUUGAUUUGAGAUUUGGAUAUCACCAAGUCAGGUUGAGGGAGGAAGAUAUGGAGAAGAACGCAUUUCGGACUCGUUAUGGUCAUUACGAGUUCAUGGUGAUGCCGUUUGGCCUCACCAACACACCAACAGUGUUCAUGGAUCUGAUGAACCGAGUAUGCAGACCGAUGCUUGAUUGCUCGCUCAUUGUGUUUAUACAUUAUAGAUGAUAUCUUAGUGUACUCCAAGACUCGAGAACAUCAUGAGGAGCAUCUCAGGGAGCUACUGGAAGUUUUGAGGCGAGAACGGUUGUAUGCCAAGUUCUCGAAAUGUGAGUUUUGGUUAUGGGAGGUCCAGUUCCUUGGACACCUUGUUAACCAGGAGUGGAUUCUGGUCGAUCCGGCCAAGGUGGAGGCAGUUAUGUAGUGGGAGACCCCGGAAUCUCCCUCUGACAUCAGGAGUUUCUUGGGUUUAGCAGGGUAUUAUCGGAGAUUCAUUCGUGAUUUCUCCAAGAUUGUCAUACCCCUCACUCAUCUAACGAGGAAAAGGGUGGAUUUUCGGUGGGGCCCCGAGCAACAGAGGAUGUUUGAGACCCUCCGACAAUGUUUAUGCGAGGCACCGGUGUUGACACUCCCCGAGGGAGUGGAGGAUUUUGUGGUAUUUUGCGAUGCAUCCAUCACUAGCUAGGGGGCAAUCCUCAUGCAGAGAGGACGGGUGGUAGCCUACGUAUCGCGGCAGCUGAAGCCGCAUGGGACGAGGUACCCCACGCACGAUAUUGAGUUGGGAGCAGUGGUUUUUGCUCACAUGAUUUGGAGGCACUAUCUGUACGGGGUCCGUUGCACUAUAUAAAUGGAUCACAAGAGUUUGAGACACAUCAUGGGUCAUCCGAACCUGAACAUGAGACAAGGCAGGUGGUUGGAUGUGGUCAAGGACUAUGAUUGCGAGAUCCUUUACCAUCCUGGUAAAGCGAAUGUGGUUGCGGAUGCCCUGAGCCGCAAGUCAGCUGGGCCCUCGACCCCAGCCAGGUGUAUGGGGAUAGCGCUGGAUUCCCAACUGGUGGGUUUGAUCCGGGAUGCACAGAUUGAGGGAAUGAGACCAGAGAACUAGAAAUUGGAGAGGAUUAAGGGCUAAAGUGCCUGGUUUCUUCAGGAUAACCGCGGAUUGUUGACCCGUUACGGUCGGGUAUGGGUCCCGAUGUCCAUAGGGUCCGGCAGACAGUGAUGGAGGAGGCUCAUAAGUCUUGUUUUUUGAUUCACCCGGGAGCCACCAAGAUGUACCGUGAUUUGAGUUCGAGUUAUUGGUGGCCUGGCAUGAAGCAAGACAUCGCUUGGUUUGUUGAUAGGUGCUUGACCUGUAGGAUGGUCAAGGCAGAGAAUCAGAGGCCGUAUGGUAAGUUGCAACCUCUGGAGAUUCCCAUGUGGAAAUGGGAACGGAUCGUGAUGGAUUUCAUCAUGAAGUUGCGACGGCAAGGGGGUUCAUUUCUAUAUGGGUCAUCGUGGAUCGAUUGACCAAGAGUGCCCAUUUCCUAGCCAUACGGGAGAGUUCAUCGGCAGAGGAGUUGGCUGACCUGUACGUCAAAGAGGUUGUCUCUCGUCAUGGGGUUCCGGUUUCUAUCUUUUCCGAUCGAGAUGUCAGGUUUACUUCCCGUUUUUGGCAGAAGUUCCAUGAGGAACUGGGUACACGACUGCAUUUUAGUACGACGUUCAAUUCGCAGACUGAUGGUCAGAGUGAGCGGACCAUUCAGACCCUCGAGGAUAUGUUGAGGGCGUGCGUUAUUGAUUUUGGUGGGAGUUGGGAUUCCCACCUACCGCUUGAAGAGUUCGCCUACAACAAUAGCUAUCUUUCCAGUAUUGGCACCCCGCCUUUCGAGCUGUUGUAUGGGCGGAAGUGUAGGGCCCCAGUCUGUUGGGGCGAGGUUGGGCACAGAGUGAUGGGUCGGACAGAGGUAGUCCUGCAAACUACCGAGAUUAUACAACAAAUUAGACAGCGACUGCAGACCACUCAGAGUUGGCAGAGAAGUUAUGCCGACCGACGCCGAUCUGAGCUGGAAUUUCAAGUGGGUGACAUGGUCCUCCUGAAGGUCUCACCAUGGAAGGGUAUCACUGCCGCAGGGAGACUACUCCGGACCCACGUAAAAGUAAUUAAGGCAUUUUGUUGUAACAGACUUAUAAACCAUCCAAAACUAGUGCAACUAGAGUCUUAUCUAUGGCGAGAUCCCGUCAGUAAAGGGAUGCUCGUGCUGCAUAUACUUGUCUUUUGUAGUAUACCUUAUUCGCAGCAAUAGUCUUGUAGUAAGUCUAAAGUACUCUAGCUCUGUUGAUGGUCGCACGGUUGUGUUUUGUCUGUAACGCCUUAUGUUCAAAUAUAAUUUCUUUAAGAUUCCUUAUGAUUCCGACAUUACCAUACGACUAGAUUCAAUUUGAUCCGCAUAAUACAAGCUUCAUACGUACAUCUCUUUCUUCGAAAUCGCCUUUCCAGCGAAGCCGUCAUAUCAGAACACCGAAGUACUCAUGCGUUGAGUACCUCAUAGUUCUUUUCCUUCAGAAGAAAUCCCCGAAGUACCACUCGUACAGUACGUCAAGUUCAAUCCAAAGAUCCAUACGGUUGAUCUGUCGCUGAAGAAGGUAUACAUAAGGGUGGUAUAUAAUCAAAGUUCUACAGGUUUAGAAUUGAUGAUUCCACUUUAACUUCUUUUCCUCGUAGGGAUAAGAGCUUAAAGAAGAAUCAGUUAUUCGACUACCUUUUCAAUCUUAAUUAUAUACGAAUCGUAUACAUGAGACUGUGAUUGAUGAACCAUGUAUGAAUUCUAAAUGUGAACUUCAGGAAGGAGACUGCUCAAGACUACGAGUAAUCGCAUCAUCAUGUGAACAAACAUAGAACCUACUACGACUCCGGUAACUAGAUCGCCCUACAGUCUAAACACCCACAGAAAUACAAGAACAAUCCGGACAACUACUCAGCAAUAGAAUUGGAAGACCAGGCUUCUCACCCAGGAGGGCUCUAGUCUUAUUCUUCUAGAAGUAGACGGAUUGCAACAUAUGUACCUCGACUAUUGGAGACCUCGUCAAGAUUUCCAUUAGAAGUCGUUAUCUCUACCUCACACAGAUGAUUUGGUUGAGCAAACGCAAAGAACGAUUUACCUUUCAGAAAUGGACCGAGACCCGAAUACCAGCAGUUUCGAGUGUUAGGGAAGGAUGUCCCGAAGACUACCUUCCAAACUCGACGCGGACACUUCGAGUCCGUGGUAAUAUCCCUUGGAUAGGACCAAUACGCCAAUAUUAUUCAUGAUCUUAAUGAAUAGGGUACGCCAUUCUUAGAUGUAUCAACUCGUCAUUCUGCUUGUAUUGACUUACUUAUCUACCCUCGUAGUAAGAAUGAACUCAUGGAAACAUUACCCUCAGAGAAAAUUUUUGCAAAGUUCUCUAAACACGAGAUUUGGAAUUGAAGAGUCAAAUUCAUAAGACACACUAUUAGUGAUGUGGAAAUUCUUGAGUACUCUAUCAAUUUAUCCAAAACCGUUGGGAAUUUGUCGGCACCGAAGAUGCCGACAGAAAUUUGCCAAAUUCUAGGUCUUGCAAACCUACUAUCGUAGUCCAUUCAGAACUCCUCGCAAAUUACAGUAAUCCUUACGACUUUGACCCAGUAGAGGGUGGCCCUCGACUGGGAAGAUAAGCAAGAAAAAGAAACCUUGGAAUUUCAAGUGAGAGGCCAAAUCCAUUUGGAAAUCUCACUCUGAGAAUGGCUUAAUACGCUUCGUAAAGCAUGUAAAGUUGAAUCCAAGAUGUUUAGGACCUACGAGAUUCUUACCGGAAUUGGUCUUGUAUCUCACAAACUAGACCUACUCCGCGAACUUAGUAACGUACAUUCUACCCUUCACGUCUUGAACUUGUAAAAAGUUUCGAUCUGACGAGACUCUUAAAAUCCCACUCGAAGGGAUCGAGUCCCACAAGAGCCUCACCUACGUGGAAGAACUGUAGUGACCAUGGACCGAGAGGGCAUGCGAACGAUUUAUAGUCGUUUCCCCUUUAAGUGAAGGUUCCUUGAGAUGCCAACCAGGGACCCGAAUUCACUUGGGAGCGUGAGAAUCGAUCGAUUAGGAAGUAUCCCCACUUCUUGGCUUGAUAAUUCAUGCCUACUUCCUUACCUCGGGACGAAAUUCCUUCUAACGGGGGGAUGAUGUGACAACCCGAAAUUUCUGUUCUGUACAAACAUGUCAAGUCAGUAGAAGUCAGAGUAGUUGCUGUUAAUUUUCAGACUUUUUGGAAUAAGUUUGAGCUUUCUAGAAUUAACACUUUAGGAGAUAUUAAGAGAGAGAAUGCCCUAGGGUUUAUUGUGCAACAAUAAAGUCCUGACACAUCAAAAGUUUAGAGUUUAAGGCCUAAACAUGGUGUUUACGGCCGUAAACCCUAAAGGGGAGGGGUAAAAAAGUGGCACUUAGCCAUUUUUAGCAUUUUUCCACCUUUCCAAGAGUAAACUCCCAAACUCUCUGAAGUAUCAUCCCGGUUUUCUUCGAAAUCUUCAAUCUAGUAAGUGUUUCUAGCUUUCUUAAGUUGUUAUAUGACUUAAUCUAGUGUUUUGACACACUUCUAACCGUGAAAUCCUUCCAAAAGGGUUAAUCUUCAAUUUACACCAAGAACACACACUUGUGUUCUUGGCCUUUCGGUCCUUUUCGAGCUUCUACCUUGUAAGUGUUCCUAUCCUAGAGUCUUACAAGCUUUAUUAUACUUCUAUACCUCAAGAAAUAGUCCCAAGAACACCAAGAUCAUGGUGUUUACGGUCCAAGGAGUUCUUGGACCGUGAACCCCAAAUAAAGGUGCCAAAGUGUGCCAAAGUGUGCUUUAUCCUUUCCUAGGCCUUGGGUAUUAACUUAGAAUCCUUCCUUGAUGUGUUUAGCACAUGAAAACCACCAAUAUGACUCAUUUAUAUGUGUUUACGGUUUGGGGAUCUCCCAAAACUGUAAACACCACAAAGGUGUGUAAAAAUGGCCCUAGUCCCUUCACAAGCUUAGGAAACUAGUCUAGAUUUAUUCCUUGUUAUGUUUGGGACUUGAAAUCAUCAAAAUACCAUGUUCCAUAGGAAUUUACGGCAGCAAACUCAUGGAGAAAUGGUCCAUGGGCCGUAAACUCCAUUUAGGAGUGUAUUGACGCCACAAAACAUUUCCUAAGGCCUAAACAUUAAGUUGGAAUGCUUGGAAUGGCUUAGAAGACUUCAAAUCAACAAAUGGUCAAAAGGUUAUGAGCUUAUGGCUGUAAACUCAAGUGUUUACAACCGUAAGCUCAAUAGGAUAUGGUCUUUGGGGAGCAAACUCAUGUUAGGGGUUCCCUUGAACCCUAAAACCCAAUAGCCUUGCCCUACAACACUUAGAUAAACUCCUUAGCACUUAUAACAAUUAUACAAAGUGUUUAUCAUGCCCUAGGAUGUCUUACCUUUGUUUAUUAGUUGUUUAGAGACUAAUUGGGUACACAUAUGUGAUAUUAUAUGUUAUCUAGGAUCAUAGAGUGUGUACAAGUCUUCACUUGACACCUAACAUCCUAUUUCAGUCCGUUCAUCCCAACCACUUGCUACAGGUGAGUUCAUACCCCUUAAAUCAAUGAUUUAAAUGUUUUUAAAUGUUUUUAUGUGGGGGGGAUACAAGUUGAAUCAUGCUAGUUAUUAUAUUAAUCACAUGUGAUUAAUAAGUAGCAUACAAAAGGAUUUAUUACUUCUUUAGCUGUUUUACCAAACAGUUUACUUCAAAUGGUUUUAGAAAACUUAUAUUAUGCUUUUUCCCAUUGGGAUGUGGUCUGGUAAGGUAUCAGGUAUCCGUCCAAAGGUCGUAUAAAUAUUAGUUAUGUAUCAUGUUUACAUAUAUAGUCAUAAAGAUUCUUCCAGUCAGUUCAAUACCCAUGGGUAGGAAGGGUAUACUUCCAUGUUCAUACGUACCAGUUACCUUACUAGUAAAUUACCAUACGGGUAGUUUAGGAAGAUACUAAUACGAUUACUAGAAUGCAGAAUCAUACAAUGAGUCAGUUCAUUCAUGAGUCAAUACUUGCUAGAUAGAGAGAGAACACACAUUACAGCUAGUACACACAGUACAUUACUAUACAUGCUAGACAGAGACAUAGAACACACAUUACAGCUAGCACACGCAGAACAUUACAGUACAUACAAGCUAGACAGAGAAAGAGUACACUUAUAGUUAGCACAUUUAUCACAUGUACAUUUAUGCAGUUAUGUGAACCAUUAAGCGGGUCAUGGCACUUGCUGCUAUGACCGUUUUUGUAUCCCGAAUCUCCUUAAUUGGGGAGCGUAUGAGUUUGCAUAUAGAUCUAUACUGGAUUGACUAUCCUACACCUUGCUGCUCGCUACAGUGGGACUUGCAAGUCUACGGGUGCCAAAUGUCAUUUCUUACGACGUCUUACAUCGUCGUUUCACUAGAGUCGGUGCCAGGAUACAAGUCGAUAACAUGUUACUUUAAAUUAAAAUAGAUUUAAAGUAGUUAGUACAGUCGUACUUAUAUGAUAUUGCACCAUAGUACUAUUUCAUUUUCCCAUUACAUUCCCUUCCUGAACAUUCACACGAUGCACUUAAUGUAGAAGCUAUAUUUUGGUUAAUGAUAGUCGGGUUUGGGAAAAUACACACUCUUACAGGAGACACACACAGAUACUAGAUGGCUUGGUAGAAGGCUACUCUCAGUAGGAAGCAUAGGGUUUUCUAGGAUGUUCAAAACGUUUUCAUACUUACAUUUCAUACACGUAAUACUUACAUUUCAUAUACAUACAAAUACUUACAUUUCAUAUACAUACAAAUACUUACAUUUCAUAUACAUACAAAUACUUACAUUUCAUAUACAUACAAAUACUUACAUUUCAUAUACAUACAAAUACUUACAUACAAAUUAGGACACUAAAAUACUUAUGAUCUUACCAGCAUUAAAGUUGAUACUCUCUUUCAAAAUAACUUGUAUCCUCAGGUCAACAGUAGACAGGUACCGAUGCAAGGUUUAGAGAAGACGGAGCUCGUUCAAGACGCAUCUUUCAUUUUGAUUUAUACUUUAGUGUCUAUUUGACAUAUCAGAACACUUGUAUUAAAAUUAUAUUAUUAAUGGAAUGGAUGAUGUUGUUGCUUGUUUACUACUAUUCAUUGUUGUGAUACUGUACAUGACGUCCUCCGCCCCAGAACGUUUCCGCUGUUCAUGGUUCUGGGGUGUAACAGAUUGGUAUCAGAGCCUUGUUUAUAGUGAUUUGAGUAUAUCAACCCAUAAAAGAUAUACAGACUAUAAAUACAAUGGGAAUAAAAUAAUCUGACCAAUAGUUACACUUUAAAUAAUAAAAUAUUUAAUUACGUAUACGUGCCUGCAUUCAUACUAAAAUCAGUGUCACUAGGACUGUACAAAUGAAUUACGAUUGUUGGGCAGCACAAGUAGACUUAGAGACAUAUAGUCAAAACUGGGAAUAUAUAGCCUGAUCAACUAUAUUAUCCGAGGGUUGACUAGCAUGUGCCUAAGUGUAGUUGUGAGGUUGCAACAAGUUUAAAAUCUUACCAACAAUACCACAAUGAGAACAAUAGAACAUAAACCUAAAAUACUAUAGGGGUAUUUGGUGUUACUGUAAGUACUUCAUACUUGAGAACUAAACGAGAUCUUCAUUACUAAGUUGAUAGUUGCUAAGUGGAUACACUAAGGCUAUAUGUAACUAGGAUGUUAUAGACUUAGAAUCUGUGAAAAUUUUGCUUUACCCCUAUUCUUUGUGAAUUUGGAGUUAAGGUCACUUAUUCGAAGGCCUAUCCUAUUUCGAUUACAUAUAACUGCUAUGCACUUCACAAAUAGUGAUGUAACUAAUGAAGAUUUUCUAAAUAAUUAUCUAGAUAGUUCGUCUAAUAAUUAUUUUCUUACCCAAAUUCUCGCAUAGAUAACAUGGUUGGACUCCAUCCCCAUGGCAAUCUGUACCUUCCGAAUGAAGUCCUUGCUAGAUGGUUUGGAGAAGAACCAGAGAAUGAUCAUCCUAUCCCUUUGAAUGAUCACCAUGAUGAAGACCUUUCGGAUGGUGCUAACUCCGAACCCGAGGUUGAGAACCUAUCCCAGGCAGCUCCCGUUCCAAAUCCUAACCCUCGUCCGGCUUUUCAUGGCCCGACGCCUCAGUGGGUAGAAUGCUUAGAAACAUGGAGCCAAGGACAAGAUCAACCCAUGCCAUUUAAUGGUGACCGAAGUUUUUAUGACCUGAGCAAUGGGGGCUUAGCAGACAGAAUCUUGCCAAUGCAAGAAUGCACACCCUCCGCACCAUUCGCCUGGAAGAUGCUCGUGAGAGAUCUGAGAGAGACCAUGAAACCCUGCUGCAAGCAUUGGCUGAAUCAGGAGCCGAAGUCAUAGAACUCCGAGUACGCCAGAGGGUGUACGAAAGACACCUACUUAAUGUGGAACGCCAACUGAUUGAACUGAGAGUUCACCAGAGGGAUGAUCGUCGCCAAUAGUAGAUGCCUUACUUUAUUUUCCUUGUUAAAAGGAAUUGUUUUCUGUCUAUGCCCAAUGUGGCAUUUUCUAUGAAACUAUCUUGUAUUUUAAGUAAUUUAGUUAGGCCUUUAUGCUGUCAAGGACUAUCUACUCUGGAUAUGAUGUAAGACUUGUUACAAGGUCAUUUUCUCGAACUUGUAAGUAAUGAAUAUCAAAGAUAUUGACAGUCGGCUAAGUUCUAUGUCAUUCUUUAUUCAAUUACUUUCAUCAUGCCAUCAUGGGAGCCUAUCUGAAACCCACUCUAGUCAAGCUAUUGGACUAGGGUAAUUUAGCUCUGGGAUCAUUCCCAAUUCUCUACCAAAGGUUGGAUCAUGUUAUUCCCCAACCAAUGGUACCCCAGCUUGAAUGUCAAGCGUCAUAAGACCAUACUAUGAACAUACUUAUAUCCCAUUCUAGGACUGCAUCAUAGGGAUGUAGGUCAAAUCCUUCGCGAACAUACUUCCAUUCUUUACUAGGACUGCAUCAUUGGGAUGUAGGUCAAACCUUUGCAAACAUAUUUCCAUUCCGUACAAAGACUGCAUCAUAGGGGUGUAGGUCAAACCUUCGAGAGAAUACUCUUACUCUUCGAUUGAAUGAUCAAAGUACAUCUAGGGCCAAUAGUAGCCACUACUAGAAAUUCUAGUUCAUCAUAUAGGAUUCGUAAGAAGAUUAUUAUUAUGACUUUCCUCGCUUAUACAUUCCCAAGUUAUAUAUAACGAAUACCUGGUAGACAAUAGUAUGUGAGAUUUCUAACUUAGUUUCUUUUCCCCGUUGGGAUGUGGGACCAGAGUAGAAUCACACAUUUUAUUAUCUGCCCGUUCUUAAUUAUAUCAUAACGUGUAUAAGCUAAGUGUUCAUGUAUAAUAAUAACUCAGUUCUUAGCCAGAAUCAAAAUGAUACAGGUUUAACCGUACUUGCUCACGAGUUCAUUCUUUUUCCUUAUAACAGAAUCAUGUCGUCACCCGGAAAUAGUCAACCGAGCAACGAAACCCCUAUCCUCCAUAUCGACGCCACUACGUUACAAGCAGCGAUAGCAGCUACUGUUACAGCUUUCCUUACACACAUCAACUCUCUCACCGCAAACAAGCCCGACGAAGGAGUCGACAAUUCCGAUUGUAGUACCAAACCGGGAAACCAACAAAUGACAACAGUCACGGAUCUACAAAGCCGAAAAACUGAGAAGAAUAAACGAAAGCACCAAGCCCAAAAAGAGCGCAAGAGAUCCCAAAAACUAGUCGUGGAACAGCAACAAGUGGCAGCCCCUGCAUUCCCAGUACCGACAAGGCCAUACGAAGGAAAACUUCCAAAGUUUAGCAGGUGCAGCUCUCAUCAUAAUGGGGCUUGCCAUGAAAUGCAAUGUUGUAAUUGCCUAAAAUAGGGCACCAUGCUUGUAGCUGUGGAGCACCGGCACGACCCAUUCUUCUAGUCCCUGGCAUCGGGACCAACCCUACACAGAAAAGUAGUGAUUAAGCCGAACUCUUUAGGAGGAAAUUUUCAAAGUGGAGUAAUGAGGAAGGCACUCGUGUCCACGUAACUCUGACUAAACACCUUACUCCCACCACCAAUGCUAGUACUAGCCAGUCAUGCCACCAAUGCGGUGAGGUAGGGCACUUCAAGAAGGAUUGUCCUAUAACAAAGAACUCGGGCGUAGACGACAGAAUUCUAAGGAUCACUGCCGCAGGGGAGACUACUCCGAACCCACGUAAAAGUAAUUAAGGUGUUUUGUUGUAACAGACUUAUAAACCAUCCAAAACUAGUGCAACUAGAGUCUUAUCUUUGGCGAGAUCCCGUCAGUAAAGGGAUGCUCGUGCUGUGUAUACUUGUCUUUGGUAGUAUACCUUAUGCGCAGCAAUAGUCUUGUAGUAAGUCUAAAGUACUGUAGCUCUUUUGAUGGUUGCACGCUUGUGUUUUGUCUGUAACGCCUUAGGUUCAAAUAUAAUGUCUUUAAGUUUCCUUAUGAUUCCGACAUUACCAUACGACUAGAUUCAAUUUGAUCCGCACAUUACAAGCUUCAUACGUACAUCUCUUUCUUCUAAAUCGCCUUUCCAGCGAAGCCGUCAUAUCAGAACACCGAAGUACUCAUGCAUGGACUACCUCAUAGUUAUUCUCCUUCUGGAAAAAUCCCUGAAGUAACACUCGUACAAUACGUCAAGUUCAAUCCAAAGAUCCAUACGGUUGAUCUGUCGCUGAAGAAGGUAUACAUAAGGGUGGUAUAUAAUCAAAGUUCUACAGGUUUAGAAUUGAUGAUUCCACUUUAACUUCUUUUCCUCGUAGGGAUAAGAGCUUAAAGAAGAAUCAGUUAUUCGACUACCUUUUCAAUCUUAAUUAUAUACGAAUCGUAUACAUGAGACUGCGAUUGAUUAACCAUGUAUGAAUUCUAAAUGUGAACUUCAGGACGGAGACUGCUCAAGAAUACGAGUAAUCGCAUCAUCAUGUGAACAAACAUAGAACCUACUACGACUCCGGUAACUAGAUCGCCCUACAGUCUAAACACCCACAGAAAUACAAGAACAAUCCGGACAACUACUCAGCAAUAGAAUUGGAAGACCAGGCUUCUCACCCAGGAGGGCUCUAGUCUUAUUCUUCUAGAAGUAGACAGAUUGCAUCAUAUGUACCUCGACUAUUGGAGACCUCGUCAAGAUUUCCAUUAGAAGUCGUUAUCUCUACCUCGCACAGAUGAUUUGGUUGAGCAAACGCAAAGAACGAUUUACCUUUCAGAAAUGGACCGAGACCCGAAUACCAGCAGUUUCUAGUGUUAGGGAAGGAUGUCCCGAAGACUACCUUCCUAACUCGACGCGGACACUUCGAGUCCGUGGUAAUAUCCCUUGGAUAGGACCAAUACGCCAAUAUUAUUCAUGAGCUUAAUGAAUAGGGUACGCCAUUCUUAGAUGUAUCAACUCGUCAUUCUCCUUGUAUUGACUUACUUAUCUACCCUCGUAGUAAGAAUGAACUCAUGGAAACAUUACCCUCAGAGAAAAUUUUCACAAAGUUCUCUAAACACGAGAUUUGGAAUUGAAGAGUCAAAUUCAUAAGACACACUAUUAGUGAUGUGGAAAUUCUUGAGUACUCUAUCAAUUUAUCCAAAACCGUUGGGAAUUUGUCGGCACCGAAGAUGCCGACAGAAAUUUGCCAAAUUCUAGGUCUUGCAAACCUACUAUCGUAGUCCAUUCAGAACUCCUCGCAAAUUACAGUAAUCCUUACGAAUUUGACCCAACAGAGGGUGUCCCUCGACUGGGAAGAUAAGCAGGAAAAAGAAACCUUGGAAUUUCAAGUGAGAGGCCAAAUCCUUUUUGGAAAUCUCACUCUAAGAAUGGCUUAAUACGCUUCGUAAAGCGUGGGAAGCUGAAUCCAAGAUGUUUAGGACCUCCGAGAUUCUUACCGAAAUCGUUCCUGUAUCUCACAGACUAGACCUACUCCGCAAACUUAGUAACGUACAUGCUACCCUUCACGUCUCGAAGUUGUGAAAAGUAUCGAUCUGACGACACUCUUGAAAUCCCACUCGAAGGGAUCGAGUCCCACAAGAGCCUCACCUACAUGGAAGAACUGUAGUGACCAUGGAUCGAGAGGGCAUGCGAACGAUUCAUAGUUGUUUCCCCUAUAAGUGAAGGUUCGCUGAGAUGCCAACCAGGGACCCGAAUUCACUUGGGAGCGCGAGAAUCGAUCGAUUAGGAAGUAUCCCCACUUCUUGGCUUGAUAAUUCAUGUCUACUUCCUUACCUAAAUUCUAAUUUCGGGACGAAAUUCCUUCUAACGGGGGGAUGAUGUGACAACCCGAAAUUUCCAUUCUGUACAAACAUGUCAAGUCAGUAGAAGUCGGAGCAGUUGCUGUUAAUUUUUAGACUUUUUGGAAUAAGUUUGAGUUUUCUAGAAUUAACACUUUAGGAGAUAUCAGGAGAGAGGAUGCCCUAGGGUUUAUUGUGCAACAAUAAAGUCCCGACACAUCAAAAGUUUAGAGUUUAUGGCCUAAACUUGGUGUUUACGACUGUAAACCCUAAAGGGGAGGGGUAUAAAAGUGGCACUUAGUCAUUUUUAGCAUUUUUGCACCUUUCCAAGAGUAAACUCCCAAACUUUCUCAAGUAUCAUCCCAGUUUUCUUCGAAAUCUUCAAUCUAGUAAGUGUUUCUAGCUCUCUUAAGUUGUUAUAUGACUUAAUCUAGUAUUUUAACACACUUCUAACCGUGAAAUCCUUCCAAAAGGGUUAAUCUUCAAUUUACACCAAGAACACACACUUGUGUUCUUGGCCUUUCGGAUCUUUUUGAGCUUCUACCUUGUAAGUGUUCCUAUCCUAGAGUCUUACAAGCUUUAUUAUACUUCUAUACCUCAAGAAAUAGUCCCAAGAACACCAAGAUCAUGGUGUUUACGGUCCAAGGAGUUCUUGGACCGUGAACCCCAAAUAAAGGUGCCAAAGUGUGCCAAAGUGUGCUUUAUCCUUUCCUAGGCCUUGGGUAUUAACUUAGAAUCCUUCCUUGAUGUGUUUAGCACAUGAAAACCACCAAUAUGACUCAUUUAUAUGUGUUUACGGUUUGGGGAUCUCCCAAAACCGUAAACACCCCAAAGGUGUGUAAAAAUGGCCCUAGUCCCUUCACAAGCUUAGGAAACUAGUCUAGAUUUAUUCCUUGUUAUGUUUGGGACUUGAAAGCAUAAAAAUACCAUGUUCCAUAGGAGUUUACGGUAGCAAACUCAUGGAGAAAUUGUCCAUGGGCCGUAAACUCCAUUUAGGAGUGUAUUGACGCUACAAAACAUUUCCUAAGGCCUAAACAUUAAGUUGGAAUGCUUGGAAUGGCUUAGAAGACUUCAAAUCAACAAAUGGUCAAAAGGUUAUGAGCUUACGGCUGUAAACUCAAGAGUUUACGACCGUAAGCUCAAUAGGAUAUGGUCUUUGGGGAGCAAACUCAUGUUAGGGGUUCCCUUGAACCCUAAAACCCAAUAGCCUUGCCCUACAACACUUAGAUAAACUCCUUAGCACUUAUAACAAUUAUACAAAGUGUUUAUCAUGCCCUAGGAUGUCUUACCUUUGUUUAUUAGUUGUUUAGAGACUAAUUGGGUACACAUAUGUGAUAUUAUAUGUUAUCUAGGAUCAUAGAGUGUGUACAAGUCUUCACCUAACACCUAGCAUCCUAUUUCAGUCCGUUCAUCCCAACCACUUGCUACAGGUGAGUUCACACCCCUUUAAUCAAUGAUUUAAAUGUUUUUAAAUGUUUUUAUGUGGGGGGAUACAAGUUGAAUCAUGCUAGUUAUUAUAUUAAUCACAUGUGAUUAAUGAGUAGCAUACAAAAGGAUUUAUUACUUCUUUAGCUGUUUUACCCAACAGUUUACUUCAAAUGGUUUUACAAAACUUAUUUUAUGCUUUUAUAUUGUUAAUUGCAUGCCUAUAUAUGUAUAGUUAUAUAAGUAAUGUUUAAGGGAAUUAGGAAGGAUUACCUGCUUUAUUUCCUUUACCCUGUUGGGAUGUGGUCUGGUAAGGUAUCGGGUAUCCGUCUGAAGGUCGUAUAAAUAUUAGUUAUGUAUCAUUUGUACAUAUAUAGUCAUAAAGGUUUUUCCAGUCAGUUCAAUACCCUUGGGUAGCAAGGGUAUACUUCCAUGUUCAUACGUACCAGUUACCUUACUAGUAAGCUACCAUACCGGUAGUUUAGGAAUAUACUAAUACGAUUACUAGAAUGCGGAAUCAUACAAUGAGUCAGUUCAUUCAUGAGUCAAUACUUGCAACACAAAGAGAGAAUACACAUUACAGCUAGCACACGCAGAACAUUACAGUACAUACAUGCUAGACAGAGAGAGAACACACAUUACAGCUAGCACACGCAGAACAUUACAGUACAUACAUGCUAGACAGAGAAAGAGUACACUUACAGUUAGCACAUUUAUCACAUGUACAUUUAUGCAGUUAUGUGAACCAUUAAGCGGGGCAUGGCACUUCCUUCCAUGACCGUUUUUGUAUUAUGAAUCUCCUUAAUUGGGGAGCUUAUGAGUUCGUGUAUAGAUCUAUACUGGAUUGACUAUCCUACACCUUGCUGCUCGCUACAGUGGGACUUGCAAGUCUAUGAGUGCCAACUGUCAUUUCUUACGGCGUCUUACAUCGUCGUUUUACUAGAGUCGGUGGCAAGAUACAGGUCGAUCACAUGUUACUUUAAAUUACAAUAGAUUUAAAUUAGUUAGUACGGUCGUAGUUAUAUGAUACUACACCAUGGUACUAUUUCAUUUUCCCAUUGCAUUCACUUCGUGAUCAUUCACACGAUGCACGGUAAUGUAGAAGCUAUAUUUUGGUUAAUGAUAGUCGGGUUUGGGAAAAUACACACUCUUACAAGAGACACACACAGAUACUAGAUGCCUUGGUAGAAGGCUACUCUUAGUAGGAAGCAUAGGGCUUUCUAGGAUGUUCAAAACAUUUUGAUACUUACAUUUCAUACACCUACAAAUACUUACAUUUCAUAUACGUACAAAUACUUACAUUUCAUAUACGUACAAAUACAUACGCUUCAUAUACGUACAAAUAUUUACGUUUCAUAUACGUACAAAUACUUACGUUUCAUAUAAGUACAAAUACUUACAUUUCAUUCGUACAAAUACUUACAUACAAAUUAAGACACUAAAAUACUUAUGAUCUCACUAGCUUUAAAGCUGAUACUCUCUUUCAAAAUAACUUGUAUCCUCAGGUUAACAAUAGACAGGUACCGAUGCAAGGUUUAGAGAAGAUGGAGCUCUUUCAAGACUCAUCUUUCAUUUUGAUUUCUACUUUAGUGUCUAUUAGACAUAUCAGAACACUUGUAUUAAAAUUAUAUUAUUAAUGCAAUGGAUGAUGUUGUUGCUUGUUUACUACUAUUCAUUGUUGUGAUAUUGUACAUGACGUCCUCCGCCCCAGAACGUUUCCGCUGUUCAUGGUUUUGAGGUGUGACAGUUUUUACGGAUUUUUAAGUUGGUAUGAUGAGCUAUGGGCUAGAUCUAAAGUUGUAACUUCAGAUCUGGACCCUCCUUGGAUUCUAGAAGCAUAAAGUCAACGUCUUGGUUGUGAUUAACGUCCCUCUUGAGCAUGAAGUUCCAUUAAGAACUUAGAAUAGACAUUUAGAGCCUUUAUAGUCAUGCAUGCACGUAAAGUUUGCAACUUUAUGUGAUAAGCAUGCCCGAGAAGCUUGGAUCUAUGAUUUGGAGUCGUUGCAUGGCUCAAAAUAUGUCUGUAUGGAAGAAAAGGACUGAAUGGACUCGACAAGUCGCAAAGUGACUCAGCGAGUCACAUGAAGAUGGCCGUGAACUCGACAAGUUGGAUGAACAACUCGGCGACUCCUAUGAAGAUCGCCAUAAGACUCGACGAGUUGAAGAACAACUCGGCGAGUCGGAUGAGUUUCCUCUAGGAUAUGUAUGAGUGUGUAUACGUCAAGUUGCAAGGAGGGAACUCGACGGGUGACCUUAAGUUUGAUCAAGAAUCAAAGGAACUCGACGAGUCACUUCGAUGACUCGACGAGUUAGAAUGCACUUCAGGGAACUCGACGAGUAGCCAAGGGUACUCGACAAGUUAAGGUCAACAUGGACUGUUUACCUUGACUGAGGACUUUGAUUUUGAACAGGGGUUGACUAGUGGGUUAGGGAGUACCUUAUAUGGUUAAGGACUUAUGAGUAUUAUGUACUAUGAUGAUAAGUGGUAGAACCUGUGCCAAGUGAUUCGGGAGUUAGAGUUUACCUUUCGCGUCGACAUCUGCGAGGUGAGUUAUCCUCACUAUAUCGAUAGGGUCUACGGCACCAAGGCCGGCCCUUUAGUUGUUAUUGUUAUGGUAUGCUACAAGUGGUUAUGAUUUGUUAGAUCGGAAUCGGGAAAGACAGUAUGUUAUGCUCUUAUGAUCCGUAGGGAUUGGUAUGUUAGUGACCUACUAGGUCGGUACUCUAGUUACAGGAGAAUUCUAUGAUUGAUGAUCAGUGUGACAUAUAUGUUUGAUGUUUGUAUAUGUAUAUCUGUGGUAGUAUACGCACAUGGUUAUUUGCUGGUGGUUGAGUUAAGGCGGUCCUGCUUUGUGUUGAAGGCCAAUAUACCCUAUGAGCAGUACGGGGAGACUGUAGGCCCACGUGGCGGACCAGUCAUGCCGAAGGCUCGGGAUAGAUUCAGACAGACUGUAGGCCCAGUAGGGCGGUCCAGUUAGGCUGAUGGCCCAGGAUGCAUGUUGAUUGAUUGAUUAUUACUGAUAUGGUAUUGUCAGUGUGGUAUUGGUAUUUUGGAGGUAGCUCACUAAGCUCUCAGGCUUACAGUUUUCAGUUUAUUCUUUUAGGUACUUCAGGAGAUCAUGGAAAAGGCGAAGGCGUGANGAGCCCGAAGAUCCCGAGAAAAAGAGUUUUCGACACGAAACUCUGUCCGCGUGAAGCCCGUUUUUCGAGAAAACAUCCUGUUUUACAAUAAACAAUCAUUUUAAGAAACGAAGUGUUUCCCAAUUAUCGUUAAAUCAAGUGGGUGUAUAGUCACUUUCAUCUUACACAUAGAUAUGAAGUAUUUUAUAUAACAUACAUGCUAUGUGUGUGUAUAUAUAUAUAUAUAUAUAUAUAUAUAUAUAUUGUUUGUUUAUUUGAGAUGGAUGUUGGAUGAAUGUUUUAUAUAGGUUUUAUAUGAUUUAAACAAUAUAUGUAAUUUAUAUUUACAAAUAUGUUGGGUAGAACAUGGGUGGAUGAAAUAGUUGGUGUGUGAUGAAAGAUUAGUUUGAGGAUGAGACGAAAGAUGAUAUAGAUCAUGAGAUGAGGGUGACAGGGGAAAAAUGAGUGAAACCUUUACCCAAACGAUGGACCUGUCAUUCAGCAGAGUAGGGAAGACAACCACGGACGAUUCUAGACAAUCAAGUGGAGCACUUGUAGGCUCGCAACUUGUAGGUGUUGUGAGCGAUGUGUUCACCGGUGUACUCUAAAAACCUUGGCAGCUAUAGAUUUAGUGCCUUAUAAUAAUACGAUGAUAGCUAUGGAUUUAAUACAGUGUAGAUGAACAUUGGUAGCUAUGGAUUUAGUAUUGUAUAGAUGAACUUUGGCAGCUAUGGAUUUAGUGUUGGUUAUAGGAACCUCGAGCAACAAUGGACUUUGUGCGAAUUCCUUAGGUCAAUCCUUAGGAACAAAUGAAGGAAGGAUAGUCAAUUCUUAGGGUAAAACCUUAAGAAAUAAAGAAGCUAAUGUGGAUGGGUAAUUGGUUUGAUUGUUUGAUGAUUGAAUAUAAUAAUUAUAUUAUUGUGGGUUGAAAACCCUAUAUGCUCACCAGGCACCCAACCCUGACCCACUCAGUUUUCUUUGCAUUACAGGUAAUGGCACAAGAGUAUAAUUUGGUGGACUUGAUGAGAGAUUUUGGAUUAUAGAAUAGUAGUUAUAAAUAUCUGUUGUAAGUUCUAUUUUAUACUGUUUAUGCUUUUGGUCUGUAACGGAACAUGAAAUCCCGAGAUUUUAUUAUUUAAUGAAAAUACAUUUGUUUAAAGAAAUGCUUUGAUAAAUUCUUAUCAUAUUUUGUUUUGGGAACAAAUUCCGCAACUCUUUUAAUGAAAGGAUUGCUUUGAUUUUAUAAAACAAACCAUAAACAAAUCGGUCUUUUAUGGCCGUGAAAAUGGGAAUGUCACACUUCCUCACAACCAAAAGUUGGUUCUAGGCACCUUGGUAACUUCUUUAUGAAACUCAAUGUUAGGUCAAAAUAUGGUUUAUACUUUGCUUUUCUGGGCAAUUAUAUUUUUGUGUAAUAUUUUAUGAAUUUAUGGUCUAGUUUACGGCUGAGUUUACGGCUGAGUUUACGGCCGUAAACACCUUACGGCCGUAAACUCAUUUACGGCCCAUUUGUUUCCGGCCCAUGUUCCCUAGUAUAAAUAGAGGUGUUAGGGUGAGGGGUAGUGAUUUGAUGAACUAGAAUGAGUUUACGGCCAGAGAGAAAGGAACGUUUGUGUGGGUGAAUCUUGUGUAAGGAACUUAAUUCAUAUUAUCAAUACAUUCAAGAUUCAUCAUAUUCUUCUUCUUCUUCUCUUCUAUUUUGAUCUUACUUCAUCCAUUUGAUUGGGAUUCCGCACCAUCAAACGGAUCUGACUAAUACACAAGCAAAUUAGGGACUUACAGUUGGUAUCAAAGCCUGGUUGUAUCAGUCAAAAGGAUUUAUUGUUUCGUCUGGAAUCUGAAUAAUUGGUGUUUCCGGUCCAAGCUUACGGCCGUAAACACCGAGUUCUUGGGCCGUAAACCCUAUUUUGGAGCAUUAUUUGAUCUUAUUUUCUAAAUAUUUUUGUGUUUUUGGAUAGAUCUCGCAAAAAUAAACGGGGUUUGUUCUUCGUGUUUUUCAUAAAAAAAGGGUUUUUGAUCGAGUUUUGGAGCUUCAAAGUCGUAAAAUCGCUGUUUUUCACGUAAUCGUUGAAGUGUUUUCGGCCGGAGCUUACUGCCGGAAACAGUUCACGGCCGGAAACUGUUCACAGCCGGCGGCGGAGUUCGUGUUUGCGGCUAGGGUUUCCGAGCAUGCAGCUCAGAGUUUUCGGUCCGGAUGGAAGUAUACGGCUCGAAUUUUGGCUCGGCUUGGAUCGCGGCUUAAAGAAUCGGCUCGGCUCGGCAGCUUAAUUGGACUACAGGCGCGCUUUAAUUAAAAAGGGAGGAGGCGAAGUUGGGGGUAGCAGGGAUCGAACAUGCGACUUCUAGGUCAUUGACACAACGCGCUUAGCCAACUCGGCCAGCUAAUCAGUUGUUUCAAUCCUCCGAUAAUUUAAAUUUAAACACUUCCAACCGCACCCUAAUUUCGAAAUUUGACACUUUUAACCCCAAAAAUCAAUUUCUUUCCUUUUUAAAUAUCUUUUUCAACCAAAAAAAUUUUAAUUUUUAAUUUUUGACUUUUAUAUUUGACUUUUUACUUAAAAUUAUGACUUUGACUUUCAGGUUUGACCUUUGAUUUUAAACUUUGACUUUCAGGUUUGACCUUUGAUUUUAAACUUUGACUUUUUCGUUUAACUUUUAAAAUUUCAAAUUUAGCUUUUCGGUUUGACUUUUAAGUUUGACUUUUGAAUUUGAUUUUUUAAAUUUGACUUUUAAGGUUGACUUUUUUUAUAAAAAAAGGCAUUUUAAAUUUGACGUUUAAUUUUUAUCUUAGCUUCUAGUUGUGUUUUUUAAUUGAUUUUAAGAUCUACGAGGGAGUUGAAAACAUGAAAGAGAGUCGUCAGGAUAUCUUAAGACAAAAUUUCAACAUGUUCGAUUAUAUCCCUGGAGAAACCCUAGAAGCUCAGUUGCAGCGAUUUACCACACUUACUACUGAGAUGACUAUUGCUGGGAUCUUCUUGACUAAGUCGGAGAUAAACAAAAAGCUGCUAAAUUCACUUCCGAAAUCGUGGUAUAUGAACGUGGCCAUAAUCAAGAAGACAAAAGAUCUCAAUCAUCUUAGUCUUACUGAUGUUAUUCAAGAACUUGAUGCUUUGAAGUGUAGAGAAACAAUGAGUUCUGAAAACAUUCCGGUCACUAAAGUUACAUGUACUCCAGCUUGUGAAGCCACGAUUAAAUUUCUUCAGGAACAAAUUGAUAUGUUUAAAAGAGAAGUUAAAGAUCUGAGAUAUGAAGGAUAUCAACUCAGGAAAGGACAGAAACCACUGAAGGCUGAGUUAGAAGCAAAAACCAAGGACUUUAGGAAACUUCAGGAAGAGUAUAGCAACAAGUGUGAAAAUUAUGAUUAUGUUAAGAGACAACUUGUUGCUGUAACUGAAGAACUUGACGCUUUAAAAAUCAAGUGUGGAAAAACUGAUGUCAGUUUCAAAAAUUAUACUGCGUCAAGUCAGACAGUUGAGUCCUUGUAUGAAACCCAAUUAAAAUUCAAAGAAAAUCAAAACAAGGGUCUAGGGUAUGAUAGUGUACCUCCUCCUUAUAAUCAUAACUACACAUCCAUCCCUAUGACACAUGACGAAACUGACAGGGAGCCACAUCUUCGAUAUGGAAAACGAGUUGGAUUUGUGUCAGGAGGAGUUAUUAAUGUUGAAAAUAUUGAUGUUUCUGUCACAUGUGCAGGUAAAGUAGAAGAGGAUGAGAACAAGGAGAGUUCUUUUGAACAAACAAACGACCCCUUGAACUCUGAAUCUGUUGCUUCGAACUCAACUGCUUCUGAUCAACCUGCCGUUGGUAAAUACAUGCCCCCAAUUCCAACGCAACAGAGUUCUUGUGGCAAGUGUGCAUGUGGAAACAACAAGAGUAUGCCACCAAGGGCAGGAAGAAAUAACUUUAUAGUGAAUAAAAAGACAUGUUUUCACUGUGGACCACCUGGACACAAUGCCCAAAACUGUCCAAAUCACACAUAUGUUCCCUACUAUGCACAAGGAUGGCAAAAAACGCCAAGAGGGAGAUACUCCAAAAGAAACCCCUCAAGGCCACGUUCAGACAUUGACGACUGGAAUGCCAAAAAGGCCAAGAAUCCGAAUCCCAAGGGCAAGAAGGGAAUGUCGGCCAAGAAGUCUGAUCCAAGAGAUGCUCCUAUGAAGCCAAAAUCAAAGUCAUGUCAACGGCCGACAUCAUGUUCAAAAGCAAGUACUGAGCCACCCAUCAGAUCGAAAAAGAAAUGGGUUAAACCCAACUACAAAUGGGUUCCGAAGGCUCAAUCUCCCAAAUCAACUAAUGAUUCUAACGUUUCUACAUCUUCUGUUUGUGACAAGCAGGAUAUGUCAUGGGAGAGAGUAUCGUGCGUUGAUGACAAAGGUCGACCCAGUUUCAAAAUGGACUGGGUUGCGACGACCAACUGAUCCCGCUCUGUGUCGAAGCAGCUAUGGAGGCAUAUUAUCAGACGUCGGUUUGUUGGUAGUGGCUGCUUUUGACAUAUGAUUGGGGACAUCUCUCAAUUGUGUAACAUUUUGACCUUUGCUUGAGAGCAUGUGUCCUUUUGCGGAAAGGAAAGAAGGGAAGAAAAUAAGGGAUCACAUGGGGUUUGUGCUUAAUGACAUGAAGAAUUUUUGAAUCUGUUCUGAGAUUAUGCUUGCUGUUCUCAGACCUUCUUAAUGCAAAUUCAAUCGGUGACUUACGGUUUGCGUUUUCUUCUCUAAUACUCCUAAGUUUUUCUUAACCUGAUUCACUUUAAAGACUAAUUUUUGUUUUAGGAUAGUUUAAAUUUGCGCAUUUACUUUCGUUUCUCUCCUAUGCACAAAUUUAGGGGGAGAAAUAAAAACAAAACAAAAAUUAGAAAAUUUUNNNNNNNNNNNNNNNNNNNNNNNNNNNNNNNNNNNNNNNNNNNNNNNNNNNNNNNNNNNNNNNNNNNNNNNNNNNNNNNNNNNNNNNNNNNNNNNNNNNNNNNNNNNNNNNNNNNNNNNNNNNNNNNNNNNNNNNNNNNNNNNNNNNNNNNNNNNNNNNNNNNNNNNNNNNNNNNNNNNNNNNNNNNNNNNNNNNNNNNNNNNNNNNNNNNNNNNNNNNNNNNNNNNNNNNNNNNNNNNNNNNNNNNNNNNNNNNNNNNNNNNNNNNNNNNNNNNNNNNNNNNNNNNNNNNNNNNNNNNNNNNNNNNNNNNNNNNNNNNNNNNNNNNNNNNNNNNNNNNNNNNNNNNNNNNNNNNNNNNNNNNNNNNNNNNNNNNNNNNNNNNNNNNNNNNNNNNNNNNNNNNNNNNNNNNNNNNNNNNNNNNNNNNNNNNNNNNNNNNNNNNNNNNNNNNNNNNNNNNNNNNNNNNNNNNNNNNNNNNNNNNNNNNNNNNNNNNNNNNNNNNNNNNNNNNNNNNNNNNNNNNNNNNNNNNNNNNNNNNNNNNNNNNNNNNNNNNNNNNNNNNNNNNNNNNNNNNNNNNNNNNNNNNNNNNNNNNNNNNNNNNNNNNNNNNNNNNNNNNNNNNNNNNNNNNNNNNNNNNNNNNNNNNNNNNNNNNNNNNNNNNNNNNNNNNNNNNNNNNNNNNNNNNNNNUGUCUGACUACCCUUCGGUCCUAACAACCGAACUCGACUACUAUCACAUACAACAUAUCAUGCUAGCAUAUAACAUAUCAGGUAGUAGCAAACCUAGAUGAUAUCACAAAGACAAUCAUCUAUCAUACGUCUCCUACUGGUGGGCCGGCAUUGUGGCCUUAGACCCACCGCUACUAGAAGGUAAGUCACCUCGAAGUAGCUGCUGGUCUGAUCGGGAACUGACUGUCUACUGCUGCUGCUGCUACUCCGGAAAUCCUCCAGCUAUGAAUCCCAUAACAUACUCAAUCAAUCACUGCUAACUGUCCUUUGGUUAAAAUGACCAUUUUACCCCUGAUCGUGUCAUAAGUCAAAGUCAGAGUCAACUUUCAGUUGACACGACUCGCCGAGUUGGCUCUCCAACUCGCCGAGUCCCUAUCCAAUCGAUUGUCCUGAAUCACAUCCCUACUCAUCGAGUUAGGCGUUGACUCGACGAGUUCUCCUUCUAAACUGAGGUUCAAGUCCUUCAUCCUACUCGUCGAGUUGUAUGAACAAGUCGCCGAGUUCAUCUUCAUCCGUUGAACACUUAUGCUGAGACUCGCCGAGUUGUAUGAACAACUCGCCGAGUUCAUCUUCAUCCGAUGAACACUUAUGUUGCGACUCGCCGAGUUGUAUGAACAACUCGCCGAGUCUGUUCUUGAUCUAAGGAGAUUGCCUUGAACUCGCCGAGUCAGGGAAAUGGCUCGCCGAGUUCCUUGAUGGAUGAGUUCAGCUUCCAACUCACUAAGUCACACCUCGUGACUCACUACUCACACUUGACACAACGAAAAGGGGACAAAUCGGAGACUCGCGAGCAGACUCGCUGAGUCAGAUGAGCGACUCGCCGAGUCGUCGCCAUGCAAUCACUAUAUACGUGAUUUUGCUCGAUUCCAGUCCAUGCCAUUCACAGAUCUGGGUUCCUAGAUCAUGAAUAACACGUAAAGUUUCCAACUUUACAUGUAGAUACUCACCAAUGAGGGAUUUAGGGCUCAUAAUGCCUCAAAAGGGUAGAUCUAGGGCGAACAAGCAACAUGGGUCCACAAAGGUGGUAGAUCCAGGCUCCUGGAGCUCGAUUCCACUUAGAUCUAUGAGCUACUCUACUUAUUACGAGUCCUCAAGUAAACACAAGCUUGGAGAUGGUUCAAGAAGGACUUUAAUGGGGCUAUAAGCAUGAAAACAUGGGGGAAAACGAUCCAUACCUUAGAGAACACUCUGAGAUAGCUCAAAGGUGCUUGACCUCCUCUUCUCUUUCUUGAUCUCCUCUCCUUCUCACUCCAAAGCUUCAAGAGAACACCAAAGGCUUCAAAUCCACAAGAAUCAAGUCUUAGAACGAGGUAUAGGGCUCUAAGGGUGAAUGGGAGCUGGCUUGGGGCGGAAAUGAGAGAUUAAAUAGGGUGCAAACCCCUAAAACUUAGGCUUUCAUCAAACAUCGGUGACUCGCCGAGUACAGGAUAUGGACUCGCCGAGUCGCCAACUUAAACAUGUCCCGGGUCCCGUCUCUACUCGGCGAGUCGGACCUAUGACUCACCGAGUCCAAGGCUAAAAAUGGAAAAUACUCAAAUAAGAUUUACGUACCAGGAACCAGGUGGUACAAGGCUGAGACCGGUUGGAGGAGCGUGAGAGGGCGGCCGACACUUCAUUAGGUUUAGGGUUAGUGACCAGUGAAGCUAAGGUUACAUACCCGCUUCCUUUAAUACAUUCACCCAUAAUAACAACUAUGGCCCCUCCCUUCCAAAAUCAAUUCACAAUAAGUCCCAUAUUUACCUUUUAAACCCCCAACAUUUAAAAUCCAUUGCAAUCUAGGUAUAACAUUUACAAAACAGCCCCUUUAUCUCCAAAAUCACUUCAAAUAAAGUCCCAAAAGUUACCAUAUAGCCCCUAUCUUCUAAAAUCUUUACAAAGCUAAUCUAGAACUUACCCUUCAGCCCUCCACUUCUAAAUUGAUGACAAUUAGCCCCCCGAGAGCAUCCAUUGAUAUAUAAUUAUUUAUUUUAAGGCUACUAUUCGCUCAUUAUUUUAUUUAUUGAUUUAAUAAAUAAACGGGGCUUUACAGCUCUCCCCCACUUAAAUAAGAUUUCGUCCUCGAAAUCAUUCCUUACCAAUCCUUACAUACCAAGCCACUCUAGUAACAUAGUCAUCUUCCUGGGCACACCCUAGCCUUCCCAGGGUAGCCGUGAUCAAUCUUCGCAAAGCCCUACAAUAUGUAGGUGAAUGAAUUCCUUGCAACAAGACCACAUGUAAUCUAUCCGAAAUCUGCUAUCUCGAGAUGGUCUGAAUCCCUGACAUACCACUCAUACUAAAUCAUUAUCGAUGAAUCUAGUAUGUUCAUCCCUCGACUGACUACUUAAAUUCUGAUAGCAUGUGGUUCCCGCCGUAAGCCUAGGUGACAAACCCAAUUACCUCUGCAGAUCACUUAUUCUCGGAUGAGGCUCAGCUAAUCCCACUAUGGGUGACUUGUCACUCCCCAAUAAACCAGCUAUUCUGUGUGCAUAUACAACUAAACACACAUGCUAUCACUACCCAAACGUUGAAACUGCUCGAACACUGAACCGCCUGAAACAGUAUACGUUGCUACAUAGCUGCUUACCAAAAGCUACCAAGACCUCCUGGGUCUUAAUUCGCUUGCCAAUCCUCUGAAAUACUGGGUUUCCACCCGACUACGGAGCCAAAGGACUCCAUACUUAUUCGCCUCACACUACUUCUGAGCGAAAUCCUUCUCUGGAACUAGUUGCCACUAGUUAUCACGCCAUUGUGACUCUACUAUUUUCUGAUCUAACCGAUCGGGUCCAUGCAUCGGAUCCUGACAUCAUCAAAUCCAAGACUAAAAGUGAUCGCUACCUAACCAAUGGUAGCCUUAUCUGACAUGUCCUGAAGCAGUCCGUUGCUCCUCUGAUCUCAUAACUAUAGUGGCGCUCAUACAGUCCUAUCACUGGCUCAACUAGAUGUAAUCCAUCUGGGUAAUUCUGAAAUCCAAUCCGUGGAUUUCCUUAUCCUUACUGCUACACCCGAACUGGUGGGUACUACUGUUCCUUCCGCGUUCUAACAACAUGCUCAUGCCAUCUACCAGCCUAGUGAAUGCUACGGCUACACCCGCAGACUUACAACACUCUAUCACUAUCUAGCUGCUAGUAAAUGCUACGGCUACACCCGCAAACUUACAAAACUCUAAUCACUAUCUGCCAACCCGGUGAAUGUUACGGCUACACCCGCAGACUUACAACACCCCUCACACUAUCUGCUGCUAGUGAAUGCUACGGCUACACCCGUAGACUUGCAACACUUUCCAUAUCGGGUCGAACACGCACUCGACCUAACACAUCACUGAACUAGAGUCCUAACCGGAACUCUAACCUGGUUCCUGAAACCUGCUAUCAUGUGACCUCACUGUAUCAGUACCGUACCCAUGCCCAUGAUCAAAGCGUCACAGUAAACCACAAAAUCAUCUACACCCUCCGGCAGGGUGAGAAUCAGUGCCUCGCACAACCACUGUCUGAGAGCCUCGAAGGCUGCCUGCUGCUCGGCCCCCAACUAAAGGCCAUCAAGUUCUUGGUCAGUCGGGUCAAUAGAACCUCAAUCUCGGAGAAGUCCCGCAUAAAUCUUUGGUAAUAACCCGCUAGAUCUAGGGAAUUCCGAAUCUCAGAUGGAGUCCUCAGAAUCUCCUACUGCAUCACGGCCUCUACCUUGGCCGGAUCAACUAAAAUACCCUCCUGGUUGACAAGGUAGCCAAGAGAUUGCACCUUGCGCCACCAGAACUCAUAGUUGGAUAACUUUAUAAAAAGUCUCUCCCCCACUUAGAUUCGACUAAGUCUUCACAUUACAUGAGAAUUGAAGGAUUACCAAUCCUUCUUGCUUUCUAAUAUCCCACCGAUGACAACCUGUGCCUGCCAAAUCUAGCGUUUAAUCACCGAUUAAACCUUGCGAUCUCCCAUCCUCGGAAAUCUCGAUGAGUACUCUUGAAAUCUGAUCCAGUCUGACACCUUAAUCCACCUAACAUGUUGUCAGUUGAAGACCUUACUCUUCACUCUAGCUGACGAAUCCUCGUUCCCUCUCCCAAUCUUGCAGUACCACUGAAUUCUAACCGAACACGGUCCAUGUGAACACACAUUUCUAUUGAACAUUCAAUGACCAACCACUUAUGCAUCUACCACCCGCGACUGACACUACCCUCUUCCUGUCACCAGUUCUGUCCUAGCAACGGUAGUGCCUUGAACUCCAAAGUUCAUCCAUAAACAAUUACCGACCAUACCUGAACAAUGAUAGAACCUCUGAACGCUGACUUCAUUGGAGAACAAUCACUCCAACCCUGAUCGAGUAUCCUCUAAAUAAUUCUCCUGCAUAGAUUUCGACAAAGAUCCGAAAUGAUAACGGUAUGCGCGGAACCCACUCCGCAAGAUGCGUCCCUCUUUGGGUUCAUCAAGGACCUUUUGGCAUGCAGGAUGGAAUAUAUGAUCCUUGGUAACCCAAACACUAACAGAAAACCGACCCGAUGUCUGACUUAUCCAACUCACUCACAAUUCCCAAGCGGUACGUAUUCCAAACAUCCACCUAAUAUCAUAUAAAAUGACAUACCCGCAACAUCUGGAGGAAUACUGAUCACCUUCUGCUGACAUGAUCAACCCUGCCACACCUGUAGCAGCCUAAACCCUUGGAGUGACAAACUCCCUCGCGUACUCUCUCGUACGCAUUGCACUGACUCUGCNUCUGACAUCAUCCGUUUGAUUGGGAUUCCACACCAUCAAACGGAUCCUCUACUACACCCGAUGAUCAGAAGUCAUGGGUCUCUUCCUGGGAUCCUCUACUACACCCGCCUAGCACAACCCUCUCUUUCUAGGGUGCUCCAAAUCGAUCUCGCAUCUACAACCUCUUGGAAAUCAUAUCCUUCAGGGUCUGACACCCUGUCAUGCUCACUAUCUCGCUUGCCAAUAGCUAAGCUACAACAACUGGAACAUCCUCUGUCCCCAAACUGGGUCACACACUCUUCCCUGAAGCUUCUUAGAUUGUCCAAGACUCUCACUGAUUCGAGUAUGGAUCCUGUGCUUUCAGUAGUACGGGCCCAAUACUACCUUCCACACCUAUCCAUACUUUCCUCAGCAAUCCUCCCGAAUCCUCUAAGUCACUUUCUCCAACUAGUACACCCAAGUCUAACUGAGCCUCACUACUAACUCACUGAAAUAUAUCCUAGGCUUCCCUAGGUUCCCGAACUCACCCAAUCCUCAGCUGCCGAAAGAUUCCCAGUAAUGUCAACUAGCUACCUCAUGAAUAUAGCCACAUGCAACAGAGAUCAGAUAAUCCUUCAAGUAACAGACUCAUCCCUAUAACGGUUGGACUCAGACAAGAGCUGCGCAAUAGGGUCAAAUCUAUCACUCUGAGAUUAUCCAGCCUGUGCCACAUGUGACUUAGCAUAUUCACGUAAUAGUUAGCUCACAUUACUAAAAGUCCCACAAAUCACAAAGCAAGCAGCAUUCAGACAGUGGAAACUCUAACCAUCAUAUUCCAAUCAAAUCAUUCUAUCCUCUAAUCAGGAAUCUGUACAUGCAAUUCAAAGGCUCAUACAAUCAGGCAUAACCUAAACAGGCUAUCCUAUCACUGACUGAUAUGUACUAGCAUGCAAGUCUACAAGCACAUACAAUAGGCAUAUAAGGCAUCCUCCUAGAUCCUUAGCCCUAAUCUAGCAUGCAAUUCUCAUAAUACUAUCAUAUCAUAACAUGUAUGGGUAUCCUGGGCUGAUUGCAUGCAUCACACACUUUGUUCUUCUCAAAGUUUUUUCUAUUUUCAGAUUCUUUUCAAACUCCUUUUAUAAAAUGGUUUUACUUUUGAAAACUUUCAUACCAAGCCCUUAGUUUGAGUUCAGACACACCCGAGAGUAUGUCCGAAUCCCUCAAACCAAGGCUCUGAUACCAACUUGUAACAUCCAAAAAAUACAGAUCAAAAAUUCAUUUUUAAUUACGUCAUUUUAAAACCAACAGUGUAAUAAAACAUCUAUAAUAUUAUGUAAUGUCAAAACCAAAGUAGAAAUAAUCAAACACUUUGUCAUAAACAAUAUCAGAGUGUAAUCCCAAAGAUCUCAUGUGUAGAAAACCAUAGUGUGAUGCGCUGCGAUCAAGCCGGCUCCUUUCCUUUAAACAUGAAGUACCUGAAACCAAAACUGAAAACCGUAAGCACAAAGCUUAGUGAGUUCCCCCAUCAUACCACAUACCAUACAAUCAUGUAUCAUACAUACGUUCAGCCUGACAGUACGACGCUCGGAUAGGUUGAGCAGGGAGAUAUAUAUGGGAAUCUACACGUCACAUUAAUUGAACCCGUACUUGGAACCGUGGUUUAACUUUUCCUCGAUGUGCGGAUUCUGUCCUUAAUUCCGGUUGGAUGGGGUGACUGGUAAAUUCCGAUAAAUUAGGUCUGUAGAAUAUCAUUUUCUUUCUUUCGGUCUGUUAGUCAUAUGUUGUCUCCUUUGCGCGACUUCUAAUCCGACCUGGUACACAAAAUAUGCAACUCUAUUUCUCUACAGGCUAUAUAUAUGUGUGUGAAAUACUUCUUAUCUGUUAGCCAUAUGUUGUCUCCUUUGCGCGACUUCUAAUCCGACCUGGUACACAGCAUAUGCAACCUUCUUCUUCUCAACCCCUCUGAAGUGGUUAGCAAUAGAAUUCUGAAUCUCUUCUCUCUCCGAAUGAUUGUCUGCUCACCCGGUGUAAGGAGUACUCUGGAAGUUCUUGAUGGCUGGGGCAUAUCAGGAAGCGGGAAACAUGUGCCAGUACAAUUAAAAUUGAACACUCAAAGACUGUCUAUAGAUCUCGCUGCUCAAUUUAGGUGGACAAGAAUAUCCCUGGUCGUCGUCAGAUGAAUGGUCCUUAAGAUAUAAUAUCUAAGAAAUUAGGAUCAGAUAUAAUUUUUAGGAACUUAAGUUCACCUGUCUUGUAACCAAUAGUAUGUCCUAAAUUUGUCACAAUUUUUCGUGUUUAAGUGGACAACAAUACCGACGAUCGACCAGACAAAGAUGUGAAUAUGAAAGGUACCAACAAAUGGAUAAAGGUUGUCUAAAAACUUUGAUCCCAAAUCACUCUUAAAGUUAGAUAUCAUUUUUGUUUUUGUUAAAUUUGUCAUAGUUUCUUCUAAUUUAAAUAUUAGGGGAGAAUUAAAAAUUAAAAAUAAUGAAAAUAAAAAAAACAAAAAAAAAAUUAUAAAAAAAAAAUCAAAAAUCAAAGAAAAAUCAGAAAAAUUAAAAAUCCAAAAAUAGUGUUAUUUAUGUUUUAUUUCUUGUUCAGAAAAAUCAAAAAUCAAAAAAUAUUUUUGUUUAUGUUUUCAUUUGUGUGCUAAGUUUUCUUUUAGUUUUGUUUUGUCUUGAAAAGUGAUUUCAGGGAUAGAUAAGACUCAUGGAGUUUGUGUUGAAGAUUUCUGAGCCAAAGCCUCGUCUGUGAGCAUCGAAGAAUUCGCAUUUGAAAGGAGCAAGAAAUGAAGAUUAUUCUUUCGACAUUCAAUCUUUCAACCCCAAAAGCAAGGUGAAUCUGAAAUUAAAGAUUAUGUGACGGAUUGCAUUGAAGCCUCCUCAAUCAGUCUGCUGCUAUCUUUGUACCUACUGAAGUGAUCUAGAAGUUCAGUUCUCUCUGAUGUUCUCUCUGAAGAUUCUCAAGCUGAAAGCGUUAUCUUUCAAGAAUCAGUACAUCAAGCCUCCUCACCCAACGUGCGUUCAAUGCCAAAUUCUGAAGAAAAUCCAAAAUGCUCAAGAUGAAGUCAUUCCNUUAAAGAUUCAUCAAGUUAAUCUUGAAGUCGUGAAGAAUUUGAAGAUUAAUGCUGAAGCCAAGUUCCCAAUGAAGAUUAUCAAGAAAGCCAGCUACUUUUUAGGGGGAGCUUGUUGGGUCAAUUAAGAAAAAAAAGCUAUAAACCAAGGGGGAGAUUGUUAGGUCAAAAUAUGGUUUAUACUUUGCUUUUCUGGGCAAUUAUAUUUUUUUGUAAUAUUUUAUGAAUUUAUGGUCUAGUUUACGGCUGAGUUUACGGCCAUAAACACCUUACGGCCGUAAACUCAUUUACGGCCCAUUUGUUUCCGGCCCAUGUUCCCUAGUAUAAAUAGAGGUGUUAGGGUGAGGGGUAGUGAUUUGAUGAACUAGAAGGAGUUUACGGCCAGAGAGAAAGGAACGUUUGUGUGGGUGAAUCUUGUGUAAGGAACUUAAUUCAUAUUAUCAAUACAUUCAAGAUUCAUCAUAUUCUUCUUCUUCUUCUCUUCUAUUUUGAUCUGACAUCAUCCGUUUGAUUGGGAUUCCACACCAUCAAACGGAUCUGACUGAUACACAAGAAAAUUAGGGACUUACACUCAAAGUGUUUUGUUACAUAUUUUUGCUAAGAUCAUAUCAUUCACCCACCAUUUUCGUGUAUAUGACUCUUAGAACACCAUCCAUUUUCGAGUGGUCUUCAAGCUACACAAAACUAGGUCCAACAACUUCUUCCUACCACACAAAACCAAGUUGAGUUCAUACCCCCAUAUUUUCAAGUUUUUUCUAUGUUUUAGGGGGGGGGGGGGGGAAUACAAGUUACAACACUAAAACAUAAUCUAAACUUAAACAUCAACUUUCAACGUAAAAGUUAUGGUCUAUUCACAGACUAUUUUGACCAUCCUAAACUUAAUAUUUUUCAAAAAUGUUCAGUAUGCAGAUAUUUCAGUUGUAUACCUUUCUAAAGACUACUCGCACACAUUCAUACGAUUUUUCUACAAUUUAUGGCAAUUUUUACAAAACUAUCUAUCAUUUCAGAAAUGAUUUCGGACCAGUCUGUGAAGAUGAACAUUUUCACCCUUGUUUGAGACCACUAAAAACUAUAACAAAAAUUAUGAACAAAGUAGACUCAUUUUCUAAACUCUUGGAUUUUACGGAUCCAAAUUUCGACUUACAAUGAUUUUUCUAUAAUUUUUCUAAAAACAUGGACAAAAAAGUCAAGAACUAGAAAUUGUCUUUAUCGUACUAAGGUAGUGUUUGUUGUUUGUGUGCUGAUCUGUGUGGCCUAUUCUGUCUGCGCCGCGCAGACCACGCACAUACAUUAGCCUUCGCUGACUGUUUGUUUUUUUGAACACUACAUACCUAAAAAUGUCUACGCGUCCUCUUCUUGGCGCAGAUGUGGACCAGAGUCUUCUAACAUCUUCAGACAUCCUCUAGCCUAAAAAAUAUAUAUAUCUUUAUUUUUUUUAGUUUUUUUUAAUUUAUCUUUUUUCCAACUUUAUUAAUUAUAAAGAAUUUGAAAAAAAAAAAAAAAAAACUUAAAAAAAAACGUUUGGCGAUACAUCAUAUUUUUGACAAAUUUAUAAAUAAAGAUUUAUUACAAUAAUAGUCGUUGAAGUUGUUUGUAUAAAUAUGAAAAAAAAUCAUAAUAUAUUCUUAUAUUUUUUUGCCUAAUUUUGUAAAAUAUUAUUUAAUACAGUGUCAAUUUCUUGAGAAAAUAUUUAUGGUACGUUUCUAAUGGAUUUAAUUGAAAAAAUCGAAGAUUAUUUCCAUCCAUUUAUGUAUCAAAUUCUUUGAUCACUAAUUAUAAUGUUUAGUUAUAACUUUGCAACCAAAGUUGUUGGUUUUUAUACGUUAAUUCAUACCAUUUUUAUUUUUAUUUUUUAUACGAUAAUACAUAAAAGUUGAUCUGAAUUCGUUAAUUAUUUAUAACAAAGUCAUAAAAAUAUUAAAAAAUCACUUUGAAGUUAAAAAAAAAGCAGUUUAUUUAGAUUUCUGUUUAUUUCAAUAGUGCGCAGAUGUUAAAAAAAAUAAACAGUCUUCUUUUUUCAGACUGCAGACGUUCACCUCUUCUACUGCAGAGGUCUACAGAUGUGGUCCCCAGACUGCAGACAUUUUGUCUCAGAAAAAACAAACAGCACCAAAAUGUUUUUAUACUUGUGUUAGAUGUAAGUUUUUAUGAAAUAUUCAUUUAAAAAUAUCUAGACAAGUUAUCUACUAUGUAUUUAUAUAAAUGAAUAUAUAAUUAUGUUCAAUAAACAAACAAGAUAAACUAUAAUAGGUAUAGUUUAGGGAACAUUCACAUUAUUUUACUCUUUUGGGUCAAAGGAAUAAUUAUAUAAACAUAUGAAUAUUUUAUACAUUGUGAAUACUAUAAAAGGAUAAUACAAACGAUAAAAAUGAAAAGAUAACUUCAACACAAUUUAUGUAAACUAGUUAAUACAGGAUUGUGAGCCACUCCUUAGUUGUACCAAAAUGGUACCCGUUAAAAUCCUGAAUUAUAACCAGAGUCUCCUGGAGGGAUAGUGUGAGUUUGUGUAUAGAUCUAUACGGGAUUGUCAACCCCGCACCUCAACUGUUCGCUACAGUUAGACCCGCAAGUCUAGGGUGACAAACGUCAUAACUUCCCGACGUCUAAAGAACGCCGUGCAAGCCAUUAGUCAUAUUAGUAUGGUUAUAAUGAACACUCACAAUAAGCAUUAACUAAAUAUUUACGUAAUGAUAUAUUUUUAAACAAUCUUAAAGGAGUAUUGAAUCUGUGGCUACUUAGUGCAUAUGUCAGGGUCGUAUAAAAAUUUAUUUCCGGUAAACAGUGGAAUGUGUGAUUUCCGCCUUCCUUCCUAUUCCUUAUUUGGUUGUGUGCUUAGGGCAGAUUCACCCAUUCGACUGCUUGUUCGACCUCGAUUAUAUAUAACUUAUAUAUACAAAGUGAUCAUAGGAGGGUAUCAACAUCACAUCUGGUUAUAGUGCAAACACAUUUCAACUAGUUUUACUAAUGAAUAAAACUACGUAUCAUUAAACUAAGUAUGAAAUUAUACUUAUAUUUUUCGGUCUUGGAACGUUUACGACUACUAUUCAAUUUUAUGGAAAAUAUAAGAUUUUCCAUGAAUAAACAUCAUCAUUUUUCUAGUAAACAGUUUACAAUUCACCUUUCUGAAAAAAAUACGAUUAUUUACUCUUAGGUUAGGAACCAUAGUAGGAACCAAUAUGGGUCAUAUUUCUUUUUUGAAAUCAAAGCGUUACAUUAUAUUCUUUAACCAUAAGAAACAUAUGUAUUUUUGGUCUUAAGGCCUAAGACUACAUUCCAUUUUAUUGAGAAAGUAUAGGAUUUUCUGAAGGAACUCACAAACUAUUUCAAGGAACAAAAACUUAUUUUCUAAAACAAAAUACUUAUGAACUCACCAACAUUCAGUGUUGACGUUUUUCAAAAUCACUUGUAUUCUCAGGAAACUAGUAGACAGGUACACACACAGGUUUCGAGAAGAGGGAGCAUAGUAGCUUCAAGUCUUUGUUAUGUUAUUUACUUUUGGAUUCAAUCAUAUGUUAAAUGAAUACAAUGUAAACUCUAUAUUAUUAAUACAAUGGUUGUUGCUUUGAUUACUAUUAUACAAUUAUUGUGAUAAUGUACAUGACGUCCUCCGCCCCCGAACAUUUCUGCCAUUCCGGUUUGGGGGUGUGACAUAGAUUAACCGAGAGAGGAAUUUUGUUUUCCAGCAACCUCCAAACAAAGCAAUUGACUUUGAUAGGGGCCCAUCUAAUCCAAGAGAAAUCGAAAUUAAUUUGCGCCUCAUCAAGUUCUGUUAUGAUGGUCCUCAAGGACUUGACUGAAAACUCCCUCGAGCUAUCUCCUAACCAUCUCCAUUUAUCAUCGACACUUGAAAAGUUAAAAUUAACAACUAAAUUUAAAAGAUCUUCCAAUUGUUGAGUUUCUUGGCCCCUCCAUAUGCUCCUACUCCAAUCUCACGAGAAAUAUGGCACCAAAUCAGCCCCAAAAACAAUCCUAUCUGAGAACAAACACUCCAUAUUGACAUCAAUAGCAUAGACAUUACGAAAAUUGUUUAAAGAAAUCACAUCACACAAACAAUCCCUCCAAAAAACUGUUUUAUUACCCAAACCCACCACCCUACCAAAAAAAAAUUUAAGAGAAAAAACCAAUCUUUUCAAAAUCUGUAACAUCUCGAUAUCAAGUAUUUUUAUUAUUGCUUGUAUCUUUAUCAAAAUUUGCAUAAUUGGUCCCUUGAAGAAAAAGCUUUGUGAUUCUGGUCGUACACAGGGCGUACUUAAGAGUACGUGUAGCGUACUCAUGUAUCAUGAAAUCACGGAUGAUCAGCUCGUACGCUGGGCGUAUGUGUGGUACAUUGGGCAUAAUAGACUAAACAUAAAACCCUAAUCUUAAGGGUUGCUCCGUAUUUAAACAACAUUAUGUCCCUAUUUGAUCAUCCUUAUCAGCCAACAUACACUCCCUAAACCCUACUUCCGAGUUUGAGUUGCUUGUGUGAGUUUUACUAGCUUAUUGAUUAUUUUUUGUGCAUCUAGUUGAUGGAGACUAGAGAAGAAGGUGUGGGUGCUAGCAAGCUUGUAGAUCCAGAUACCUUUCCUCUUUAUGCAUCAUUUCAUGUAUAAAGUUUAUACCUUGAUAAGUUUUCCAUUAGAUCUUCAUGGUUAAAGUUUUAUGAACUUUUGUUCCCAAGAUUGGGCCUUUAUGAGUUUGGUGUACUCCAGAGGCUUGUAGUUGUCCUUUCAUGCAUUAUAGGACUUGUAGAUUCAUAAAAAUGAUUUCUUGAUAAAUUCCUAUGGAUCAUGCAUGAGCAAAUUAGUUUAGAAUAUGUUGGAAGUUUAAGAUUUUGAAUUGGGACUUUUCUAGCUAUGCAAAGGCUUAAAGUCGAUGACUUUAUGGAAUAAGACAUCUUAGAAUGGUUAGAUAUGUGGUUGGGUUAGAUGUCUUAAGGGAUUAAGGAACAAAGUUGGUGAAAUUGGAAGAAGACGGAGUACGUUGUGCGUACUCCUAGCUACACCCUGCAUAGACGGUUUCGACCCCGACCAUAUGAUGUUCUAGUUGUACGCCCCACGUAAGAAGAGGUAUGCCCAACGUACUCGUUGGGCAGUUGACUUUCGACCCUUGGUCAAGAUUUAGGGUUUUGGACCAUGGGAAAGGAAAAAUGGUAUUUUUUUCCCCUAGAGGACUUAGUUGUUGUAUUUGGACUACUGAGUUGAGUUUUAGAUAUUAAAUAUUAAUUAGGGUUAAUUAUUUCAUUGAUUAGGCGGAGUCUAGUUCCGGCAAUUCGGGUGUAACGUUUACUUCUCGUCAGUCUCAGGUGAGUCUCCUCAUUUAUUCUCACAUGUGUAGUAGAAUAUGAGUAUCUAUGAUGACCAACUGGUUCUAGCUGUUAUUAUUAUGUUAUGAUGUUUAUACGUGGUUUACUGGUGAUAGUCUCCAGGGUUGCUGAUAACCUACAUGGCAUGCUAUUAGCCCACUGGGAGUACUGAUAUUCCCCAGGGUUGCUGAUAACCCAUAAUUAUAUAUUUUGUUGUGUUGUAUGUGGUAUUUUCGGGGAACUCACUAAGCUUCGUGUUUACAAUUGUUGAUUUAUAUGUGGCAGUGUACCAUCCCAAAAUAUGAGGGUAAAAAUUUCAUUUUUAAAGCAAUAAAAACACCCAUUUAUAAUUUAAAUAAAUACAAAAAUAUAUUUCAUAAUAAAAACAGUUAUCAGAGUACAAUCCCAGAAUCUCAAAGUUACGGAAAAUAUAAGUGUAUGCGCUGCGAUCAAGCUGGGCCUUUCCCUUUCGAACCGGAAAUACCUGAAACCAUAAACAACAACAGUAAGCACAAAGCUUAGUGAGUUCCCCGAAUACCACAUAUAAGAAAUAACAUGCGAGUCAUACAUAUCACACAUGCAAUAGGAGGUGCUAUGUGCCAACCAUAGUCUUGUCAUUAUGCCACGAGCUGUAUCAUGGUCUUUCCUUGCCAUGUCGGGGACCAAAACCCAGGGUCUUACAGAAAAGUGCCAGGAUCCACCUACUACUCUUCCAUGUAAUCACCUCAAAGACUAAUAGCAUAUAAUCUACAACUACUUUUCUACUUAACUGCCAGAGUCCAAACUCUAGUUUUACAUAUUGAUUUGCCAGGAGCCACCUCUUUGUCUUUCAUACAAAUGCCAAAGGCCACCCCCUGGUUUGUAACAUCCAAAAUUCUAAUAAGUCUUAAAACCCUAAAGAGUAUAUUAUUUUCAUAAAUGGUCCCUUAAGUACGUUGAGCGUACUUAAGUGUACGCUUAGCAUACUGCAUGGAUGUAGUCGCGGAGGAAUCAAGGUACGCUGGGCAUACCUUGAGUUACACGUGGCGUACGUGCCAGGGUUGCAAAAGACUAAUUAUCCAGACUUGAGGCCUAUUUAAGCAACCUUAUGUUCCUUGGACUAAACCCUAGAGAGCCUCUACAGCCUUAGAAUGUCCAUAUACUUCUGGAAAACUUGUGAGAUUAUUCUUAAGCCUUAAAGUGUGCAUUUGUGGCCUUUUAUGUGUAUUUCAAGAAGAAGGGGUGGUCAAGCAAGCUUGGAUCAAGUAGGUGUUUCAAGAUCCUGCAUCAAAAGCACCUUGCAAAGCUUCUGGAGGUAAAAAGCUUGCAUCUAUCCUUUCUAAUCUUUAGAUCUAGCUAGGGUUUUGGUGGUUUUCCCCAUUUACGAACUUUGGAUCUCUUUUUUUGAGUAAAGCCUUCCCUUUUGAUAAUAAAGUCAGAUCUGAGGUCCCCUCGUCAUUUAGGAGUAUAAAAAUGGAAGCUUGAUGAGAGAUUUGGCCUCAUGCAUGAGUAAAAGAACUUGGAAAUGUCUUAAUGGAGUGGUUGGGUGUGUAUGGGACAUGCAAGGGCAUAAAGUUGCCAACUUUAUGCCUUGGGACAUCUUUUCAGACUUAGAUCUAUCUUUUGUUCGUGAUGGUUUUUAGUAUUAUGCACUUAAUGGAAAAAGUGCUUAAGUUGUUUGUACGUUGGGUGUAACCAGCUGUACGCGGCACGUAGUGCCCAAACCUUCAGUACGUUGUGUGUACCAGGGUGGUACGUAGGGCGUACACAGCUCAGUUGGGCCCUAAGCUGUUUUAGGCCUUUGGGCCUCAUUUGGUUGUUGGGCUUGACUGGAUUUUGUGAGUUAUGGGCCUUUUUACCUGUUUGGGCCAUGUAUUUAUUGAUUGGGCCUUAUUGGGACAAGGGGCCCAUUAAGGAUAUUGGACUUGGACUUUGGGGCCCAUUUCCAAUAAAAGGGUUAUUGGGCCUUCGAGGUAGACUUUGAAGAUUGGGCUUCUAUUUGGGUACUUUAAGGCCCUAUUAUUGAUUGUAUUAUGAUUGUUGUUAUUCAACUUGGGAGGCUGCGAAUUUCUAGGAAGACAGUAUUCGUAUUCAUCGGACGGGGUGAGUCUUCUCACCAUACCUACAGGUCUACAGCACCAAGGCUGGCCCAUUAUGUGUACAUGUUUUAUGUGUGUUAUUCAUUUAGGAAUUGUUAUGUUAGGUGAUAUUAUAUUGGUAUGGAAGACCCCGGGGGAGCCCGUGACACUGAUAUAAGACCAUGUGGGGUAGCCCAUGGCAUUCCUAGGUAAAGACCAUGUGGGGUAGCCCAUGGCAUUGGAUGUAAGGCCGUGUGGGGUAGCCCAUGGCAAUCCUAGGUAAAGACCAUGUGGGGUAGCCCCUGGCAUUCUUGCUGAUUAUAUUGCAUGGUUUCUGUGGCAUGUUUGUAGCUUUAAUUAGCUAUUAGGUUAUGUGUAUGUGGUUGUUUGUGGUAUGCUCUGGGAAACUCACUAAGCAUUUCGUUUCCAGGUUGUUGAUUUGUUUCAGGUACUUCUGAUCCCAAGGGCAAGGGCCCGGCGUGAUGACGUGGCACACACUCUAUAUCUCCUUUUAAUGUAUUUGGGACUAUCUGAUGUUUUAAAAAGGAAAACAAAGAUGUAAUGAAUAUCAAUUGAAAACAUUUGGUUGGGAAUCUAUGGUUUAUGAGAUUUUUUUGAUUAAAUCAAAAGUGAAAAAUUUUCUUUGAAAAAUUGGGUUGUUACAAGUUGGUAUCAGAGCCUUGGUUUGAGGGAUCCGGGCACAUCCUCGAGUAUGACAGGACUCAAAGUAAGGAGGUGAUAAAAUGUUUUCAAAAGUAACCAAAAAGAAAUUUAAAAGAAACCCAAAGGAUGAAAGUGCGACGCAUGUGAUCAGCCAAGCCAAGUAAGUAGUUUCACAAUAUGAAUAACCAUGUUAUACUGAUAUUGAGCUUCGUUGAUUAUAUGGAACUUGCUAAGUGUAUGUUUUAAAAAUUGUAUACGGUUAGGAGCUUAUAGCCUCAAAAUGAUUGAUUUGGCCUUAUGAUCUUUUCCUCAUUGGAUGUAGUCUUAGGGUAGAAUCUAUUAUUCGAAAGUCUAUAUGAUCCGUUCUGUGUAUGGUUUGCAUGCAAAGAGCAGCCUGUCAUGAUUGGUUUGGUUGAUGUGGAUAAAGCGAAUCUUAGGUCAGCCUGAGGCUGAUGUACCCGGUAUUGUGGGGUAUGGUUGGGUUGUGGGAUGAAUUGAAGUUAUCAGGUAGAGCAAUGGGGAAAGGUACAGGUAGGUGUGCAAGGUAGUAUUGGGCCCGUACUACUAGAAGCACAGGACCUGUACCCGAAGCAUUGCUAGAUCUGAUAUCUUCGAGGAGGACCAGAGUAGGAAGAUCCCUUAUGUGGAAAUCCUGAUCAUUUUAAUUUAUGAUAUUUUAGUUCAGCAUGGUGAUGACACGGUUGGGAGCAGGGGGAUCGGGAUCUGGAUCCGGGGCUGGGUUAGGUGGCCCUACUGAUGGUAUUGAUGAGAGGUUGCAUGAGUUGAUUGCAACCGAGGUUACGAAGGGCAUCCUUGAUGCUACCCCAGUCAUCUUUGGGAAGGUCAAGGAAGGAAUGAUGGAGAUCAUGGACGAGAGACUUAGGUUAUUCAAGGCCGAUGUUUCUGCGGGUCAGGGCAGAGCUCGAACUCCCUAGUUUAGGGAGUUCAAGGCAUGUGGAGCUCCAGAGUGAUGGGUUUUGAGCAUUAUAACACUUCCUAAGUGUACAUGCAACCCUAAUAACCUUGAAUCUAUGUUUUCUCUAUAUACAUGCAAAUUUCUUUUUCAACGUUAUUUCCUAACUAGCAUGGCAUGGGGAAUAUAUGAAACAUAAAAAACUAGUAGAAAUACAUACCUUGUUGUUGCUUGGAUUCCUUCAAGACUUUGUGAGCCUAGCACCCCAAAUGUUGUGCCUCAAAUGCUUCACACAACACCACAAAACUUGGAAUAACUUGAGAGAAUACUUCUACCACUCAAAAUCGGUUAUGCCCUCUCUAGUAACCUUACUAGGUCCAAUUUUACUAGCCAAAGGGUUCCUUUUAUAGUAGUGUCACAAUUAGGGUUUCAUUAAGAAGACCCAUAAUUGUCAUGACUCUUCAUUUCUCAUGACCCAUGGGUUUGUAACUCCCAUGGACUAUCCAUGGAGCUCCAAAUGGUUACAUCCAUAACCCAUAAACCAUGGAUCAUUAAUCCACCAUAAAAGAAUUGAUGAUUGUCAUAAUCAACCCUAUAUAUUUAAUUAGUCUCACUUUGAUCACCAAAUUAAUACUAGAUUAAUACUUGAUCAAUACUAAUUAAAUAACACUAUUAUUAAUAUAUUAGAACUUAUAAUAUAUUAAUAAUCAUAAGUGCCAUAUUCUCUCAUUUAGUCUAUCCAAGUAUUGCAAUGCCAUGCAACCCAAAUGGACCAUGCCGGGUCGGGUCAAGUACAUACCAAAUAAAGUUAUGGACUUAGACACUAUAUCCAACAGUCUCCCACUUGGAUAAGUCUAAUAACUAUAUUUGCAAAUAUGACUUCAAAAUCCGACUAGCAAUCGUAGCUCUUUCAAAGUCUCUCGGAACUGAGAUGAUGAUGAUACGCCAUUUAAGAUAAGUGAUCAUAUAAUCCUCUGCUCUCAUGAUAUCAGCCGGACAAACACAUGGAACAUGGUCUUACUUAUUGUCCAGCAUUUGUUUCUCGAUCUCCGAUUUGUUUCGACAUAGAACUAAAUUGAACACAUCAAUUAGGUUCUGACCGGGCCCGGUACAUAGGUCAAAACCAAAUCAUCGAGGGGCCCAGAUAUCGCUUCUAUUUCUAGAAGGAACAGAUAAACUUCGACUGAUAUGCUUGUACUAACUACUUGUUGAAUUACUCACAAAGGCACGUUUUAUAACAUCGAGUUACCAAUGCGUUUUCGUACAAUCAAUGAAUAACCAACUCAUAGUCAACAACUCAUAUCUCUAGGUUUGAAGAUUUAUAUGAUGUUACCGUCUCACGAUCACUCGAGAUAAAUUCCAUGAAGUGAUGCAAGUGAACGUGGGUUGGAUCCAAUACUCAGCCCUUAUGAGUACUCAUGAAUGUUGUAGCAACCAUUGCAUUAUCCAAAGCACUUUAGACAAAACAUACAAGCCAAAUUAAUGACAGUGUUGAAUCAAUACUUACAUCCAAAGUUUGAAAAAAUGUGGAUGGUUUGAAUAAUAUGAUAUAUAUACCAUAACAUAAUUAUUCUGGAAGUAAAAACAUGCAAAAUUGAAACAUAGUAAACAAUCAACACAAGAUAGUAACACCUUACUCAUAAAUAAAUAACAACUUUUAUUUAUCAUCAAAUGUCAAUUACAUUUUACAAGUUUCAGGAAUCUAAUUAUUGAAACUAAUAUCAUCCUUCAGCCCAAUGCGCCUUGCAUGCUGUAAAUGCUUAACCCUGCUCAGUCCCUUCGUGAGGGGAUCUGCCGGGUUCUCAUCUGAUGAUACCCUCUUUGCCACGAGGAGUCCUUCUUCUAUUCUAUGUCUGAUGAAAUGGUAUUUUCUGUCAAUGUGCCUAGAUCUCCCGUGAUCUCUUGGUUCUUUAGCCAAAGCAACCGCACUUUCACUGUCACAGAAAAUUUCCAUUGGCUCCUUUAUAGCUGGUACAACUCCAAGGUCUCCGAUGAAGUUCUUCAGCCAUAUCGCCUCUUUUGCUGCCUCGCUUGCUGCUAUGUACUCUGAUUCACAAGUCGAAUCAGCUACUGUCUCCUGCUUGGAACUUUUCCAAGUAAUUGCUCCUCCAUUUAGGAUAAAGACCCAGCCUGACUGAGAGCGGAAAUUAUCCCUAUCAGUUUGAAAGCUAGCAUCACUAUAUCCUUCCACUCUCAAGUCAUCACUGCCUCCGAGGGUAAGGACCCAGUCCUUAGUCCUCCGCAAAUACUUGAGAAUGUUCUUUACCGCUGUCCAGUGUGCCUUGCCAGGGUUCCCUUGAUAUCUACUGACCAUGCUCAAAGCAAAGGCCACAUCAGGGCGAGUACAAGUCAUAGCAUACAUGAUCGAGCCCACAGCGGAAGCAUAUGGUAUCUGACUCAUUUCAGCUAUCUCAGCCUCUGUGCUCGGACUCUGAGUCUUACUUAGCUUGGCAUUACUCUGGAUUGGUAAUUCUCCUUUCUUGGAAUCUUGCAUACUGAACCUCUUCAGUACCUUAUCCACAUAAGUACUUUGACUAAGUCCAAUUAGUCUCUUACUCCUAUCUCUCAAUAUCCUUAUCCCUAGGAUAUAGGCAGCUUCCCCAAGGUCCUUCAUAGCAAAACACUUCCCAAGCCAGGCCUUAACCUCCUGCAAAGUUGGGAUGUCGUUUCCUAUGAGAAGUAUGUCAUCCACAUACAACACCAAGAAGCUAACUAUGCUCCCACUAGCCCUGACAUACACACAAGACUCAUCCUCACUCCUAGAAAAGCCAAACUCUUUGACUUUCUCAUCAAAGCAAAGAUUCCACCUGCGAGAUGCUUGUUUCAAUCCAUAAAUGGAUUUUUCAAGCUUACACACUCUAUUAGGGUAUUUUGGAUCGACAAAACCCUCUGGCUGAGCCAUGUAAACAUCCUCAGCCAACUUCCCAUUAAGGAAAGCGGUUUUGACAUCCAUUUGCCAUAUUUCAUAGUCAUGAAAUGCAGCUAUGGCUAACAACACUCUAAUAGACUUAAUCUUAGCUACUGGUGAGAAGGUCUCAUCAUAGUCAACUCCCGGAGUUUGAGUAAAGCCCUUCGCAACCAGUCGCGCUUUAUAAGUGUGUACUUUCCCAUCCAUGUCGGUCUUCUUCUUGAAGAUCCAUUUGCACCCAACUGUCUUACGACCUGGUACAUUGUCAACCAAGUUCCAAACUUGAUUGUCAUACAUGGACUGAAUCUCGCUGUCCAUAGCCUCCUUCCAUUUCGCAGACUCAGGGCCUGCCAUGGCUUCCUUAUAAUUAUUAGGUUCAUCCAAAUCUAUCAGUGUACUAUCACUGAUAAAUGUAUCACCUUCAGUGGUGAUGUGAUAACCAUAAUAAAAUUCAGGUGUGUUCCUCACCCUAGUGGAACGUCUUGGAGGUACAGACUCAUCUAUCGGCUCAACAGGAGUUUCCUCCUCAGGUUGGCUGACAACAUUUGAGGUUCCUUCACCACUUGACUCUUGAAGCUCUUCAAGGUCAAUUUGCCUCCCACUGUCCCCUUGGCUUAUGAAUUCUCUCUCACGAAAGACUCCUCUUCUUGCUACAAAGACCACAUUAUCACUGGGUCUGUAGAAGAGGUAACCAAAGGAUCUCUGUGGGUAGCCGAUGAAAAUACACCUCUCGCUUCGGGGUUCAAGCUUGUCAUGAGUCUCACGCCUCACAAAAGCUUCACAACCCCAAAUCUUGAUGUGGUCCAAAUUGGGCACUUUCCCAGUCCACAUCUCGUGAGGUGUUUUGGCAACCUUUUUAGGAGGGACUAGCUUAAGGAUAUGGGUGGCAAUCUCUAAGGCAUACCCCCAGAAAGAGAUUAGUAACGAAGCUCGACUCAUCAUGGAACGAACCAUAUCCAACAAGGUUUGAUUGCGCCUCUCAGCCACACCAUUCAACUGUGGUGUCCUGGGAGGUGUCAAUUGUGAGACAAUCCCACAUUCCUUAAGAUAGUCAAGGAACUCAAUGCUAAGAUACUCUCCUCCCCGAUCGGAUCGGAGCAUCUUGAUGUUCCUGCCCAAUUGAUUCUCAACUUCCUGCUUAAACUCUUUGAACUUUUCAAAGGUUUCUGACUUAUGCUUGAUUAAGUAAAUAUAUCCAUAUCUACUGUAAUCAUCAGUAAAAGUCACAUAAUAACGAUUAGCAUCCCUUGUAGCAACUCUGAAGGGCCCACACACAUCCGUGUGUACAAGGUCCAACAAACCUUCACCCCUAUCACAAGUACCUGUGAAGGGUGACUUUGUCAUUUUUCCAAGUAAACAAGACUCGCAACUAUCAUCUGACUUGAGGUCAAAUGAUUCCAAGACUCCAGCCUUUUGGAGUUGGCCUAUGCGCUUCUUGCUAACAUGUCCAAGACGACAAUGCCACAAGGAUGCUUUAUCCAAGGUAUCAGAAGAAUCAAUAUACAACACAUUAUUCCUAGAUUGUCUACAACAUUCACGGCUUCAUAUACACCAUCACAAGGUAUUGCUUUAAAGUAAAAUACAUCAUUGUAAUAAACAUUAAUAGCACCAUUUUUAUUAUCAAAUGAAAAUGUAAAACCUUGUUUGUACAAGCCAUGAAAAGAAAUAAUAUUUCUCGCCAUUUCGGGCGAGUAACAACACUUAUUCAAAUCUAACAUUAACCCAUUAUUAAGCAAUAAAGAAUAAACUCCUAUCUUGGUAACAGGUGAUGCUUUCCUGUUGCCCAUGACUAAGUUUAUCUUCCCGUGCUCCACUUGCUCACUUCUUCUUAGUGCCUGCAAAUCAGUACAAAUGUGAAUACCACACCCUGUAUCAAGCACCCAAGAAUUAGCAUUAGAUGAGUUGUUAGACAAUAUUGUGUAAAUACCUGCAUGGGUGGGUUUAACCUUCCCAUCCUUUACAUCUUGCAGAUAUUUGGCGCAGCUUCGCUUGAAGUGUCCCUUAUCUUGGCAAUAGAAGCACUGUGCUUCCUUUGGGUUCGAAGAAGGAGUAAUGGGACCUUUCUUUGUCCCACUUGAAGAGGAACCAUCAAGAGUCUUACCCUUGGUACCCUUUGAAGGGCUUUUCCUCUUCUUACCCUUCCCUUGCCCAAUUGCAAGAACAGGGGCUGUUAAAGGAGUAGAAGUAGCAACCGCUUUACCCUUAAGGCCAUUUUCAGCUGUCCUUAAGAGUCCUUGAAGUUUGCUAAGUGUGACUUCCUCCUUGUUCAUAUGAUAAGUCAUACGAAACUGAUCAUAACUUGGAGGUAAGGAAUGGAGAAUGAUGUCAAUCGCCAAUUCCUCAGGGAAGUCAACAUUGAGCUUUAGCAACCGGUCAACGAACCUCUGCAUCUUCUGCAAGUGACCGGUGAUGGGUUCACCAUCCUUCAUCCUUGCGGUUAUCAUGGAGGAAAUGAUUUCAUACCUCUCUUGACGCGCGCUCUGAUGGUACCUUUCCAUCAGAUCUAGGUGCAUCUCAUAGGGGUAGAAAUCUUCAUAAGAUUUUUGGAGUUCCGGAGUCAUUGUGGCCAUCAUGAUGCAGGACACCUUGGUGGCAUCCUUUUCAUGUGCAAUGAACUCCGCAAGCUCUUCUGGAGUAGCAGUGGCUUCAUUAACAACCUUAAGCUCCCUGUCAAGGACAUAUUCUUUGUCCUCAUAGCGGGUAAUCAUCCUGAUGUUUCUGAUCCACUCAUUAAAGUUGGAUCCAUCAAAGAUGACCUUACCACACAAGUUCAUUAGGGAAAAGGAGCCUGUAGGGUUUGAGCCAGCAGCGUUAUUGGAAGACAUCUGGAAUAGAAGGAAGAUAAGUUUCAUUAGAUUAAGAGUCCUUAAUAAGUCACCCAAAUGAAAUAUUAAGGCUAGGAUCCAACAAACUAUUUAUAGGUGGAAGAGGGAUGCCGUAAUCCACACUAUAAAAUAUUUGAAGGUAGGUAAAUGACGAUUUACCAAUUUCCACCAUAAGACGAAAUAUUUUAUUAUUAGGUUUUAUUGGUUUUGAAACUCCUAGAUCUUUUGAGAUACAUUGAACUUUUCAAUGGCAUGUUUGAAUCUCGAAUGUGCCCUCUCAAGUUUGUGACUGGGAUGCCGAGGAUCACAAACAAGGUGUGAAUAACCAUACAAAUUGACUUGGUACCCUUAACAAUAUUACCUAAUCGAUGUGCCGGUUAACCACACACGCUCCACCGAUCUAUAAUAAAGUCAAGUUACCCUUUGCCACUCUUACUAGUCCAUGUUAGUGUGCCGGUUAACCACACACGCUCCACUAACGACUUGGUAAGGUACAAAGUGUAAUUUUAUGGGCUAGCACCAAAUUCACAUUUUCCUAAAGUAACUAAGAUUGGGAAUUUAUAAUGUAUAGUUACUUUAUAAUUCAUUAUACUUUUAAUGAGAAUUUAAAGUCAUAUCCUACCCGUUCGGCUAACGACCCUCCACCGAUCAAGGAAGCGGUGGGUGAGAGUGGACACCCAUUAAGUCACCAUUUUAUAGGCAACAACCUUAUACCCCCCUUAUAGACCGGCUUCGUGAAUGAGGCCUACUAACGGUAAGAACGACAUAUUCUUAUACAUAUCUAUAUAAUAAAAUUAUAAUAAUAGUAUAAGUGUUGAUUUUUAAACUUUUUAAAAAUCUAAGGUUUAAUUUGGAAUUAAAGUAUUAGAGUGUAAGACUUUUCAAAUUCCAAAACUUGAGGGCAAGAAUUGAAACUAUUCCAAGUCUCUUCAAUUUGUAACUUAUGAGUUUUAAUGGUUCAUAAAAAUGAAGACUCUUCAUUUUAUGAAACCUCUUUAGUUCUUUAAUCACAAUUAAAAGAAGUGACUUUUGGUUAUCCAUAACUUGAGGACAAGUUAUGGACACCAUCAAUACAAUUAAGAUCAAGAAUUAAACACACAUGGAGGUUACACAUAAUUCCUAUGAUCUUCUAAAAACUCAUAAGAACACAAAUUCAUGCCAAGCAAUUUCAUGAAUCAUAUUAACAUAUACAAUUCUUGAAAAUUGAUAAAAGUCAUGUGAAAAUGGGUUAACAUAAUCAUUAUCAUUUUGAAAAACAGUUUUUACAAGUCCAAAACAGAUUGGGAUAAUGAUUUUAAUCCAUUUCCAGCAACAAAACACGAAAAGACUGCCCAGCACGCACCUACUCGUCGAGUGCAUGAUCCUACUCGACGAGUAGGAUGAAUUUGUACAUGGACUCGGCGAGUCCUCCCCAUGAACUCGGCGAGUCCAGUCGACAGUGAGCAGAAUUUUCGAUUUUCAAGCAGUUUUGCAUCAAGUAUACAGAAAACAAUCCUAGGCUCUGAUACAACUGAUGGGUUUUGAGCAUUCUAACACUUCCUAAGUGUACAUGCAACCCUAAUAACCUUGAAUCUAUGUUUUCUCUAUAUACAUGCAAAUUUCUUUUUCAAGGUUAUUUCCUAACUAGCAUGGCAUGGGGAAUAUAUGAAACAUAAAAACUAGUAGAAAUACAUACCUUGUUGUUGCUUGGAUUCCUUCAAGACUUUGUGAGCCUAGCACCCCAAAUGUUGUGCCUCAAAUGCUUCACACAACACCACAAAACUUGGAAUAACUUGAGAGAAUACUUCUAGCACUCAAAAUCGGUUAUGCCCUCUCUAGUAACCUUACUAGGUCCGAUUUUACUAGCCAAAGGGUUCCUUUUAUAGUGGUGUCACAAUUAGGGUUUCAUUAAGAAGACCCAUAAUUGUCAUGAAUCUUCAUUUCUCAUGACCCAUGGGUUUGUAACUCCCAUGGACUAUCCAUGGAGCUCCAAAUGGUUACAUCCAUAACCCAUAAACCAUGGAUCAUUAAUCCACCAUAAAAGAAUUGAUGAUUGUCAUAAUCAACCCUUAUAUAUUUAAUUAGUCUCACUUUGAUCACCAAAUUAAUACUAGAUUAAUACUUGAUCAAUACUAAUUAAAUAACACUAUUAUUAAUAUAUUAGAACUUAUAAUAUAUUAAUACUCAUAAGUGUCAUAUUCUCUCAUUUAGUCUAUCCAAGUAUUGCAAUGCCAUGCAACCCAAAUGGACCAUGCCGGGUCGGGUCAAGUACAUACCAAAUAAAGUUAUGGACAUAGACACUAUAUCCAACACAGAGUUCUCUAGGGUCAGGGACCCCAUUGUGAGCAGAUGCUAGAUAGCGGACAUUGAGAAUGCCCAGCGCACGAGUUCUUGCCCAAAGGAGGCAAAGGUUGGAUUUGCUUCCUGUAUGCUGAGCGACAUGGCCAAAGAUGUUGUGGCUGAGAUGUUGUGGGCUGAGUUUGUUUGACGUUUUGAUACGGAGUUUGCACCACAUAUUAAGGUGCAACGAUUGGUGAGGGAGUUUCAUGGGCUGCAGCAGACCACUGAGACGGUGGCGGAGAUCAACGCCAAGUUUCGUGAGCGAGCUUUGUUGAUUCCUCAGUAUGCUGCAGAUGAGGAGAUGAGGUGGAACCGAUAUCAUGCAAUUUUGAGGGAUGAUAUUCGGGAUUUUGAGAGCUUUACAGGGUGCAAAACCCUGAACGAGAUGGUGGAGAAGGCUCGGGAGAGGGAGAUGGAGUUGGUCGCACGAAGCGGAAGACUGAGCAGGUACAGGCUGCAGGGCUCAGGCUAAAGAGCCUAAGACCUCUGAUUCUUAAGGUAGGGGCCAACAGGGUCGAUAUCGGUGUGCCAAGUGCGGGAGGUUUCAUAGUGGGGCUUUUUGGACAGACAGGAUAUCAGUGUGUUACUCUUGUAGCCAGCAACGUCACAUGAGUAAGGAUUGCCCCAAGAAGGGCUUGAUAUGUUUUCAUUGCAACCAGACAAGCCAUAAAAAGGCCGAUUGUCCGAGGAUUCAGGGAAUAGGAGGAGGAUCAGUGGUGGCACUUGCGCCCACCACUAUGGGAAUUACUGACGGCCGUCCUGUCAAGGCAGAGGCUCCAGCGGUGAAAAGCCACGCUUUUCAGGUUACUACCGAGGUGGGUGGGCAGCACAAGACGUCGUGGCUGGUAUGUGUUUAUUCUUCUCUAUCUUGUGUUGAUAAUUGCUUAUAUGUGUGUAUUAUGUUUUCCUUAGGGACCUUUUUGGUCAAUGGUAUGUCAGCUCAUGUUUUGUUUGAUUCGGGUGCUACCCGAUCGUUUGUGUCUCUUGCGCUUAGCAAGAAGUUCCAAGGCACAUCGGGUACUCUGGAUAGCCCCCUCGAGGUGGAGAUUACAGGUGAUCACAUUGUGAGUGCUGCGAGGGUAUAUCAGGAUUGCGUCCUGAAUGUGCAUGGCGAGAAGUUUCGCGUCGAAUGAGUUCCCAUACAGUUGCUAGGAUUGAAGGUAAUCAUUGGGAUGGACUGGUUGGGGGCCAAUGGGGCCAUGAUCGAUUGUGAGCAAAAUUUGGUCUAGGUUCGAACCCCAAAGGGGGGAGAGCUGAUCCUUCGGGGUGAGAGGGCCUCGCAGGGUCCGACCGUCUGUUCAGCCACGAGGGCCAGGAGGUUUUUGCAGCAGGGCUGCACGGGAUCUUUGGCUUAUGUGUCGGAUAUGCGGAUAGAGGCGGUGGUGGAUAUUGGAAAAGUGCCGAUAGUGUAGGACUUAGGGGACGUUUUCUUGAGGAAUUGCCUGAGGUGCCUCCGGAGAGGCAGGUGGAGUUUCGCAUUGAUUUGGUGUUGGGUGCCACCCCGAUAGCCAAGGCACGGUGUCGGUUGGCACAACCUGAGAUGCAUGAGUUAUCUACACAGCUUUAAGAGCUGCUAGACCGAGGGUUCAUCCAUCCGAGAAGUUCUCCAUGGGGAGCACCGAUCCUUUUCGUGAAAAAGAAGGACGAAUCGCAUAGGAUGUGCAUUGAUUACAUGGAAUUGAACAAGCUGGCGGUGAAGAACCGUUAUCCUUUGCUAAGGAUCGACGAUUUAUUUGAUCAGAUUCAGGAUGCAUCUUGGUUCUCCAAGAUUGAUCUUCGGUCUAGGUAUCAUCAGAUGAGGAUAUACCGAAGAUAACCUUCAGAACUCGUUAUGGGCAUUACGAGUUUAUGGUGAUGCCAUUUGGGCUCACUAAUGCCCCGACAGCAUUCAUGGAUCUCAUGAGUCGGGUGUUCAGACCGGUGUUGGAUUAUUUAGUGAUCAUUUUUAUUGAUGAUAUCCUGGUUUACUCCAAAAACAGAGAGCAGCACGAGCAGCACUUGAGAGAAGUGUUAGAGAACUUGAGGGAGGAGAAGCUUUAUGCAAAGUUCUCCAAAUGUGAUUUCUGGCUGCGGGAAGUGUAGUUUUUGGGGCAUGUCAUCAAUCAAGAGGGUAUUUCAGUUGACUCAGCCAAGGUGGAGGCUGUGAUGCGAUGGGAGGUACCGAGGAAUGCCACGGAGAUUCGUAGCUUCUUGGGUUUAGCGGGUUAUUAUCGGAGGUUUAUCCAGGAUUUCUCCAAGAUUAUCGUGCCAUUGACCCGUUUGACUAAGAAGAAUGUGACUUUACGGUGGGGUGAGGAUCAACAGAGGGCGUUUGAGACCCUGAGGAGGAGGUUAGGUGAGGCUCUGGUCCUAGUAUUGCCUGAGGGACUGGAUGAUUUAGUGGUAUACUGUGAUGCAUCGACAUCAUGGUUGGGUGCAGUUUUGAUCCAGAGGGGUCAUGUGAUUGCUUACGCCUCGAGGCAGUUGAAGCCUCACGAGGCAAAUUACCCCACACAUGACUUGGAGCUGGGGGUGGUAGUGUUUGCCCUCAAGAUUUGGAGGCACUAUUUGUAUGGAGUGCGGUUCAUUAUUUAUACCGACCACAAGAGUCUAAAGUAUUUGAUGGAUCAACAGAACCUCAACAUGUGGAAGAGGAGAUGGUUGGAUGUACUGAAGGAUUAUGAUUGCGAGAUUGUAUACCAUCCAGGGAAGGCCAACAUGGUGACCGAUGCUCUGAGUUGCAAGGCGUCAGGGUCCCCGAUUAGGGACAUCUGUAUGAGGAUGAUAGUAGUUUCGCCCUUGAUGGAAAUGUUCAAGGGGGAUCAGGUUGAGAGGGGGAAGAAGGAGAAAGGGAAGAUAGAGAAAAUUCGGGGUCAGUAUCCUUUGUUUGUCAAGGAUAGCCGUGGCCUUUUGACUCAGUGUGGCCGAGUGUGGGUACAAUUGGCAGGGGGAGUGAGGCAGAGACUGUUAGAGGAGGUGCAUAUGUCCUAGUUUUCUAUACAUCCAGGUGCAAAAAAAAUGUAUAGGGACUUGAAACUGAGUUACUGGUGGCCCUUCAUGAAGCGGGAGAUCGCCUGGUGUGUGGAGCGGUGCUUGACUUGCAGGAAGGUCAAGGCCGAGCACCAGUGGUCUCUUGGAAAGGUUCAGCCGUUACCUAUUCCCAUGUGGAAGUGGGAAGAGAUCACUAUGGACUUCUUUACGAAGCUACCGAGGACGGUGAGGGGAGUGGAUGCCAUAUGGGUUAUUAUGAACAGACUGACGAAGAGUGCCCACUUCAUUCUGAUCUCCGAGAGUAUAUCCGCUAAAAAGUUGGCAGACAUCUAUGUUCGAGAAGUGGUGGCAAGGCACGGGGUGCCGGUGUCAGUGGUUUCGGAUAGGGAUGUUCGGUUUACAUCCAGGUUUUGGAAAAAGUUCCAUGAGGAACUGGGUACUCAACUACACUUCAGUACAGCAUAUCACCCUCAGACUGAUGGUCGGAGUGAGAGAACGAUCCAGACAAUGGAGGACAUGUUGCAAGCAUGCAUGCUGGAUUUUGGAGGAAGUUGGAAUACGUACCUUCCACUGGUAGAGUUCUCAUACAACAACAGUUAUCAUACUAGUAUUGAGAGAGCUCCAUUCGAGAUGUUAUAUGGUCGGGGGUGCAGGACCCCAAUAUGCUGGGACGAGGUUGGACAUCGGGUGAUGGGGAGCACGGAGGUGGUACUCAAGACCACCGGAUUAAUCCAGCAGGUGCGCGACUGGUUGCAGGUCGCGCAGAGCUUCCAGAAGAGUUAUGCUGAUCGACGACGAUUGGAUCUUGAGUUUCAGGUGGGGGAUUUUGUGAUACUGAAAGUGUCACCCUGGAAGGGGAUUAUCAGGUUUCGUAAGAGAGGCAAGUUAGGGCCUCGAUUUAUAGGCCCGUUCAGGAUCAUAGCCCGUGUGGGCAAGGUAGCCAAUCGUUUAAAGCUUCUAGAUGAGCUUAGUCAAAUCCACAACACCUUCCAUGUGUCUUAGCUUCAGACGUGUGUUGUUGACGAGUCUGCGGUUAUAUCCUUGGAUGACAUUCAGGUUGAUAGGGGCCUGAAUUACGUCGAGAAGCCAGUUGCCAUUCUUGACAGGAAGACGAAGGAACUUUGGAACAAGGAAGUGAAGUUGGUAAAGGUGCAAUGGCAGCACCAAAGGGGCUCUGAAUGGACAUGGGAGCCAGAGGAGGAGAUGCGAUAGCAUUACCCUGAUCUGUUUUCAGCCACGGACUUCGAGGGCAAAGUCUAAUUCAAGUGGGGGAGAGUUGUAACAUCCAAAAUUCUAGUAAGUCUUAAAACCCUAAAGAGUAUAUUAUUUGCAUAAAUGGUCCCUUAAUUACACUGGGCGUACUUAAGUGUACGUUUAGCGUACUGCAUGGAUGUAGUCGCGGAGGAAUCAAGGUACGUUGGGCGUACCGUGAGUUACACGGGGCGUAUGCACCAGGGUUGCAAAACCCUAAUUAUCCGGACUUGAGGCCUAUUUAAGCAACCAUAUGUUCCUAGGAUUAAACCCUAGAGAGCCUUCACAGCCUUAGAACGUCCAUAUACUCCUGGAAACCUUGUGAGAUCAUUCUUAAGCCUUAAAGUGUGCAUUUGUGGCCUUUUUGUGUGUAUUUCAAGAAGAAGGGGUGGUCAAGCAAGCUUGGAUCAAGUGGGUGCUUCAUGAUCCUGCAUCAAAAGCACGUUGCAAAGCUUCUGGAGGUAAAAAUCUUGCAUCCCUCCUUUCUAAUCUUUAGAUCUAGCUAGGGUUUUGGUGGUUUGCCCCUUUUAUGAACUUUGGAUCUCUUUUGUUGAGUACAACCUUCCCUUUUGAUAAGAAAGUCAGAUCUGAGGUCCCCUAGUCAUUUAGGAGUAUAAAAAUGGAAGCUUGAUGAGAGAUUUGGCCUCAUGCAUGAGUAAAAGACUUUGGAAAGGUCUUAAUGGAGUGGUUGGGUGUGUACGGGACAUGCAAGGGCAUAAAGAUUCCAACUUUAUGCCUUAGGACUCCUUUUCAGACUUAGAUCUAACUUUUAGUCGUGAUGGAUCUGAGUAUUAAGCACUUAAUGGAAGAAGUGCUUAACCUGUUUCAACAAUGGGCAUAACGAGCUAUACGCGGCGUGUAGUGCCCAAACCUUCAAUACGCUGUGCGUACCAGGGUGGUACGCUGGGCGUAUGCAGCUCAGUUGGGCCCUAAGUUGUUUUAGGCCUUUGGGCCUCAUUUGGUUGUUGGGCUUGACUGGAUUCUGUGAGUUGUGGGCCUUUUUACCUGUUUGGGCCAUGGACUUAUUGAUUGGGCCUUAUUGGGCCAAGGGUCCAUUAUGGAUAUUGGACUUGGACUUUGGGGCCCGUUUGCAAUAAAAGGGUUAUUGGGCCUUCGAGGUAGACUUUGAAGAUUGGGCUUCUAUUUGGGUAAUUUAAGGCCCUUUUAUUGAUUGUAUUAUGAUUGUUGUUAUUCAGCUCAGGAGGCUGUGAAUUUCUAGGAGGACAAUAUUCGUAUUCAUCGGACGAAGGUGAGUCUUCUCACCAUACCUAUGGGUCUACGGCUCCAAAGCCAACCCAUUAUGUGUACAUGUUUUAUGUGUGGUAUCCAUUUAGGAAUUGUUAUGUUAUGUGAUAUUAUGAUGGUAUGGAAGACCCCGGGGGUGCCCGUGGCACUGGAUUUAAGACCAUGUGGGGUAGCCCAUGGCAUUCCUAGGUAAACACCAUGUAGGGUAGCCCAUGACAUUGGAUGUAAGGCCAUGUGGGGUAGCCCAUGGCAUUCUUUCUGAUUGUAUUGCAUGGUUUCUGUGGCCUGUUUGUAGCUUUAAUUAGCUAUCAGGUUAUGUGUAUGUGGUUGUGUGUGGUAUGCUCUAGGAAACUCACUAAGCAUUUUGCUUACAGGUUGUUGAUUUGUUUCAGGUACUUCUAAGCCCAAGGGCAAGGGCCCGGUGUGAUGGCAUGGUGCACACACACUCUCUCUCUCUCUCUCUCUCUCUCUCUCUCCUUUUAACGUAUUUGGGAGCCUCUGAUGUUUUAAAAAGGAAAACAAAGAUGUAAUGAAUAUUAAUUUGAAAACAUGUGAUUGGGAAUCUAUGGUUUAUGAGAUUGUUUUGAUUAACUCAAAAGUGAAAAUUUUUCUUUGGAAAAUUGGAUUGUUACAUGGUUUUCUUAUAACACAUAAACUAAAUGGGCCGGCAUUGGUGCCUUCGACUCAUAGUACAGUUAGGAGAGUUACCUCGCACUGCUGAAUCACAUUGUUAAUCCUUGGCUGCUAGUCCGAAAAUUCCCCGAGCUCUCAAUAUCAAAUAACACCCAAUUAACAUUUGGGUUCCAAUUAAAAUCCAACAAUCCAUACAUGGGGUAAAAAGACCAUUUUACCUGUCACCUAGUUCAGUCCAGGACUAAGGCCAAAAUUCACAAUAAAAAAAGGCCAACGAACUAAAUAACCAUCCAAAGCCCACUUAUGGCCCAGUUUUCCAAAUUGGGCCCAAAACCUUACAUGAGCCUUACCCUAAAUCCCAAUAACUCUUCCUAGCAAAACACUUGAUUUAACACUUAAUCCAUUAAGACAAAGCUCCAAAACAUAGAUCUGACUUCCUUGAGCUGGAUUAUCACAUAAAGUUGCUAACUUUACGUUCAUGCAUGGUUAAGGGUCCGUUUGUUUACCUCUUAAUAGCAAAAUUAAGAGGCAAUGUCUGAAAAAUUCAGAUUCAGAUCGUUUGUCUGCGUCUUAAUUUUUACCUCUUAAAACUCUAUUUGCCUCUUAUUUUUUCAGAUCUUGAGCAGUGUCUGAAAAAUAAAAAAAAAACCGCGUGCCUAUUUUGCCCUAAUACCCAUCAAAAGCAUUCUGCCAUUUUUCUUCCAUUCGCAUCUACUCCCAACAACGAUCUGAGCCGCUUCAAUCUUGCCCGUCGACGAACGCAGCCGCUGGAACACAGCUGCUGCCACCGAUCGUCCCUGGAACGAGCCGUUGCCACCGAUCGUCCUCUCACCUCUCGCCGACAAUUCAGGUAUGUGGCUACUCCUCUUAAAAUCGAUUUAUUUGCUAUUCUUCUUUCUUCCUUCUUCUGAAAAUCGUUUUCCUUGCUGCUCCUAAACCUGGAAAUCAAAAAUCAACAUCAUCUUAUGUUAUUUGUUCCUGAUUUGUUAAAAAAACGAAAUCAAGUAUGUUAUUUGUUUCUGAAAAUCGUUUUUUUUUUGCUAUUCUUCUUUCUUCCUUCUUCUAAAACGAAAUCAAGUUUGUUCCUGAUUUCUUCAAAAAACGAAAAAAAAUUUAUUUUCCUGCUAUAAGUUCCUGAUUUGUUAUAUGUUGAUGUUAUUUGUUCAAUGUUGAUGUUAUAUGUUGAUAUUAUUUCCCUGCUAUGAGUUCCUAAUUUAUUAUUUCCCUGCUAUGAGUUCAUGUUAUGUUUGAUUUUUUAUAUUCAAUUGUUUAUGUUCAAUGUUUUUAUGUUUUAUUAUUAUGUUGAAAUGUUGUUGAAAUCAUAUUUGUGUUUCAUGUUGUAUUGAAAUCAUAUAUGCUCUUGUUGUUAUUAGAAAAUGUGCAUUAUAUGUUGAUGUUAUACGCUGAGUUUGAUGUUAAAUGAACGAAUCCUAAUGUUUUCAAUGGACAUAAUGAAAUGUUGAUAUGUUCUAUGUAUAGGAUUAUAUGUUGAUGUUAUGUGCAUUUGUAAUGUAUUAUAUGUUGAUGUUAUGUGUAUUUGAAAUGCAUAACUUGUUGCUAAAACAUGCAUUUUUUUUGUUGAAUUGAUCAAAGAAAUGGGAGAAAAGAAGGAUAGGAUUAGUUGGAAGGUAGAAGGUGUAGAGAAAACAUUUCUAGAAGCUUGUUUACGUGAAGUUACGAUCAAUGGAUGGGAAGGGAGUAGUGUGAAAGCACUUUCUUGAAGGAAUGUAGCUGAAACACUAAAAAUUGAACAUAACAUUAUUGCCGACCAAAAACAAAUGAAGAACCGUUAUGACUACCUAAAGUCAAAGUUUGGUACUUUUUUGAAGUUAAAAAACAAAACCGGUAAUGUGUAUAAUUCAACAACCAACACCUUCAAUCUUUCCAAAGAAGAAUGGGAACUAGAAGCGAAGGUAUUUUGUUAAUUUAUAAAAAAUAGAUUAUAUUGUUUUUAAAUAAUAAAAUAUUUUUUUCCAAACAGUCAAACAAACAUGUGGAUUGUUUGAGACGCACACCAUUACCGUAUCCCGACCUUUGCACACAGUUGUUUGAAGGCGCGACUGCAACAGGCAUGCAUAGUUGGGGACCAACUUCUACCCUUCCCCGUCCUACUCAAGACUCAAGCCACUAUAGUUUGCAUGACUUUGAUGACAUCGAUUGCACUCAACAAGAAACUGUAGGUCUGAGUGACGAGUCAUCUGCUCAAUCAAAAAAACAAAAGACUACAGAUACGGCAAAGAGUCAAAAUAAAAGUAAAGAUAAGGGUAAAGAUAAGGGUAAAGAUGCAUCCAAUUCAAGAUUGCUUGAAAUCGGUGAAGAUAUUGCCACAGUUGCUAAAAUAUUUGUGGAAAAGCAUUCUUCUUCAAAUUUGGAUGCGUGUAUGGAAAAAUUGGAGAAGUUAGGAUGGGGAAUAUUUGAUCCAAGAUACACUACUGCUGUUGCUCUUUUUGGUGAAGGCAUGGAUAAGAGGCACAUAUGGUUAACCAUUGAUCCAGCUAUUUGUGAGAAUUGGGUCAAGACUGUUGGAGCGCAUUAUGGAAUGUUUCGCUAAGUAGAUUUUUUGAAUGUGUUGAUGGUUUUUUUUGGAUAACUAGAUGGUUUUUUUUUGGAUUACUUGAUGUUUGGUUUGAACUAGAUGGUUUUUUUUAUUACUUGACAUUAAUGACUUGAUGUUUUGGAUUACUUGAUGUUUUGGAUUACUAGAUUAUUAUAUGAUAUGAAUGACUUGAUGUUUUGGAUGAAUUUUUAUGUUAUAUGUUGUUAAUAUAAUUGCUAUGUAUUUUCAAAAUAACAGAUUGCUUAUGGAUUCGGAUGAAGAAAUUGCAUUUUUCAUGUUACUAUGUUGCUAAUGGUUGAAUCUAGCAUGCAAUAGAAUUGGAAGGGCAAUUGAUAAUGAUUCGGAAAUGAGUGGUCAUCAACAUACACAAGAAUUGUUACAUGGAACUUCUACACAAUGUCAUGACCUGAUACGUCUUUCACGUGAAGCAUAUGUACUUUUAUGCAAUCAUUUUAGACGAAACAAUUGGUUGCAAAGUAGUAGGCAUAUAAGCGUUGAAGAAAAGAUGGCUAUGUUCUUGACAACUAUAGCACAUAAUAAACGGUUCAGGAUUAUCAAACAAAGGUUUCAACACUCCACAGAAACAAUUCAUAGAUGCUUUCAUGAGGUGCUAAAUGCAAUGAUGAUUUUUGCAAAAGAAGUUAUAGUGCCAACGAAUUCUAAUGCAACCGUGAAUUCCUCAGAGAGGCAUCGUAAGCUAAAAGAAAUCUUUCCUGGGGCAAUAGGUGCGCUAGAUGGAACUCUUGUACAUGCAGUUGUGCCUGCUGAUCAACAAACUCGCUAUAGGGGAAGAGGAAAAGGUGAAUGCUUUCAAAAUGUUUUAGGAAUUUGUGAUUUUGAUAUGAUGUUCACAUUCGUAUGGGCCGGUUGGGAGGGUAUAACACAUGAUUCGCGAGUUUUGAAAGAAGUUGCAUGUAACCCGACUUCAGGCUUUCCAUCCCCUCCUCCAGGUUUUUAAUUCUUUUUAAAUUUAUUAUAAAAUGUGAUAUUAAAUUUCUAUAUAUAAUACUUCAUUCACUCAUGUGUAUAGAUAAAUAUUACCUUUGCGAUGCUGCAUACACCAACACUCGUGGAUUUAUGACUCCUUAUCGCAACACGAGGUAUUGGUUAGCCGACUAUCGACAGCGUCGUGCGUUAACUAACGAGAAAAAAAUUCAAUCAUGCACAUGCGCAACUCAGAAAUGUUAUUGAACGUGCUUACGGUGUUUUGAAGGCGAGAUUCCCAAUCCUAAAGCGAAUGGCUCCUUUUCCUUUUUCAGUGCAAAGAGAUAUAGUCGUUGCUUGUUUUGCAGACCACAAUUUCAUAAGGAAAUGCGAUAUUCAUGAUGAGUUAUUUAUGGCGUUCGACGAGAACAAUGCUCAAGCACAAGGGGGACAAAAUGACGGCGAAAACGUACACGAUAUGGAAUGGGGUUCACAAGGAAAUGAAUACAUGGAUAAUUUACGUGACUAGAUUGCGAAUUAAUUGGUGUGAAAUUAAAUUUGUAGGAUUUUAUUUGGAUUUUAGUAUGAUUUUGUGGAUUUAAAAAUAUUUAUGUUUGAUUUUAAUUUGUGUUUAAAUUUGAUUUAUGCUAAAUUUUGAUUUUAUAUGGUGUUUAUUUAUUUUUUAAUACAUAAUUAAGAAUUUUUAUUAGGUUAUUUUCUAAAUAAACAGUUGAAUUUAAUAAAAAAUAAAACAGAAGGGUAAAAUGGUCAUUUUAAUAAUUCAGCAGAACAAUUCAGAGGUCCCAACCAAACAGCAUGUUAAACAUUCAACUCUUAAAAUUUCAGAUCUUCUUAGAAAUUCAGACCUCUUAAAAAUUUAGAUCUUAAAAAUUCAGAUCCUGCCAAAUACCCCCUAAAUGAAGCUGUUAAGCUUAAAUGGGACUUAAUAAGUGAUUAAUGAAUGCAUGAAACCAAAAAUCUUAUAAAGCUUGCACCUUUAUGCUCAAGGAGACUAAAACAAACUCAGAUCUACAAGCCCUUAAAUGACUUAAAUCUUCCAUAAACCCAAAAAGGGACCAAAAGCAUAAUAAACUAACUAUGAAGAUAUCUAAACAUAUAUAAGCCAAGAUGCAAACUGGAUACCUCAGAAAGCUUUCCUACAAGAUGAUGAUUAUGGAUCCAAAACCUUUUCACCAAGCAAGGCAACUUAAAGCUUCUCUACUUUCUUCACAAAGGCAAAUAUGAGCACUAAAGUCUUCUUAAUAGUUCAAGAACGCCACCAAUAGGUUAAGGGGUCGAUUCAGGGUUUUAGGAGGUUCGGGGCUGGUAAAGAGACCUACCUAAAAGACUUAAAACGCUUAAAUAGGACACACAUGCUCAAAAAUUAGGGUUUAAGCACCCUUCGUACACCCAACAUACUCCUCGUACGCCCAGCGUACGAGGCCAAGGUUCGCGAUCCUUUCUUCUAGGUACUCCAAGAAUACACUAAUGUAUGCCCAAUGUACUGCCCUUCUCACAAGUACGCCCUGCGUACUCCCUAUGUACGUCAUGUGUACUAGUGUUUCCUCUUAAACCCUAAAAUACUCCGGAGGCCAUAACGUCUUCAUUAUAUAUCCGAUUUUGACGAUCCUUAUAUCCAUGAAAAGGUAAUGAGAAGCUCUACACUUUAAUCAAAUCAUACUUUCCAUAAAAUUUCCCGAACAAAAAUCCAAUUUCCAUAAAAGCCCGCUACCAUUUUAUCAAAAUACCCUUGGCUCCAAACCAUAUCUGAACACCUGAAUUAUCUACAUUACAUCACCUACACCCAAUUGGGUAACAAUUCGGGAUAGGGAAUUAAAACUCUCCCCCACUUAAAUUAGAUUUUUUCCUCAAAAUCAUUACUUAUCAUUCCAUCACACCAUAUAGGUUGAUCAACACAAUCACAACCCUUAUGCGUAACAUAGCCUUCCCAAAGGCAACUGAACCCAACCCUAGCAGAACUCUCCAAACCUGAUUAAUAGCGAAUCCUUAAUUUCAUGCAGAAAACCACUCUAUCUUCCCCGAAACCUGGAAUCUCAAAUUGGUCUGACUCCCCGAUAGACCGCCCAUACCGAACCACUACCAUGCCAAAUCCUCAUUUAAUUCUAGACCAACAAAACGUUUCCAACCAUUGGUUAUCUUGAUUCUUCCAUUGGGAGCAAAAUCAUUUACCAUGUACUGUUGCAGAAUAGUCACACUUGACAGAAGUAUCAAAUAAUCCUUCGAGUAGAAGAUUCGUCCCUGCAAUGGUUAGACUUAGACAAGAGCUGUGCAACAGGGUCAAAUUAAUUACUCUAAGAUUAUUUAAUCCAAACUGCAAGUGACUUAGCAUAUGCCCCGAAUAAUCAACAAUUCCACACACGAAUCCCAAAUCACUAAUACCGCCCGACUCAUCAUGCUGGCCCCUAGCUGCUUUCCAAAAGCAGCUGAGACCUCCCUAGUCCAAACUUGUCUGCCAACUAACUGAAACACCGGAUUCCCGCCCGAUUGCUGAGUGAAAAGACACACACAGUCGCCCCAUGCGACUUUAGAAACAAAGCCUCAUCUGGAAAUAAUUGCCCAAAUUAUCUUGCCACCAAAUCAAAUAAUAAAGUGAAUGCUACAUGACCAAUUGUAAUCUUAUAUUAUACCUGACCUCCAACGACCUACCACUUCCUAAUUCCAAGCAUGUUGUGUCCCUCUCACAGUCUUAUGAACUGACCCACCCUGGUCUAAUCCAUCUGAAGAAAUCCAUGACCAAUCAUGGAUUUGCCACACGUUCACCAUUGCACAGGGACUAGUGAAUGCUACAGGCCAUCCUACAAUCUUACAAAACUCCCACACUAACUACCAACUAUUGAAUGCUACAUGCCACCCUAUAGUCUUACAACACUUCAACAUCGACUGCCAACCUAGAGAAUGCUACAGGCCACCCCGUAGUCUUACAACACUCUUAUUUUUCCAUGGCCACCGACCAUGGUCUUACCACUCGUCUAUCAGUGCAUCCAUACACAUCCAGAGUCGAAAAACCACCCAACCAAGUGCCCAAGCUGGGCUUAAGUCAUACCUACAACCCUAACUUGGGUAUACCAAAAUCCUUCUAUCCAUCACCAACAAGGCACUAACCAACUGUUGGAAAGUUUCAUGAACUCCCAAAUCACACAAUCCUCAAUCCAGACAGCCACUUGGGCCGCCUUCCUACCCCAUGAAGAUGUGAAACUCAUCCUAGUUUCACGCAUAAUUCGUCUCCCAAAAAACCAAAUGGCUCUCCCCCAGUUUGAUUCAACGAAGCUCUCCGAGCACACAAGGUUUGAAGGAUUCCCAAUCCAUAUUACUCCUUAUGAUUAAACUGCUGACAACCUGUGCUUACCAAUGCUAGUGUUCCAUUACUAGCCAAACCCAAACACCGCACAACCCUUGAACGCCAGAUAAACACUCCCCGAAAUCCCAAUAAUUAUGAUAACUCCAGACGCUUUUAAUGAUAGAACACCCAAAUCUUGAAGUCCUUUAUACCGAUGAGAAGACCAAAACCUACAAAAUAGACCACUUCCCUUGGCACUCGCAGUGGCCAACCAAGCUCAAAUAUUAUACCAAGUAAACCCCGAAAAUAGUAGAGAACUAACCCGCUAAACCUGACCAUAGACCUUCCACACAAUACCCCUGAACCGAUCUCGACCAAGUACCGGAAUAACAACCAAACACAUGAUGGAUUUUGAGCAAUACAUCAAUCCUAUGGUGUACAUGCAAACCCUAAUAGCUUUGGAUCUAGUUUGUCUAAUGAACAUGCAAUUGAUAAUCCAAAUCCAUAAACCCUAGAUCUAAUAAACUAUAACAGAAAUUAGGGUUUAGAUCUUACCUUUUAUUGUUAUAUAGCAAUAACAAUCAAUCCUUGGCUUCAGAAAGCUUAGUGCCUCCAGUGUUGCACCUCUAAUGGAGUCACAAACACCACUAAGCAACUUGGAUGAAGAGAAAAGAGAGAGCAGGAACCAAAAACGGCUGGAAACCCUAAAUGAAGUGUUCACCACGUUUUUGGGGCCAUAAGGGUUCCUUAUAUAUGCUGGCUAUUAGCGUUUACAGCUAGGAAACCCUAAUCUGACUGCUUAAGCCCUAAGCAGCCAAUGGACUCCCUCUUUAGAAGCCUUGGAUGAUUUCUAAUGGUAUUCCCCAUAGAAUUCUUCCACUCCAACUUCUAUGGAGUCCAUUAUCCCAUCUAUGUAAUUAUCUUAUAAUUACACAAUAAGUCCCUUAAGUUUAAUUAAUCUCUUUUAGCCACAAAAUUAAUUCUUUAUUAAUUCUUGACUAAUAUUAAUUAAACAAUAUGAUUUCUCCUUUAAUAUAUUAUUCUCAUAAUAUAUUAAUAAAUCAUAAUUAAACAUUUCUCUCCUUAAUUCAUCCUACAUAUUUCUAUGGUGAAGGAAACCCAAAAGGACCAUGCUCAUAAUCGGGUCAAGUACAUACCAAAAUAGUUAUGGACUUGGACACUAAUCCAACACUGUCCCACUUGGAUAAGUCUGAUAACUAUUUUGCAUAACUUCAUAACCUGAUUAACAAUCGUAGCUUUCAAAAGCCUUUGUCAACUCUGAUCAUAUCAGAUAGCAUGUCCUUUAGAUAAAGGAUUAUAUAUUCCUCCAUUCUCAAGAUAUCAUAUAGACACAAGAAAUGAAUUUCGAUCAUUCUCUCUAUAUUGUUUCCUAACUUCCGAUUUAUGACGAAUGACAACAGACUACAAUUGAACACAUCAACUUAGUCUCGGUUUGGCCAAGCGCUUAGGUUUCAUCACUAAAUCAUUGAGGGGCCCACAAAUAUCGCUUUUAUCCCACUUUGGGCAAAAGGAAUGGAUAAACUUUGACUCAAAUGCUCACUUGCACCUACUCAUCGAAUCACACACAACAAUAAGUUUUAUAACACCAAGUUACCGGUGCGUUUAUAUAUCAUGAAUGUGCAACCGACCAACAAAUAACAACUCACACAUCUCGGUUUCAAGAAUAUACAAUGUUAUCAUCUCACUAAUCUCCAGUGAUAAAUCCAUGAAGUGAUUCAAGUGAGCGUGGGUUUAAUCCAAUACUUUAAUCUUAUCAAAGCACUCAUGAACUCCGAAGCAAACUUGUGUUAUGUCUAAACACUUUAGACAAGCUACAGACAGAUUCAUGACAGUCUUCCUUCAUACCUACUUCCAACGUAUGACUGACUGUGGAGGUUCGCAUAACCCAGUUAUUCUAGAAGUCAAAACAUGAAAAAUGAAACCCAAUGAGAAUACUUAAUCCUAUAUGGCCCCAAAAUUUUUGAGCGUAAAUAAAACACUUUUAUUUAAACACCAUAUUGACCACUCAUUAUUCAUGGUUUAAUUUUUCAGAUAAUCAACUUAUUACUUGAAUUACAAUAAUAGUUGUCCCAUGCUCCUAGCAUGCACACUAUGUUACCUAUGAUCCUUACUUUGUGAAAUAGACCAAUUAAAAACCUUUCCAAUUGAACUCAUUUCACAAUUCCCAAUCCUUAUCGUUAGUGUAAGAUCGCAACAUUCUUGCCACUAAUAGAAUAUGUUUUAAUUCUAACAUUUUAUGCAACGAUCAUUUCGUAAAGUCGUAGCAUAAAAGUUACCAAGACUUGGCCAAUGAAAAUACAAGGUUCAUUAUCAGAAAUUGUUACAAAACAAUUCUAUAAAUGUGAUGUCUCACAUUCGAAGUACAUUCUUGUGAACAUACUUCUUGCAUAAAAGUUGCUAAUCUAGACAUAAAUUCUUAAUUUCCAACUCCUAAUAUGGAAACAUUUCCAUAUUUGCCAUACGACAACUCAUUCUUAAUAUAAUCUUAUCAAUUCAUAAUAAUGUCGAUAUGGCCCAUCCAACACUAUACUUCCAACUACUCACAAGCAACAAAUCCUUGGCGAACCUUAGAUCGUCCUUUGAUAGUUGUUUAAUUAUUUUAGUCAAAACCGUUCUAGUCCUUUUUCCUUCUUAAUGGGCUAGACAUUUGGAAAAUUUUAGAAUGGUCAAAUAUUCUAGCAUUUGCAAUCGAUCCUAUACCCGAAGCGUAUGGGACACGAUGCAUAAUGUCUUACAUAAAGAUAUCAAUCUUUUUCCAUAAUAUUUUAUGUGUCACGUUCUUACAAUUCGAACUAUGAAGAGGGAUGUCGUAAUCAUAAUCAAAAUUUAAGAACACACUAUGUAUCCCUUGACUAAAUUUAUUAAAAUUUCUCAAUCUAAUCUUUAGAUUUUGAAACUAAGUAUAAUAUUCUCUCCCUUAAUUAUAGUAAAACAAUUUUUCAACCCUUGCGACUUUGCAAAGUAUAACUCUUGUUUUCUAUAAUUAAUAUUGCUAACUUUCAAUACUUACCUUAAUAAUCAUACAAGCAUAGCAUUUAUGCACCCACUAUCAUGAUGAUUAUUAUCAUAUAAGCAUAACAUUUAUGCUCCCACUAGCUUUGACAUGUAUUCAAAAAACAACUGAACUUCCUGAAAACAAUACCUAUUGAAUUUAUGAAGUUCAUAUUUCUAAUACCAGAUGCUUCGAUAAGCCUUUAUCUAAGCUUCUUAACUUUAUACACCUUUGCCUUAAAUAGCUCAUAUGUGUGUCUAAACAAUUCAGAACUUAUAUCAAUAAGUCCCAAAUGUUAGACUAACUGCCAAAUCUCACAAUUCGAACUAUGGAAAGGGAUGUCGUAACCAUAAUCGAAUUUGAGAAUACAAUUUUUCAGAAUUGCUAUCUUCUUAAAAUCUCUCUUAGUGAAAGCAUUUCCUCAAAGUCAUUUUCAUGGAGGAUGGAAUCUUAUGACACUUAGAUUUUAUGGUGUAUGUGUUCCUAUCCAUGUGAAUUUGCUAAAACCAAGUUUGCGACAAAUCCAAACUCAUAUGUACUGAACUUUCUUAAUCUUGAUUUAUUGCCUUAUGGUAACACGAGUGCCCACCAUGUCUUUCAAGUAGUUUAGUAACUUAUCCUUACAGAUCAAUGUACUUUUCAUCGAUUAAGGUACUUUGUCUUUAUGCAUUCAAAUGAGAACUCAUAAAACUUACAUACAUAAUUAACUCAAUUGGAAUGGCACGGAAACAAAAUAAUGUCAACACGAUAGGUCAUAAACCUCAAGUCGUGUGCUAGUGAUGAUAGAUAAGGUUUAUUCUUGAUUUGUUCUGGAAAAUUUUUCAAGAUCAUUACAGCUCCCGCUGACCUCUUGACAUAUAUGAUUCUCUUGUCAGAAAACUUUUCUAGACAAAACAAAUAUUCAAGAGUUAGUGUAGUUCUUAUCAAGACAAAACACUUCACAUAAUUGGUCCUAGUUGGUCUUUGUCUUCUCCAAGACAUCACAACUUACCAAUUUCAAAUGUGCAAGAAUAAGAACACUUUACAAAAUUCCACAUUUGUUGAGUGUUAUAACCUUCUUAAGACUUAUAACUCAAUUCACAAUCUUGGAAUAUAACUCUAAGACAUGAUAUUGGAAUGAAGUAUGAUUGACUUCUUGAUUUAACCAUUUCCACAAUUCACGAUUCCUCUUCUUAGACAUACAAAUGCACUAAGACUCUCUUAGAGGAUCAAUUGAGAUAUGGUUAUUAAUCAUUAAGACUUAUCAUAAAACACAAGAAAAGGUACUCUCCCUUCUUCUUAGAAUAGAGAAACUUUUAUCUUUCUGCCUACUUGAUUCUUCUUUAUUCGUUCUGCUAUUCAUUGAAACUCUUUCAAUCAACUCAAAAUUACACUUAAUCUUAUAAGUAUAAUCAUAUUUACUAAACUUUUAGUAAAUCAUGAUGAAUAUAUUAUCUCUCUUUGUGGGGGACUUGAUCAACGCACAACCUAGUGUACUCGAUCUCCUAGUCCUUCACUUGACACUUUGUCAAAGAAUUAGUCUAAUUUCCAAAUAUGAAAGUUUUCAUUCAUCACACAACCAAGUUGUAUGAUUCCAAGUUUCUGUCCAAUUGAAACUUGGGCGAUGAGAAACUCUCCUUAUUUGGUAAAUUCUUGACAUCACCACAAGUAACAUAAUUAAGAAUCAAAUCCAUUAUUGCUAAUAAUAGAAACCGUUAAACAUUAAUUUUUCAUACACGCCAUUGCAAGGAUAAAUAUAUAAGAUAAAAUCAAAAUUUAUUUUAUUGCGGAAAAAAUUGUCCUUACAAUGCACUUCAAUUGAAAAACCAUGUUAUUACAUAUUUCUUAGCAAUCCAUUCUAACUCCAAGUAGUAGCUCAAGAAUCUAAUCUUCAAGCAAUGCGAUCGAAAUCCAUUUCUUCACGAUUAGAUUCAGCUCACUUCUUGCCUUAAGCUUCCUCUCUUUUCUUCGAUCCUACAAAAAAUCAAAAUGUAAACUUAUCACAUCAUGUAUUAAGAAUCUAGAAUACGAACAUAAAGGAGUUAGUUAAUGGAUUUUACCUGAAGUAGAUCCAUACGUCUUGAGUCUCCCAUCUCUUAGAUCUCUCAGGUAAAUAGGGCAGCUUCGUCUCCAAUGCCCCUUCUUUUGUCAGUAAAAGCAAAUGGACUCUUUUAGAAUGACAAAAGGAACUAUCUCAGAGUUUUCCUUUUCUGGAUUUCCAUUGUCAUCAUUUGCAAUGUCCAUUGAAGUUUGGGAGUUUGAUUCACCAGAAAAAUUUGCUUGACCAGCACGCCAAAUCAUUGCUAAUUCAGCAGCUAUAUGCAAAUAGGUUAGAUGAAUGAGGAUCACGUCAUGAUCCACCAUAUAGUUCUCUCUAACGAACUCACUAUAUGAUUCAGGAAGUGACUGAAGAACCCUGUCAACAGCCAACUCACAUGAAAUCUCGACACCUAACAUCCUUAACCUAUCAUUGUGUGACUUCAUCUCUAAGAUGUGUGCACACACAGGUUUCCCAUCUUCGUGUUUACUUGCCAAAAGGGCUUGAGUGAUCUUGAAAUUUUCAAGCCUUCAAACUUUUGGGUUAGGGAGAAUAACUGAAGGAGGUGGAGGAAGUGAAGCAUGAUUUAUUGUUCCUCGAUCAUAUCAUGGAACAUCAUCUUCAUUUGGAAAGCUUGUUCCAUGGGAUUUGGGAUGACCAUUGUUAGAUUCAGACAUCUACAAAACGGGAGAAAUUCAAGUCAAGUUGAUUAGAAUCCUUGAUGUAACACCCAAAUGAAACAUCAAGGCUAGGAUCCAACACAAUACUCUACAACCUAGAAGAGGGAUGCCCUAAUCUAGUUGCAGAAUAUUUGAAGGUAGGUAAAUGAUGAUUUACCAAUUUCCACCAUGAAAAACGAAAAAGAAAUUUAAGUUUUAAAUGAAUUGAAACUCCUAGAUCUUUUGAGAUUCAUUGAACCUUUCAAUGGCAUGUUUAAUCUCGAUUAUGCCCUUCAUUUAUAACUGGGAUGCCGAUGAUCACAAAUAAGGUGUGAAUAACCAUGCGAAUGUACAUGGUGCACUCAAUGCUACUAUCACCUAAUCAAUGUGCCGGUUAGUCACACAUGCUCCAUUGAUCUAUGAUAAACAUCGAGUCACCUUUUGCUACCAAUGCCAAACCCAAAUUAGUGUGCCGGUUAACCACACACACUCCACUAACGUCUCGGCAAGGGUACAAAGUGUCAUUCCAUGGAUUAGCAUACAAUUUCACAUUUUGCCCAAAGUAACUAUGAUUUGGGAAUUUAAAAAACUUUUAGUUACUUUGUACUUCAUUAUACUUAUAAUGGAAGGUUUCUGUCCUAUCCUACCUAUUCGGCUAACGACCCUCCACUAGUGGAUAAGAGUUGAUACCCAUUCAAUCGCCAUUUUAUAGGCAAUUUCCUUAAACACCCCUUAUAGAUCAGCUUCAUGAAUGAGGCCUACUAACGGUAAGACUGACUCUUUACUCAUACAUCUAUAUAAUAUUGGAUUUUUAAUGUUAUAUAUAGUAUAGGGUGUAUUUUACACUUUUAAAAUACUAGGUGGUUUUAUUAACUUUCUCUUUUAAUUAAACUUUUAAUUAACUUAACAAAACCAUGAGGGUGUAAUUUGAACUUUUCAAAAUACUAGAGUUUUAGAAUUUAAAUAUUACAUAAUUAAACUAUUAAUCAAAAUUUUAAAUUCCAAAACUUGAGGGCAAGUUUUGAAACAUUUAAAAACAUUAGGGUUUAGAAUUUAAAUAUUUCAAAAUUAAACUUUUAAUCAAAAAUUUAAAUUCCAAAACUUGAGGGCAAGUUUUGAAACUUUUCAAAACAUUAGGGUUUAACAAUUUAAAUUUCAAAAACAAAACUUUUAUGUUCAAAUUUAAACUAUAAAACUUAAAGGGAGUAAUUUGAAAGUAUUCAAAUAAGGCAAUUAUCUAAUUUUGACCUAGUCAAAUAUCUUGCAGAAUAAUUCAUUAAAUAACUCAAAUAAUUAAACAUUAUCUUAUAAGGUAACAAAUAUUUGAUUAAAUGGUAAUUAUCUACUAUUUUGGUAAGGAUAUUCACCCAAAAUCAAUAAAAAUCGGAUUUUAUUAAUUAAAAACGUUUAUGGUAAGUAUCCCAAACUAAAACAGCAAGAAAAUCACCAAAAACCGCUGCCAGACCCUCAGACUCGCCGAGUCAGAGACUGGACUCGCCGAGUCAGCCUGACUCGCCAAGUUCAUCAACUGACUCGCCGAGUCAGUCAAGCAGAAGGGCAAAAAACAUUUUAUUCAGCCAAUAAACUAUCAAAUAAGCAUCAAUUCACUAACAAACAUCCCUAGGCUCUGAUACCACUGAUGGGUUUUGAGCAAUACACCAAUCCUAUGGUGUACAUGGAAACCCUAAUAGCUUUGGACCUAGUUUGUCUAACGAACGUGGAAUUGAUAAUCCAAAGCCAUAAACCCUAGAUCUAAUAAACUAUAACAAAAAUUAGGGUUUAGGUCUUACCUUUGAUUGCUAUAUAGCAAUAACAAUCAAUCCUUGGCUUCAGAAAGCUUAGUGCCUCAAGUGUUGCACCUCUAAUGGAGUCACAAACACCACUAAGCAACUUGGAUGAAGAGGAAAGAGAGAGGAGGCACCAAAAACGGCUGGAAACCCUAAAGGAAGUGUUCACCACGUGUUUGGGGCCAUAAGGGAUCCAUAUAUAUGCUGGCUAUUAGGGUUUACAACUAGGAAACCCUAAUCUGACUGCUGAAGCCGUAAGCAGCCCAUGGACUCCCUCUUUAAAAGCCUUGGACGAUUUCUAAUGGGUUUCCCAUAGAAUUCGUCCACUCCAACUUCUAUGGAGUCCAUUAGCUCAUCUAUGUAAUUAUCUUAUAAUUACACAAUAAGUCCCUUAAGUUUAAUUAAUCUCUUUUAGCCACAAAAUUAAUUAAACCUUUCUCUCCUUAAUUCAUCCUACAUAUUGCUAUGGUGAAGGCAACCCAAAAGGACCAUGCUCAUAAUCGGGUCAAGUACAUACCAAAAUAGUUAUGGACUUAGACACUAAUCCAACAACACAUUCAACCCCGCUCAACAAGAUGCGACCUCUUCUGAGCCACUAAUGAAUCAUAUCAUGCAACUAGUAUAUAAUAAUUAUCCAUGAUACAAUUCAAACAAUAAAAGAUAACUAAACCAAAGAUAAUGCUUACACAAGCCGAUACAAAAUCCAAAGCAAUAUAAAUACUGAUAACAACUAAAAAUAAGAAAAACGAUAACAUACCCGAAAUAUCACCUGUUAGAGUCUUGGCCUCCCCUAUCUGACGAUGUAUUGCUCUACUCCUCUCUGUUGGGGAUCCUGCCCUACCUUCAUGACCAUAAGUGAUCCUCAAAGUAGCCGUAACAGGUGCACUCACUGCUCCUCCCCUCAACAUCGGACAGUCAGCCUUCUUAUGGCCCACUUGGUUGCAGUGAAAACAUAAUGGGCAUGCCCCCUAAGGACAAUCCCUGCUGCCAUGACCAACCCUGCCACACUUGUAGCAGCCCAAACUCCUAGAACAAAAAACCCCAUCGUGUAGUCUCCCGCACGUGAUGUAUUGACGCCAGCCCUAUUGGCCCCUCAAUCGCUAAUCCGAAGUCUUGGGUCUCUUCAUGAGACCCUCAAUUAUCUACACCUGAUAUGUCCCCCUCUUCCCUAGGUGCUCCAAAUCGAUCUCCUGCUCUCGGGCUCUAGAAAUCAUAUCAUUUAGAGUCUUACACCCUGAAAGACUCACAAACUCCCUGAUGUCAUCCCUCAGCAUAUCAUGAUACCUUAACUUCUUCAUCUCCUCGUCCACUGUAUACUGCAGAACCAAUAAGGUCCUCUCCUGGAACUUGGCAGCGAUCUCCGCCACAAUCAUAGUAGCUUGGCAAAGAUCCUGAAACUCUCACGCCAACUGAUGCACCUCAAUCACCGGGGUGAACUCAGAUUGGAACCUGGUCGAAAAAUUAUCCCACGUCAUCGCAUAAACAACAUCAUCACCCAUGUCACAUCUUACCUCUUCCUACUAAUUAUGUGUCAUGUCCUUCAAAAGGCAGGAAGCAAAUCUGACCUUUUCCUCCUCGAGGCAUAAACUCGUGUUGAACGCGUAAGCUAUAUCCGCUAACCAUCUCCUACUGGCAAUAAGGUCCUUAUCCCCAGAUAAAGUGAGAUCUCCAUAAGCACGAAACACACAGAAAGAAAGAGUACAAGCUCCAACGAUAGCCAAAACUUUAGUAUGGAACACGCCUAAGCACUCAUCCAAAAUCUCCAGAAUCCCCUCCUUGACUGAACCAAAGAUCAUAGUAGUCUGCUCGAAAAUACCUUGGGUGAUCUCCAAUGAGAUGAACUCCUGCAUCUGCUCGCUAAUCGGCUUAGUACCUGCACUUGAGCCGAAAUAAGAACCAGAACCUACUUCCAGAGCGAUCAUCACCAAACUGAAAUACAACAUGCAAAAGAUCGAAGCAUACCUAAUAAUCCUCCUCCCACAUGCUUCCUAGAUUCUCCAAGACUCCACCUAAAUUCGAUUAUGGAUCCUGGGCUUUCAGUAGUACGGGCCCAAUACUACCCUCCACACCUAUCCAUACAUUCCUCAAGAAUCAGCUUGAAUCCUCUAAGUCACCUUCUCAAACUGUUGCACCAAAUGCUCACUAAACAACGCAACUAAACCCAAUGAAACACUUCCUAGGCUCUCCUAGGUUCCCCGACCUCAUUCAACCCUCAUCUACUGAAAGGCUCCCACCAAUGACAAUUAACUACCUCAUGAAUACCGUCACAUGCAACAAAGAUCAGAUAAUCCUUCAAGUAAAAGAAUAACCCUAGAACGGUUAGACUUAGACAAGAGCUACGCAAUAGGUUCAGAUCCAUCACUCUGAUAUUAUUUAACCUGUAUGGCAUGUGACUUAGCAUAUUCAAUUAGUAGUCGAUUCAUAUCGCUAAGUGUCCCACAAAGCACAAAGCAAGCAACAUUUAAGCAACAGAAAAUCUAACCAAUAUACAUUAAUCAAACCAUUCUAUCCAUUGAUCUAAAAACCAUACUAGCAUGCAAUUCUGAAAGCUCAUACAAUCAGGCAUAUAAAGGCAUCUCUCUCCUAUCAUACAAUCCUAAGCAUAUCCUUAGCCCUAAUCUAGCAUGAAAUACUCAUAAUCAUAUCAUACAUAUCAUAUAUCAUAAUAAAUAUGUAUUCGUAUUUUGAGAACCACUUACUUGAGCUUGGCCGAUUGCAUGCAUCACACCCCUUUCUUAGAUUAGAAACCCCUUUUAAUAAAACAUUUAUUUUAUGAAAAAUUUCACCAAACCCUUAGUUUGAGUCCAGGCAUACCCGAGAGUAUGCCUGAAUCCCUCAAACCAAGGCUUUGAUACCAACUUGUAACAUCCCAAAAUACGAAGGUAAAAUUUUCAUUUUUAAAGCAAUCAAAACACCCAUUUAUUAUUUAAAUAAAUCCUUAAAGAUAUUUCAUAAUAAAAACAGUUAUCAGAGUACAAUCCCAAAAUCUAAAAUUUGGGGAAAAUAUAGGUGUAUGCGCUACGAUCAAGCUGGACCCUUCCCUUUUGAACCGGAAGUACCAGAAACCAUAAACAACAAUUUUAAACACAAAGCUUAGUGAGUUCCCCGAAUACCGCAUACCAUACAUAACAUAUGAGUCAUACAUGUCAAACAUGAAAUAGGAGGUGCUAUGUGCCAACCAUAGUCUUGUCGUUAUGCCACAAGCCAUAUCAUGGUCUUUCCUUGCCAAGUCGGGGACAAAAACCCUAGGUCUUAUAGGCAAGUACUAGGAGCCACAUCCUAGUCUUCCAUGAAAGCACCACAAAGACAACUAACAUAUAAUCUACAACUACUUAUCUACUUAAUUGCCAGAGUCCUAACUCUAGUCUUGCAUACAGAUCUGGAACGAGCCACCUCCAUGUCUUUCAUACAAAUUCCAAGGGCCAACCCCUGGUCUUCCUAUAAUACAUAAACCAAAUGGGCUGGCGUUGGUGCCUUCGACCCAUAAAACCGUGAGGAGACUUAUCGCGCACUGUUGAAUCACACUGCUAAUCCCUGGCUGCUAGUCCGAUAAUUCCUCGAGCUAUCAAUAUCAAGUAGCACCUAAUUAACAUUUGGGUUCCAAUCCAAAUCCAACAAUCCAUACGUGGGGUAAAAUGACCAUUUUACCCCUCACCUAGAUCGGUCCAAGACUAUGGCCCAAAUUCACAAACAAAAAGGCCCACAGACUAAACAACCAUCCAAAGCCGACUUAUGGCCUAAUUUUCCAAAUUGGGCCCAAACCCUUACAUGGGCCUUACCCUAAAGCCCAAUAUCUCUUCCUUGUCCAAAACACUUGAUUUAACACUUAAUCCUUUAAGACAAAAUUCCAAAACAUAAAUCUGACUUCCUUGAGCUGGAUUAUCAUGUAAAGUUGCUAACUUUACGCUCAUGCAUGGCUAAAUGAAGAUCUUAAGUUUAAAAGUUACAUAAUAUGUGACUUAAUGCAUUUUCUUAAGCAGAGGGUUGUUCAUUAUUUGGAUAAAACUGAAGUGUCCAAUUGGACAACUUGGAUUGGAGUAUUUGGUUCGGAUAUUCGGAUUUUUGGAUUGGUUUUCAACAAAACCGAAGUAUUAUUUUGUAUUGGUUUUCGUUUAUAAAAUAAAAACCGAAUAGUCCAAAAAAACCGAAUAAAUAUUGAUUAUUUAUUUAUUUAUAAUAUAUAUAUCUAUAGUUAUUUAUUAAUUUUGUAAUUUAUUUUUUCAAAUAGGUUCAAAACGUUUCACCUGAUAAAAAAAAUAUUAAUACACAUUUUAUCUCAAAAGUUUUUUAUCUAUAAAAUAUUUAACUAUAAUAUAUCUUCUUAGUAGUUGUUUAUAAAUUUCAAAUCACAACUAAAUAAUUUUUUUCGUUUCUUGUGUAAAGUUGGAUAAUAUUAUAAUUAUAUGUUGUUUUAAAAUGUUUUUGUUUUUGAGAACCUAAUUAGAAAAACCGAUCCAACCGAAUUGUAAUUGGAUCGAAUCAGAACGAAUUUGAAUUUAUUUUGGACUGUUUGGAUCCAUGUUUUGAAAACCAAAAUAAAUUUGGAUUCACUUGAUUGGAUCGUAUCAAACCGAUCCAUCCAAACGAACACCCCUACUUAAGGAGACCAAAACAAAUCUAAUCUAAAAGAACAAGCACUUAAAUAACUUAACUCUUCCAUAAACCAAAAAGGGAACAAGAGCAUAACAAACUAUGUAGAGAUCUAAACAUAUACAAGCCAAGAUGCAAAGUUGAUACCUCAAAAGCUUUCCCACAAGAUGAUGAUUCUGCAUCCAAAACCUUUUCACAAAUCAAGGCAACUUCAAGCUUCUCUACUUCCUUUACAAACGAAAAAAUAAGCACGGAAGUCUUUUUAAUAGCUCAAGAAAACCACUAAGAGGCUAAUGGGUCGAUUUAGGUUUUAGGAGGUUUGGGGGCUAGAAAAAAGGCCACCUCUAAAGACUUAAGAUGCUUAAAAUAUGCUACACAUGCCCAAAAAUUAGGCUUUAAGCACCCCUCGUACGCCCAACAUACUCCUCGUAUGCCCAACGUAGGAGGCCGAGGUUCGCGAUCCUUCCUUCUGGGUACGCUAAGCGUACACCAAUGUAUACCCAUCGUAUUGCCCUUCACACUAGUACGCCCUGUGUACUAGGGUUUCCUCUUAAACCCUAAAAUAAUCCGAAGACCAUAACUUCUUCGUUAUAAAUCCGAUUUCGAUAAUCCUUAUAUGCAUGAAAAGGUAACGAGAAGCUCUACACUUUAAUAAACUCAUAGUUGCCAUAAAAUAUCCCGAACAAAAAUCCAAUUUCCAUAAAAGCCUAUGGCCAUUUUACCAAAAUACCCCUUGGCUCUAAACCAAAUCUGAACGCCUGAAUCAUCUAUUUUACAUCACCUACAACCAAAUGGGUAAUGAUUCAGGAUAGGGCGUUAUAGGCAAGUACUUCUGGGGACCGUGGGAAGGCGAAUCUCUGAUUUUACACACUCAUUGGGAGUUUUGCUACUGGGACAGUUGUGAACUCUGAUAUUUUGUGAUGCUGCUUAUUUUGGAUAAUUAUGUGUUUGAUAACAUGGCUUGUGAAACCUUAAUUUUGGUACUUUAAAAUUGAAUAUUUGGUCUAAAUUUUGAGGUGUUAAAAAAUCAGAAUUGUACUCGAGAUACUCAGCCACACCCCUAGGAUAGUUUUCUUCGCCAAAGGCUUCCCAUCUACCAAGUGAAGAUUGUUCAUUGCUUUGAUACACCUAAACCACAAAUCAUUUUUACCGUAUUUCAUUCUCCAACACAAGUUAGCAAGCAACGAGAGAUUUAGCAAGUUCAAGAAAUCCACUCCAAGGCCACCUUUAUUCUUAGGAUUAAGAACCAAACUCCAAGACACCAACACAUUUUCCUUUUAUCCAAACCAUCACCCCAUAUAAAUAUUCACUUAAUAGACUCAAGAAAAAAAUCACCUUAUUAGGAGCCCGAAACAAAGCAAAGUAAUAGAGAGGGAAACUAUUAACACCGAUCUCACAAUAGUAAACCUCCCAACCAAAGAAAGAGUACUAUCUUACCAAUUGGUCCACUUAUUUUUAUACUUCUCAACAAUCACAUUCCAGCUUUGCCAAGUUUCAUGUUUACACCAAUCGGGAUCCCCAGAUACACAAAUAAGAAAGAAGCGGGCUCACAAUUCAAGAAGCUAGCAAGCCUAUCCACGUCCACCUUAUCCACCCCCACACCUUACACUUUGCUCUUCGAAAGACUCAAUUUAAGACCAAACGCAAGAAAGAAGCACCUAACUAUUGGGUUUUGAGCAUUCUAACACUUCCUAAGUGUACAUGCAACCCUAAUAACCUUGGAUCUAUGUUUGUCUAAUUAUCAUGCAAAGUUGAUUUCCAAGGCUAGGAUCCUAUCUAGCAUACGUGGGGAACAAUUUUAACUUGAAUAAUAGAUAGAACUACAUACCUUGUUGUUGUAAGUGUUCCUUGAAACCUUGUGAACCUAGCACCUCAAGUGUGAUGCCUCAAAUGCUUCACACAACACCAAAUGCAAAGAAUAAACUUGAGAGAAUACUCUAACACAUGCAAAAUCGGCCAAGCCCUCUUGUUUCUAAGUGUAAUCGAUUUUGGGAAGAGUUACAUUGCUUAUAUAGUGUGUUACAUUAGGUAAACCCUAAUGUUCCAUGACUCUUCAUUUCUUGAUCCAUGGGUUAACUCCAUGGAGUAUCCAUGGAGCAUCCUAUGGGUGUAACCCAACAUGACAAUCCAUGGAGCCUCCUAGCCCACUAUAUAAGAUAUGGAAGAUUUACAUAAUCUACCCAUAUAUUUAAUUAGUUAUUCUUUUGAUCACUUAAUUAAUUCUAAAUUAAUUCUUGAUCAAAACUAUCUUCCGAUCUUUAUUAAUAAAUUAGAACUUAUAAUAUAUUAAUAAACCAUAUGUGUUAUUUCUCUCAUUCAGUUUAUUCAAUUGCAUAGUGCCAUGCAACCCAAAUGGACCAUGCCGGGUCGGGUCAAGUACACACCCGAAAUAGUUAUGGACUUAGACACCUUAUCCAACAGUCUCCCACUUGGAUAAGUCUAAUAACUAUAACUCUAGUACUUCAGGAACCGACCGGCAAUCGUAGCUCUUUCAAGGUCUCUCGGAACUGAGAAGAUGUUGAUACGCCAUUUAAGAUAAGUGAUCAUAUAAUCCUCUGUUCUAGAUAUCAGCCGGACAAUUACAUGGAACAAAGUCUUACUUAUUGUCCAGCAGUUUGUUUCCCGAUUCCCGAUUUGUUUGACAAAGAACUUAAUUGAACACAUCAACUUAGUUCUGACCGGGCCCGGUACAUAGGUCAAAACAAAAUCAUCGAGGGGCCCAGAUAUCAGCUUCUAAUCCAAGAAGGAACAGAUAAACUUCGACUCAUAUGCUUGUUCUACUACUAGUUGAAUUAUACACAAAAGCAUGUUUUAUAACAUCGAGUUACCAAUGCAUUUUCGUACAAUCAAUGUAUAAUCAAUUCACAGUCAACAAAUCAUAUCUCUAGGUUUGAAGACUUAUAUGAUAUUACCAUCUCACGAUCACUCGAGAUAAAAUUCCAUGAAGUGAUUCCAGUGAGUGUGGGUUGAUUCCCAUACUCAGAACUUAUGAGCACUCAUGAAGUGUUGUCUUAUAUCCUGACACCUACAACCAAUUUCAUGACAGUCUUACUUCAUAUAUACUUCCAACAUAUGACUGACUGUGGAAAGUUUGAAUAAUAUGUGAAACCACAACAUACUAUUCUGGAAGUCAAAACAUGCAAAAGAAAUUAUAGUAAACGAUUGACAAAAGAUAGUAACACUUUACUCAUAAAUAAACACAACUUUUAUUCAUCAUCAAAUGUCAAUUACACUUUACAAAUUUCAUAAUUUAUCUAACUACUAAAACUUAUAUCAUCCUUCAGCCCUAUGCUCCGAGCAUGCUGGAGAUGCUUAACCCUACUCAGUCCCUUCGUGAGGGGAUCUGCUGGGUUCUCAUCCGAUGAUACCCUCUUUGCCACGAGGAUUCCUUCUUCGAUCCGAUGUCUGAUAAAAUGAUAUUUUCUGUCGAUGUGUCUGGAUCUCCCGUGAUCCCUUGGUUCCUUGGCUAAGGCAACAACACUUUCACUAUCACAGAAAAUUUCCAUUGGCUCUUUUAUAGCUGGUACAACUCCAAGGUCUCCGAUGAAGUUCUUUAGCCAUAUAGCCUCCUUUGCUGCCUCGCUUGCUGCUAUAUACUCUGAUUCACAAGUGGAAUCAGCCACUGUCUCUUGCUUGGAACUCUUCCAAGUGAUUGCUCCUUUGUUUAAGGUAAAGACCCAGCCCGACUGAGAGCGGAAAUUAACCUUAUCCUUCUGGAAGCUAGCGUCACUAUACCCUACAACUCUCAAGUCAUCACUCCCGCCGAGGGUGAGGACCCAGUCCUUAGUCCUCCGUAGGUACUUGAGGAUAUUCUUUACUGCAGUCCAGUGUGCCUUUCCAGGAUUCCCCUGAUACCUUCUAACCAUGCCCAAGGCAAAGGCUACAUCAGGUCGACUACACGUUAUAGCAUACAUGAUCGAGCCUACUGCUGAAGCAUAAGGUACUUGACUCAUUUCUGCUAUCUCAGCCUCGGUACUUGGGCUUUGUGUCUUACUCAAUCUGGCGUUACUCUGGAUGGGUAACUCUCCUUUCUUGGAGUUCUGCAUGCUGAAUCUCUUCAACACCUUGUCCAAGUAUGUACUUUGACUAAGUCCAAUUAGUCUUUUACUCCGGUUUCUCAAAAUCCUUAUCCCUAGAAUAUAGGCAGCUUCUCCUAGGUCCUUCAUAGAGAAACACUUCCCAAGCCAGGACUUAACUUCCUGCAGAGUUGGGAUGUCAUUUCCUAUGAGUAGUAUGUCAUCCACAUACAAUACCAAAAAGCUAACUAUACUCCCACUAGCCUUGACAUACACACAAGAUUCAUCUUCACUCCUAGAAAAGCCAAAUUCCUUGACCUUUUCAUCAAAGCAAAGAUUCCAUCUGCGAGGUGCUUGCUUCAAUCCAUAAAUGGAUUUCUCAAGCUUACACACUCUAUUAGGGUACUCGUUGCUGACAAAACCCUCUGGCUGACUCAUGUAAACAUCUUCAGCCAACUUUCCAUUAAGGAAAGCGGUUUUGACAUCCAUCUUCCAUAUUUCAUAGUCAUGAAAUGCAGCUAUGGCUAACAGAACCCUAAUAGACUUAAUCUUGGCNNNNNNNNNNNNNNNNNNNNNNNNNNNNNNNNNNNNNNNNNNNNNNNNNNNNNNNNNNNNNNNNNNNNNNNNNNNNNNNNNNNNNNNNNNNNNNNNNNNNNNNNNNNNNNNNNNNNNNNNNNNNNNNNNNNNNNNNNNNNNNNNNNNNNNNNNNNNNNNNNNNNNNNNNNNNNNNNNNNNNNNNNNNNNNNNNNNNNNNNNNNNNNNNNNNNNNNNNNNNNNNNNNNNNNNNNNNNNNNNNNNNNNNNNNNNNNNNNNNNNNNNNNNNNNNNNNNNNNNNNNNNNNNNNNNNNNNNNNNNNNNNNNNNNNNNNNNNNNNNNNNNNNNNNNNNNNNNNNNNNNNNNNNNNNNNNNNNNNNNNNNNNNNNNNNNNNNNNNNNNNNNNNNNNNNNNNNNNNNNNNNNNNNNNNNNNNNNNNNNNNNNNNNNNNNNNNNNNNNNNNNNNNNNNNNNNNNNNNNNNNNNNNNNNNNNNNNNNNNNNNNNNNNNNNNNNNNNNNNNNNNNNNNNNNNNNNNNNNNNNNNNNNNNNNNNNNNNNNNNNNNNNNNNNNNNNNNNNNNNNNUUCUCUCUCUCGAAAGACUCCUCUUCUUGCUACAAAGACCACAUUAUCAAUAGGUCUGUAGAAGAGGUAACCAAUGGAUCUUUGUCGGUAGCCGAUGAAAAUACACCUCUCGCUUCGGGGAUCUAGCUUAAAAUGAGACUCGCGCCUCAGAAAAGCCUCGCAACCCCAAAUCUUGAUGUGGUCUAGUUUAGGUACUUUACUCGUCCACAUCUCGUGAGGAGUUUUGGCAACUUUCGUUGUAGGGACUAGAUUAAGACUAUGGACGGCAGUCUCUAAGGCAUACCCCCAGAAUGAGAUUGGUAGCGAAGCUCGAAUCAUCAUGGAAUGAACCAUAUCCAACAAGGUUCGAUUACACCUCUCAGCCACACCAUUCAACUGCGGUGUCCUGGGAGGUGUCAAUUGUGAGACAAUCCCACAUUCCCUAAGAUAGUCNNNNNNNNNNNNNNNNNNNNNNNNNNNNNNNNNNNNNNNNNNNNNNNNNNNNNNNNNNNNNNNNNNNNNNNNNNNNNNNNNNNNNNNNNNNNNNNNNNNNNNNNNNNNNNNNNNNNNNNNNNNNNNNNNNNNNNNNNNNNNNNNNNNNNNNNNNNNNNNNNNNNNNNNNNNNNNNNNNNNNNNNNNNNNNNNNNNNNNNNNNNNNNNNNNNNNNNNNNNNNNNNNNNNNNNNNNNNNNNNNNCCUGUGAAGGGUGACUUUGUCAUUUUUCCAAGUAAGCAUGAUUCGCAACUAUCAUCUGACUUUAGGUCAAAUGACUCCAAGACUCCAUCCUUUUGGAGUUGGCCUAUGCGUUUCUUGCUUAUAUGUCCAAGACAACAAUGCCAUAAUGAUGCUUUAUCCAAUUUAUUAUUAUUAACAGAAUCAACACACAAUACAUUGUUUCCUAAGUUAUCAAUCACAGAAACAGUUUCAUACACACCAUCACAAGGUAUUGCUUUAAAAUAAAGAACAUUAUUAAAGAAAGCAUUAAUCGAACCAACUUCAUUAUCAAAUGAAAAGGUGAAACCUUGUUUAUACAAUGCAUGAAAGGAAAUAAUAUUUCUUGCCAUUUCUGGCGAAUAACAACAUUUAUUCAAAUCUAAACUAAACCCACUACUUAGCGAUAAAGUAUAAACUCCAAUCUUGGUGACAGGUGAAGCUUUCCUGUUUCCCAUGAUCAAGUUUAUUCUUCCUUGCUCCACAUUCUCACUUCUUCUUAGUCCCUGCAAAUCAGAACAGAUAUGAAUACCACAACCGGUAUCAAGGACCCAUGAGUUAGAAUGGGGUGAGUUAUUAGAUAAGAUAGUGUAAAUACCUGCAUGGUUGGGUUUAACUUUCCCAUCCUUCACAUCUUGCUGGUACUUUGGGCAGUUCCGCUUCCAAUGUGCCUUUUCAUGGCAAUAGAAGCAUUCAGCCUCUUUUGGGUCAGAAGAAAGAGUGAUGAAACCUUUCUUGGUUCCACUUGAAGAAGAGCCAUCAAGGGUCCUAACCUUGGUACCCUUCAAAGAACUCUUUCUCUUCUUCCCUCGUCCUUUCCCGAUUGCCAAGACAGGAGCAGAGUUGGUAGGAGUAGGAGUAGUAACUACCGCCUUACUCUUAAGACCACUUUCCACGGUCUUUAAGAGUCCUUGAAGUUUUCUGAGAGUGAUCUCUUCCUUGUUCACGUGGUAUGUCAUGCGAAAUUGAUCAUAACAUGAAGGUAAGGAGUGAAAAAUAAUAUCUAUUGCUAGCUCCUCAGGGAAGUUCACAUUAGGCUUCAGCAAGCGGUCCACAAAUCUUUGCAUUUUCUGCAUGUGGCCCGUGAUGGGUUCUCCAUCCUUCAUUCGGGUUGUUAUCAUGGAGGAGAUGAUUUCAUACCUCUCUUGUCGUGCACUUUGAUUGUAUCUUUCCAUCAAAUCUUGGUGCAUUUGAAAAGGGUAGUAGUCCUCGUAGGAGUUUUGGAGGUCGGCUGUCAUAGUGGCCAUCAUGAUGCAUGCCACCUUGGUGGCAUCCCUUUCAUGUGCCCUAAAGUCAGCGAUCUAUUUAGGAGUAGCAAUUGUCUCAUCAAUCUCCUUAAGCUCCUUAUCGAGGAGAUAUUCUUUGUCCUCGUAGCGGGUAAUCAUUCGAAUGUUCCUGAUCCAUUCAUUAAAGUUAGAUCCAUCAAAAGUGACUUUCCCACACAAGUUCAUUAAAGAAAAGGAGCCAUUAGGAUUAGAGCCAGAAGCAGCAGUGUUUGCAGACAUCUGAAAAGAAGAAAAGUUUAGUUUAGAAAUAGAGAUAGUCCUUAAUAAAACACCCAAAUGUAGUAUUAAGGCUAGGACCCAAUCACAAUNAGAGGUAUGCCGUAAUCUAAGCUAUAUCAUAUUUGAAAGGUAGGUGAAUGACGAUUCACCAAUUUCCACCACGAAAACCGCAAUAUUUUAGUAUUAGGUUUUUGAAUGGUUCUUAGAAAUUCCUAGAUUCUUUGAGAUUCAAUGAACUUUUCAAAGGCAUGUUUCAAUCUCGAGUGUGCCCUCCAAGUUUUGUGACUGGGAUACCGAGGAUCACAAAACGAGGUGUGAAGUAACCAUGCAAAUCACUUGGUACCCUUAAAGUUUAUCACUCAAUCGAUGUGCCGGUUAACCACACACGCUCCAUCGAUACUAUAAUAAACCUUAAGUCACCCUUUACCUACCUUGUUAAGUCCAAGUUAGGGUGUCGGUUAACCACACACGCUCCACUAAUGACUUAGACAAAGUGUAAAGUGUAAUUUCAUGGAUUAGCACCUUAUUCACAUUUUUCCUAAAGUAACUAAGAUUGGGAAUUUAAUAAAACAUUUAGUUACUUUAUAAUAUUCAUCAUACUUUGAAUGAGAAUUAAUAAGUCCUUGUCUUACCCGUUCGGCUAACGACCCUCCACCGAUCAAGCAAGCGGUGGGUGAGAGUGGACACCCAUUAAGUCACCAUUUUAUAGGCAACAACCUUAUACCCACCUUAUAGACCGGCUUCGUGAAUGAGGCGUACUAGCGGUAAGACGACUUUGUUCUUAUACAUAUAUAUAUAAUUAUUAAAUCAUAAUAAUAUAAGUAUAAGGGUUGAAUUUUAACUUUUAAAAUUCUAAGGGUUGGAACUAAAGUUUUAACAUGACUUUACUUGUUCCAAAACUUGAGGGCAAGUUUUGUAAACUUUCAAAACUUUUCAUUUCUUGUAACUUAUGAGUUUAUUAGAGUAAUAAAAAUGAAGACUCUUCAUUUUUCUAACUCUUGUGUUCUUUUAAUGGUUUUAACCCAAGUGACUUUUGGUUUUCCAUAACUUGAGGACAAGUUAUGGACUCCAUUAAAACACAUUAUGAUCAAGAAUUAAACUACCACAUAGGUUACAAAUAAUUCCUAUGAUCAUCUAAACAUCAUAAGAUCAAGAACAUGAACAUGAACACUUUCAUGAAUCAAAACUACACUUAAAACUUUGUAAUUUUGAUAACUAGUUGUUGUAAAUGGAUUAGCAAAGACAUUACACCAUCUAAAACAAUUUUUCAAGUACCAAAACAGUUUAGGGUAAUGUUUCUAGUCCAUUUCCAGCAACUAAAGUCGAAAAUCUGCAUUCUGUGGCUCCUACUCGCCGAGUGCAUGAACCUACUCGGCGAGUAGGUUGAAGAUACAAGUGAACUCGGCGAGUCUCCCCAUGGACUCGGCGAGUUCAUCAGGCAGACAGCAAGUUUUUCGACUUUUUUCAACUUUUUAGCACAAAUAACAAACAAACAAGCCUAGGCUCUGAUACCAUUGAUGGGUUUUGAGCAUUCUAACACUUCCUAAGUGUACAUGCAACCCUAAUAACCUUGGAUCUAUGUUUGUCUAAUAAUCAUGCAAAGUUGUUUUCCAAGGUUAUGAACCUAUCUAGCAUACAUGGGGUACAAUUUUCUUUGUAUAAAAGAUAGAACUACAUACCUUGUUGUUGAAAGUGUUCCUUGAAACCUUGUGAGCCUAGCACCUCAAGUGUGAUGCCUCAAAUGCUUCACACAACACCAAAUGCAAAGAAUAAACUUGAGAGAAUACUCUAACACAUGCAAAAUCGGCCAAGCCCUCUUGUUUCUAAGUGUAACCGAUUUUGGGGAGAGUUACAUUGCUUAUAUAGUGUGUUACAUUAGGUAAACCCUAAGGUUACAUGACUCUUCAUUUCUUGAUCCAUGGGUUAACUCCAUGGAGCAUUCAUGGAGCAUCCUAUGGGUGGAACCCAACUUGACAAUCCAUGGAGCCUCCUAGCCCACAAUAUAAGAUAUGGAAGAUUUACAUAAUCUACCCAUAUAUCUAAUUAGUUAUCUUUUGAUCACUUAAUUAAUUCUAAAUUAAUUCUUGAUCAAAACUAAUUAAAUAAUAUUAUUAAUAUAUUAGAACUUAUAAUAUAUUAAUAAACCAUAUGUGUUAUUUCUCUCAUUUAGUUUAUUCAAUUGCAUGGUGCCAUGCAACCCAAAUGGACCAUGCCGAGUCGGGUCAAGUAUUUACCAGAAAUAGUUAUGGACUUAGACACCUUAUCCAACACUAACAAGUCGAAUGUGAUCAAUGAAAUUCAUCUCGGACCAGUCACUCACAAAAAUAACGUUAUCAACAUAAAUAAGAUACGAUAGUGUAAUGCUCGCACAUUUCGUUAGACAUUUCACGGAUACACCCUCAUUUACGUUAUCAAAUUAAUGUAAAUUGUAAAUGAGAAAUUUUAUUGCAUGUUAUGUAUUUAUGAGGUGUUCUUUGUAUAAUAUUUUAUUUAUGUUAUACAAAUAAAUAUUAUAACAAUGUAAUAUUUGUAUAAAAAUAUGGUUAAAAACGUAACGAAAAACUAAAAAUAUGAAUUAAAAUUAAAUUCAUAAUUAGGAUAAAUGAUCUAAACAAAAGUCCAAGUACUCAUCAAUUCAAAAGCAUCGAUAUAAAGAAUGCCAAAAUCUGACUUCAUAUGACAAAUUUAUGAUUUUUUGAAGUUUCGAGUGCGACAUAGUACAACAGUAUGCGACACAAAAAUUGAAAUAAAACCCAGUUAAUUGUUAGUCAAAACAAUCUAAAUGAAAGUUCUAUUACUCUUCAAUAUAAAAUCAAGGAUAUAAAGAACGUCAAAAACGAAACUCGUAUGAAGAAGUUAUGAGUUUCACAUCCUUAUUUACAGUCUAAGCUUGCUUGGACCGUAAAAUAAAAAUAAAAUUAAAAGUAGCCGACGAAGUCUAAACGAAAGUAGUAGUACUCAUCAAUACAAAAGUGGGGAUAUAAAAAUCAUCAAAAAUGGAGUCUAUAUGUAAAAGUUAUGAUUUUUAGAAAAAUAUUAAAUAUCGACCAACGAUGAGCCGACACGUGGCACAAUUAAAGGGAGACACAUAUCGCAAUCAUAUACCACCUGUAACAACCAUAAAAUUCUUACCAAUUUAAACUUUCAAAAACAUUUAAAAUACCUACAAUUCUUACAAAAAGGUUUCCAAAAUAGUUUCAUAUCAGAGUUCCUAGAAAUCAUAAUCAUAAAUCGAGGAAAGUGUACGGUCAUGCCUUCGCCUUCCCGCGGUCACAUGUCAGACCUGAACCAAUAAUCAAUAAAUGUAAGCUCGAAGGCUUAGGGAGUUACCCCCACAAAUACCAACCUCAUAUAACCAUAAAACAUCAUACAAAAAACAUAGAACAACCAUGCAUCUCGAGUCUACAGAGUGACUGGUCCGCUCGCACCGGGCCUUCAGUUCACCUGGUCCAUUCUCUAAGUCUACAGUAUGAUUGGACCGCCCGCACCGGGCCUUCAGUCUGUAUGGCCACUCUCCGAGCCUCGGCACGUCUGGACCGCCCUCGUGGGGCCUUCAGCCUAUCCGGACCGCUUGUCGGGCCUUCGGCCUGACUAUGUGUCCUCACGGAUCUGGAGUCUAUCCGGGUCACCUUGGGUAUGUUGGCCUACAACACAAAGCAGGACCCGCCUCAACCCAACCCCAAUCAAACAACCAAGAGCACAUAACAGAUAAUCACAGAAUAGUCCAUAUGUAACAAACCAAUCUAACAGAUCAUAUAGCGUAACAACAUCCUAUUCAGGAUACCAACCUAACAGGUCACUAACAUAGUACUAUCCUAUAUACCAGGAUACCGACCUAAACCAGGUCACUAACAUUGUACUAUCCUAUAUACCAGGAUACCGAUUUAGCAAAACAAUAACAUAACAAACAAUACCCGGAUUUCCAUCUGAUAAAGGGCUGGGCUUGGUGCCGUAGACCCUGUCGAUAUAGUGAGGAUAACUCACCUCGAAAUGCCGAUUUGAACCGAAAAAGCAGAUUCCCGAACAACCGUCUCACCGACAAUCCCGAACUAUCCAAAAUAGCGAAUAUGAAGUCAAUUAACGGGAAUAUAAACUUGAUCAAGAAUUCCUUAUAAUAAGAGCCCAAAUUUGCCUUCCUUAUAAUUUGGGCCAAGGCCCAAUACCAAAUUCAUGAUCCAUAAGUCCAUAUAACAUGGCCCAUCAUUGGCCCAAUUUUCCAAAUUAGGCCCAACUACCUAAUUGGGCCUAAAUCCAAGGUCCAUUACCGAAACUUGGCCCAACCCACCAUACCCAUAGUGUCCAGCCAGGGCCCAAGCCCAGCUAGCCCAUGUACAGCCCAACACUCCAAGCCCAAACUCAAAAACCCAAAAGAGGGCGUACGCUGGGCGUACCCCUCUGGUACGUGGGGCGUACCCCGUCUCAGGUUGACUGGAAAAUGGGAUGUUGACCGUGUACGUUGGGCGUACAGCUUCCUACACGGGGUGUACGUGAGUUUCACAAAAAUCCUCAUCAGUGCUUAAUAGCUUAAGCUCUUAAGCCCAAACCUCAGAUCCAUCAACCAAAUAUGUCUAGGACUCAUAAAGUCUCCAACUUUAUCACUUUGGACGCCCAGAAAGUGCUUAAUCCAAGGUCUUAAUCCAUUAAGACCUUUCUACUACUUGCAUGGGACCUCAGAAGCCAUUGUGACCUCAUUUUUAUCACUCAACACCCCUUCAAGAGUCUAAAAGGAAAGGUCAUUUCGUCCAAAACACCACAUACAUCAUCUUGGGACUUUUGGGACAAUAAUUGGUUCCAAAAUGCUAGAUUGGGUAGAUCUAAGAUAUACAAGCAUAAAGUUCCAAGCUUUUUACCUUCUGGAGAUUCAAAGACACAAACCAAAUUUAGAUCUACAAGCCAAUAUUCUUCUCCAACUUCUUGGUGCAAUGCCUUCACUUCCGAGAGCUCAAAAUACCCACCAACUCACACUCUCAUACAAGAUCUAAGGCUUGGGACAUUUCUGAAGGAUGGAGGCUGAGAGUGAUGAGAGAAAAUGAACCUUAAGGAUGCUUAUAUAGCUCUCAAACCGGGACAUUAGGGUUUUCAUCUUUUAUGAGUAUGCCCAGCGUACACAAGAUUACGCCCAGCGUACCCUUAUGUACGCGCAGUGUACUCCUCCUGGUCCCAAUUUUACAAAUUAGCCCUUAGGUUCUUCAAGACUUUACCCCAUCCAAUCGCAUGGACUACAAAUAACAAACUUGGGAUGUUACACAACCUUUCCUCCCAAAGCCUUGCAGUUGGAUCUUGACAUGUAGUAUGGUGCGGCGCGCUUGGGCGCCGCAUGACCCCUGAAAAUUUCUAUAAAUUGUAACAUCCCAAAAAUAAAAUCCCAAAUCGUGUAUCUCAAGCAUCAUAUCAAAAUUAUGUAUCAAAACCAUCUAUCAAAAUAUCCCAGGCUGAAUACUGUGAUGUGUACCAUGCAAUCAUCCCAAGCUCUUCCCCUUGCUACCGGAAGUACCUGAAACCAAAACUGAAAACCGUAAGUAAGAAGCUUAGUGAGUCCAUCCCAAGCAUAUAAUAGCAUACAUUGGGCCUUUCCCACUACAUUGGGCCCCGCUCGGCAUCGGACGAAUCCGGUAUCAGGCCCCGCCCGACAACAAACCGAAGUCUGGCAUAGGACCGAAGUGAGGUAUACAUAUAACAUGGCUACAGGCACAUAACACAUAAACAUAUAACAUGUAAACAUAUAAACCUUCGUCGGGCUUUCCCUGGCAUCGGACCAAAGUACGGAACGCAUAACACAUAACACAUAACAUAUACACUAAACAUUCCUCAGGCUUGCCCCUACAUCAGAUCGAAGUCCGGAACACAUAAAAAAACACAUGCAAGAAUCAUGAAGACAUCAAGCAUACAAACAUUCUCGAGCUUUCCCCAGCAUCGGAAUGAACUCUGGAACAUAUAAGCUAUAUCGGGCUAACCCUAACAUUGGACCGAAGUCCGACAUGCGCUAACAUACAUAAAUGGGUCGGCGUUGGUGCCUUCGGCCCGUACCUACUGGAGGAAAACUCACCUCUCAAGUUGGCUGCUGAAAUCUCAAGUGAGGAAUCUCUGAUGGCUGCUCCAAUAACUCCCCGGAUAUAAAUUCACAAGGAACACUUAGUCAAAAACUGUAAAUCCUUCUAAGGGUAAAAUGACCAUUUUACCCCUGGUCAAAGUCAAUGCUCUAGUCAAAGUCAAAGUCAUGGUCGACUUCCAGUUGGCCCAACUCAUUGAGUUACCUCCUAACUCAUCGAGUUCUUAUGAUAUUUAGACUCGUGAUAACCCGAGUCAACUCGCCGAGUCGCUUCACAGACUCGUCGAGUUCCACCUGGUACGGAAUCGGGACAAAUCGACUCAACUCGUCGAGUUACCCUCUGGACUAGCCGAUCCCCCCUAUCUGUUUGGGUUAUCUUGAUGGAUUCAACCCCUACACUUCAGAUCCAAUCUUUAUACUUCACAUAAACCCCACAAAUGUCCUUUUAAGGGUAAGCUUCCAACUUUACCUGUUAAUACCUCUUCUUAAUGGGUUUAGCUCAAGCCCUAACUCCUUGGGACCUAAAACUUGGUCCAUAAGCCAUCCAUGCACCAAACUAAAGCUUACAACCAUAGGUCUACAUCCCUAACACUACUUGGACAUGUAAAGCUCCCACCUUUCUCUUCUUGCAUUGCCUUUUCAGACUAAAAAGGCCAACAUGACACUCUAUGGUUUGCAUGCGACUCUAAUGGCAUAAAGUUUGCACCUUUAUACCUUAGCAACCCUUAAAGAUCCCAGAUCUGAAUGGAUCCUUUCUUGGAAAGUCCAAAUCCCCAAGGGUCAAGCUCCUUGAACCAAAACCCUCAAAAGUAGAAAAUAAAUAGAUUUAAUGAAUAAAUUAUCAAGUUAUAGACUUGAUUACUAGAAAAGGAAGGGAAUGAAACGUUACUUCUAGAUCUAUAAUCUUCUCUUGGAGUCCCCUAACUUCCUCUUCUUCUACAAGCUUCAAAUAACACUAAAUCACUCGAAAAUGGCUCACACACUCACAUAAAGCUCUAGGGUUUUGUGGAUUAGGGUUUUGGACUUGGAAGCCAAAAAUGAGGCCAUAAGGUGGGGAUUAAGAGGUUUAAAUAGGGUGUAAAACCCCGAAAUUAGUGUUUCAUCCUAGCAGCCCUACUCGUCGAGUCUGGGAUCCGAACUCAUUGAGUAGAUCACUUUAAUCUCGCAUCCAUUCUGGUUUCUACUCAACGAGUUUGCGGCUUCCAACUCGUCGAGUAGCUCUACAAAAGUGAAUAAAUUAUAAUUAAACGCGUACCAAGAAUCAGGCGUUACAAUUCUCCCCCACUUGUCUUAGAGUUUUUCCUCGAAGUCUGAUUCACCUAGAAACAACUUUGGGUAGUGGUCCCUCAUCUCCUCCUCGGGCUCCCAAGCCCAUUCUGAAACCUUGCGAUGCUGCCACUACACCUUUACUAGCUCAACCCUCUUGUUCCUCAGCUCCUUCGUCUUCUUAUCAAGAAUAGCUACUGGCCUCCCAAUGUAAUUCAUGUUGUCAUCAACCUGAAUGUCUUCUAGAGGCACAACCGUUGAGUUAUCCACUCGACACUUUUGUAACUGGGAAACAUGGAAAGUGUUGUGGACCUGGUUGGGCUCUACUGGAAGAUCCAAUCGGUACACCACCUUGCCCACCCGGGCUAUGACCAUGAUAGGGCCGAUAUACCUGGGGCCCAACUUGCCCUGCUUCCAGAACCGGAUGACACCUUUCUAAGGUGACACCUUUAGGAGGACCAUGCCGCCCACUUGAAACUCCAUGUCUGAUCGCCGCUUAUCGGCGUAGCUCUUCUACCGACUCUAAGCGGUCUGGAGCCGACUCCGAACCUGCUGGUUCCACUUUGUGGUCUUGAGUACUACCUCAGUACUCCCCAUGACCCUCUGACCAACCCCUAAUUUGAUUCUUCUUAUUCGCUCGCACAUAAAUUUUGGCCAGCUUCUCGGCCGAUAUUUUCUCCUAAAUCGGGAUAAAAUGAGCACUCUUGGUCAACCAAUCCAUGAUGACCCAUAUUGAAUCAACUCCACAUGCUGUCCUGGGAAGCUUAGUAAUGAAAUCUAUAGUAAUAUCCCACUUCCACACAGGAAUAUCUAAUGGCCAUGUCUUUUCGUGAGGCCUAUCGUGCUCUGACUUGACCUUCCUGCAAGUCAGGCAUCUCUCAACAUACCAGGCUACAUCCCGCUUCAUGUAGGGCCACCAGUAAUCAAGAAGAAGAUCUUCAUAAAUAUUCUUCGCCUCAUGAUGGAUGGAGAACCUAGACUUGUGGGCCUCAUCCGUCAAAAUUUACCACACUCCGCCCCAAUAUGGUGCCCAGACCCUCCCAUGCAGGGUCAACAUGUCACGCCCCCAAACCAGACGGUGGAAACAUCCGCGGCGGGUGACUUCAUUUUGUAAUAUCAUUAUAACGUAUAUAAUUGAUUCAUAGACAACAUCAUCACCAUACAUGAAAUAUAAUAAGCAUCAUAGUUUUACAUCAUUUCAUUUGUGUACUAAUUACAUCACAAAAUGUCAAAUGUAUGAUGAAAGCAAAAAUACGACAAACAUCCACAUUUCAUUGGCGACCAACCUGUUUAACGAGUCCCUGAGAAUACUAGUUAUUUUGAAAAAUGUCAACAUAUAUAAUGUUGUUGAGUUCAUAAGCAUGUUUGUAUGAAAAAUUUUGUAACAUUUUGUGAACACCAGAAAAUCUGAUAUUUUUCGUAAAAAUAGUUGAGAGUUUUGUUUCAAUUCUUGUAUUAAAGCAUGUGUGUUCUUGUUUGACAGUGUGUAAAGAGAAGUUUUGUUGAAGCAAAAAUAAGUGACCCUCUUGAACUUCAGCUACCGCAACCUCCAUGCCACCGCAGUCAAGCGGUCUCUUCGUCAAUCAUCAUCUGAAGUCUUCAGCACCGCAGUCUCUAUCUUUAUUUAGAUUAUUUUGUCUUUUCUGUAAAAUACUCUAUUGUCCAGGAUGCCUUGCAUGGCUACUCUUAGAGUUGUAAAUUUGUUAUCUUUUGAGUCUCUAUAAAUAGAGCUCACUCUCAUGUAUUAAACACGGUGAACAACAGUGAACAUCACAUCCAUUUCUAAUACACAUCUCAAAGUUCUCAUUCUAUCUUACUUAUCCAAUCUUCUUACUCUCAUAAUCAAUCAUCAUAUCUCUUCGGAGCAAGUAUCUUGUGACUUAAUCACUAAGUUUGAUCUCACUUAUUAACUUGGUUUGAAUGCAUUCCUCGUUAUGAAUCUACUUAUGUGUAUACUUGAUAUAACAAUUGUUGUCAUUUACAUUUCUUUACUUUUCCGCAACUAACUCUCUAACUUCUAACUCUUAAUAUAAUUGUUGAGCUUUUGAUCCUUCGAGAUUAACUAUUCCGUUAUAUACUUGUUCUAACAUUUUUUCAAGUGUGUCUCAAAGUUUUUCUCUCAACAAUUGGUAUCAGACCCAUAUUGGUUGCUUUUUGAAAAUCGGAACUUUGAUUUUUCAAAGAGCCUUCUAUUCCACUGAAGCUCAUUUCUAAACACAAAAAAAAAACUUAAAAACAUGGCACAAUCAUUAUCACUGAAUGAUUCCAACAGUGUUGGUGGUUCAAAUCGAUCCCCAAUACUGGUUGCAAAUGAAUAUCAUCACUGGUCACAAAGGAUGGAAAGAUAUCUCAGAAGACUUGGUAGAGAUGUAUGGCUAUCUGUUGAAGAAGGACCACAUGUCCCGGUCCUUACACCAGUCCAAACUGACGGAGCCACAACAAGGCUAGGUGGAGGUCAACCAGCCUUGAACCGUCCCACCAAGGAUGAUCUCGAUAAGGUGGAAAAUGAUGCUAUUGUUGGAUUAAUGUCUAAGUCCAUAACUGUAAUUGGUAAGACCUGACCCGACCCGACAUGGUCCAUUUGGGUUGCAUGGCAUCAGGACAAUUUGAUUGACAAGAUGAGGAAAAAGGAUACUAGUGAUUUAUAUUAAUAUAUUAUAAGUUCUAAUAUAUUAAUAUAUAAUCAUAUUAUUUAAUUAGUAUUGAUCAAGAAUUAAAUUAUAAUUAAUUAAGUGAUCAAAAGGAACUAAUUAAGUAUGGACUCUUAGAUAUAUAUGUGUGGUGGGCCAAGUUCAUUUAGGUUGAACUAAGCUUCGUGGAUAGUCCAUGGAGUGUUUAACCCAUGGAUCAUAUGAAAUGAAAGGUCAUGGGUUUAAACCUAAUCUCCACACUAUAUAAAUAUGUCCUUGGUUGGUGAAAUUGGCACUAGUGUGUGUACACAAAAGGGCAAUGUUGAUUUCACUAGAGAGAACCAAAGUAUCCUUAUUCUCAAGGUUAUUCCAAGUGUUCAUUGUGUUGCGUGAACCAUUUGAGGUCUCACACUUGGGGCACUAGACUCUCAAGGUUCAUGAAGACAAGUUACAUAAAAAAAGGUAUGCAUUCUAUCUAUUUUAUUACCCAAGUAUAUGAUAUUUGUAUACUAGUAUAGGGUAAUAUCUUGGAAACUUUAUAUUUGCAUGUAUAAUAGAGAAAAUCUAGAUCCGAGGUAUUUACGGUUGUAUGUGCACCAUAGGAUGUUGUAGUAUUCUAAAAUCCAACAGUGGUAUCAGAGCCAUGGGUUGUUUUCUGUUAUAUUGAUUCAAAUGUUUUAUUUUCAAAGUUGGAAAAAAACAUGGCGUUUGUCAACUUUUAAGAUAAUUACUUGUUUUUGAGAAAAACUAAUUAUUUGUAAAAUUUGAAUCAUUUGCUAUAUGAGUUCAAUUAGGUCAAAUUUAUUAAAAGAUAAAAUGAAAUGAUUAUUUUAUUAGUUUUAAAAGUUUGAUCUAAAGACUUUUUUGAAACCUCCAUAAGUUAUGGAUAUGAAAAGGUUUUAAGAAAAAAUUUGAUUCAAAGUUUUUUUUUGGAGUUACAAAAAUUGGUGUUAAUGUUUCAAAGAAUUCCAUAACUUGUUCUUAAGUUAUGGAACAUGAAAGGUUUCAUCAUUAAACAAACACAUUAAACUCAAUAAGUUAUGGAAUCCAAAAGUUUUUUUUUGAAUUAUCUUGAUCUUAUGAGUUGAUUUAUAUUAAUAGAAAAUUAUGUGAUAAUAUGUUUUCAAUCCAUUUUAAUCUAAGAGUUGAUUCUAAAAUGUGUUUUUGUAACUUUUCCUCAAGUGACAUGAAAGUUCACAUUUAAGUUUCUUAAAACUCAUAAAAGUUGUCAUAGGUUACAAAAUGAAGAGUCUUGUCCUCAUUAAAUGGUUUUAUGACACCAUAACUUGUCCUCAAGUUAUGGAGGUUCAAGAGUCUCUUCAUUAAAUAAUAAAAAAAUACGUAACCUUAAUUAAAUCCAUAAGUUAUGAAUAAGGAAGAGUCACAUUCUUUAAUGAUUUAAAGUCUUCCAUAACUUGUCCUCAAGUUAUGGAACUUGAAGAGUUUUCUAGUUAAAACUACUUUAAACACAUAAGUUAUGGAAUUAUAUAGUUUUGAAUAGUUUCAAGACUUGCCCUCAUGUUUUGGAAUUUGUAAAGUUUUCCCAUGAAUACUUCAAUUCCAAGUUAAGCCCUUAGAAUUUUAAAAGUUAAAAUUCAACCCAUAUACUUUAUAAUAUUAUAAGUUAAUAAUAUAUAUAUAUAUGUAUAAGAGUAAAGUCAGUCUUACCGCUAGUACGCCUCAUUCACGAAGCCGGUCUAUAAGGUGGGUAUAAGGUUGUUGCCUAUAAAAUGGCAACUUAAUGGGUGUCCACUCUCACCCACCGCUUGCUUGACUGGUGGAGGGUCGUUAGCCGAACGGGUUUGACAGGACUAGAAUUCUCCCUUCAUUAAAAGUAUUAAUGAUAAUACUAAGUAACUAAACUCUUAAUAAUACCCAAUCUUAGUUACUUAGGAAAAAUGUGAAUAAGGUGCUAAUCCAUGAAAUUACACUUUGCACUUUGUCUAAGUCGUUAGUGGAGCGUGUGUGGUUAACCGGCACACUAACUUGGACUUAACAAGGUAGGUAAAGGGUGACUUAAUAUUUAUCAUAGUAUCGAUGGAGCGUGUGUGGUUAACCGGCACAUCGAUUGAGGGGUAAUUUAUUAAGGGUACCAAGUGAUUUGCAUGGUUACUUCACACCUUGUUUUGUGAUCCUCGGCAUCCCAGUCACAAAACCUGAAGGGCACACUCGAGAUUGAAACAUGCCUUUGAAAAGUUCAAUGAAUCUCAAAGAUCUAGGAGUUUCAAAACCAAUUAAAACCUAAUAAUACAUUUCGUUUAUCUUGGUGGAAAUUGGUGAAUCGUCAUUCACCUACCUUCAAAUAUUUUAUAGCUUGGAUUACGGCAUACCUCUUCUAAGUUAUAAAAUAGUUUGUUGGGUCCUAGCCUUAAUAUUUCAUAUUGGGUGUCAUAUUAAGGACUUUAGAUCAACUAUCUUGAAUAUCUCCCAAAAGAUGUCUAGUUCAGACAUCUAUGAUCCUCCCAAAUCUCUUGGAACUUCACUUCCUUCACCUCCUCCAAUUAUUCUCCCUAUCCCACAAGUUCAAGGUCACUCAAGCCCUAUUGGCAAGGCAAGGUCUAGGUGUGCUCACAUCUUGGAGAUGAAGUCACAUACUGAUAAGUCGGCAGAGUUGGGUGUCAAAGACUUGAGAAAGUUGGUGGUUUAAUCACUUUCUAAGUCACAUAGUGGGUUCCUUUGGGACUCCUAUGAAACAGUCUAUGACAAGACCCUUAAUGAUCUUAUCUACUUGCUAAGAUCAAAUUCCUAAAACUUUAUGGACAUUGACAAUGAAGACACUGGAAAUCCAGAAAAAGCAUUAUGUUCCCAAUGGAAAGGGAUAUGCCAUAGUCAACUCGGUUGACCGAAUGGUAAAGAGAAAAGCUAAGUCUGUGAUAGUACCGAUACGAUUACCAAAGGGUCCAUAUGUUUAUAUUGCCAAAGGAAGGGGCAUUAGUUGCGAAGCUGCCAAUUUUACCUAAGGAUGUUAAAGUCAAUAAGUUUGACCCUACUUCAGGUAAAAUCCACUCUCUAACUCUACUAAGUUUCAAUACUAAGAUUCUUGAUACAUGAUGUGACUGGGUCACAUGGUGAUGUUUUAAGAAUCAAAGAAAAGUGAAGAAACUUAAAGAAAGAAUAUGUUGAAUCUGAUCGCGUAGAUGGAUUUCUAUCGCAUAGUUUGAAGAUCGGAUUCUUGAGCUACUUCUUAGGAGUUAUGAGAUAUUGCUUAGGAAUAGAUAACAACAAGUUUUCAUAUGGAUUGUAAGGAUAAGUUUUUCCGCAAAGUUUUAAAAUAAAAGGAAAAUUUUUGAUUUUAUUUAUUUUAAAAUAUCCUUACAAUGGCAUUUGAGGGAAAAAAUUGUUGCUUAUAUGAUUCCAUUAAUAGCAAGAGUGGAAAUAUGAAAUUGAUUCUUUCAUUUGUGGUAAUGUCUAAAUUUACCAAAUAAGGAAAGAUUCUCAUCACCCAAGUUUCAAUUGGACCGAAACUUGGAAUCAUGCAAGUUGUAUAGCAUGAUGAAUGAGAAUUUUUCAUCUUUGGAAAAUUAAGACUAGUUCCUUGUUCACAUGUAUAUGUGAGUCAUGUGAAGGACUAAGGGAUUGAGUACACAUUCUUGUGCACUGGCCAAAGUCCACCACAAAAGAUCGAUAAGAUUAUUCGUCAUAACUUACUAAAGCUUAGUAAAUAUGGUUAUAGUUACAAGCCUAAGUGUAAUUCUGAGACAUAGGAAAAGGUUCCAAUGUAUGGCCGAGCAAAUAAGAAGAAUCAAAUUAGGCAGAAGGAUAAAAGUUUCUCAAAUCUGAAAAGAUGGGAGAGUACUUUAGUAUCAGUUUUGUGAUCAUCUUAAUGAUUAAGAAACCAUAGCACAAUUAGUUCUCUAAGGAAAUCUUAGUGCAUUCUUAUGACUAAGAAGAGGGAUCUUGAAUUGUUGAAAUGGUUAAAUCAAGAAGAUGAGUCAUACUUCGUUCCAAUACAAGUCUUAGAGUCAUACUCCAAGAUUGUAACUUGAGUGACAUGUCUUAAAGAAGGUUUAAAACACUCGUCAAAUGUAAGAAUAAAAGUUUUCUACUCUUGUGCAUUUGAAAUUGGUAAGUUGUGAUGUUUUGGACAAAACAAAGAAAAACUAAGGCCAAUUGUGUGAAGUGUUUGUCUUGAUUAGAACCUGCACUAUCUAUUGAAUAUCUGACAAGAAAGUCUUAUAUGUCAAGAGGACAGUGGAAGUCUUAAAGGUCUUGAAAGUCUCAAAAACUAAUCUAGAAUAAAACCUGAAGUUCUUCACUAGCACACGACUUGAG
rnacentral:lncRNA from 1 species